rnacentral:lncRNA from 1 species
CCACGGACAUGGUGGUCAUGGCCACGGACAUGGAGGUCAUGGGCACGGACAUGGAGGUCAUGGCCACGGACAUGAAGGGUAUGGCCACGGACAUGGUGGAUAUGGCCACGGCCACCACGGCCACCACGGCCACCAUGGCAUAGGGAGGCCUGGUGCUGCUGAGACUGAAAUCAAGAAUUAGAUAACCUGUUAGUUUCUGUGACUUACGUUGCAGGUGUGUUGUAAGGGUAGCAGUACGAAAUAAAGUUGUUUGGUUGAGUAAUCUAUAUGAACUCUCAAUCAUAAACUGUCCUAAGCUUGUUCUCAUGUUUCUCAUGUUCUCUGUAAUGUACGCAUUGUAAUGUACGCAUUGGAAUGUGUUCUCUUGUUAUGUGAUAAAAUGUGAUGUAACUUUCUCAAUACAUAUUAUGUCAAAAAUGUUUAGUAUGGCUUGGCUCCUUAAAAUUGAGGGGGAGCACAUCCUCAUAACAAAUGAGAUUUUGGCACUAGUGAAACUUCAAAAAAAUAAAAAUAAAAAGAGGUUAAAAGAAAUCAAAUGAAAAAAAAAAUUAAAGGAAUUUGCCAAGUGUCAAAACUCUAUUUCUUUUGAGGAGGAACUGCUCCUCAGUUUUGUGGAGCCAAACUUUUUCCUAAUAUUAAUGGAGUUCAUGUAUGACUCAUUUGUUUUGGGUACCAAAUUUAAUGAAUUGUGCAUUCAUUGGUGGACCCAUAAGCAUACAGUUUUUAAUUUAGGUGAGAUACUCUCGGCAAUUUAAAUCAUGUCAAAAACAUGAUAUCAAAAAAAAUCAGCCAUCAUCGAGUUUGUAGAUAAAGAAAUAAUAUAUAUGAAUGAACGUAAGCUAUAGAGAAGAACAUUACCAAGAGCUUUCGUGCUGAUAACGUAUUGUGAAACUAGAAAUUUGUAGGGAGAAAUAAGAGGAAGAAAGGGAGUAUAAUUUGCUCAAAUAAACUUGUAUUCCAUUCAUAUUUGGUGCCACUAUUUAUAGGGGUAGAGAGGCCUAAAUCAUUUACCACCAAUAAUUGAUAGGUGACAAAUAUAUAAUGAUGAGUAUUAUGAUAGGUUAAUAGUGGCUAUUAUUGUGAGCAUCCAUAACCUAUAAACCAAUAACAUAUGGAUUUAUAACACAAAUACGUUUAUUAAAUAAACAAUAAUUAAAAAGUAAAAAGAAGAUAAGAGUCUAUGUCCAACAAGAAUUCUAUAUAGAUUACUGUUGAGGCCCAAAAUGUCACGAGAAGCUCAAGGAUAUUUAAAGUCCAAUAUAACAUAUAAUGUUGGCCAUGCGUUAAUCCAAGCUGUAUUUUGGGAAUUAAUUCAUUAAAUAAAUAUAUAAAUAGUGUACAUGCCAUGCUAAUCAAAUAUUAUAUUUUUCUAUGCUAAACCACCUAACAAGCUUAAGUGGACCCAAGCCACAUAUAUAUUUAGGGCUUGUUGAACGGAUUGCGGUGUGAAUGGUUACAAGUGUUCAUAAAGCUUGUUGAAGGAUCACUGUUUUACAGCUGCUUGGGAGUACCAAAAUUCAUACCCACUUUCUUGAGCCUAAUUACAAGAGUAAGCAGAGAGGGAACUCCCAGCCUCUUCCAAAACUCAAACCCACUUUCAUUACUAUGCACAUAGUAAUUACUGCACACUCAUGGGGAAACCAAUUGUUGAGCACUGUACACUCACAGAUCCUUCCUUACACAAUCAUUCUUCAGCCUAUAAAUAGACCUUCAUCCCUCCUUGCAAUACACACGCCGAAACCAGAAGAAGAAUGGCAGGAGGCAAGCUCAUCCUCCAACUGCCGUCUACACACAAAGCCCAAGCCUUCCUCCAUCAUGCUUCUCUUCUUUCAUAACACCACUACAAGAGUCUUGAACAUCACACGGAAAACCAUCCCAAACCAUCCCAACUCCCGAAAACACCACAUGCAUCUCACCUCCAACAUCUUAUUCCAAUCCGAGCAGCAAAAGCAUUCUCUCUUACUGAACUUAUGGAGACUUGCUCUCACACCAUAAGCCUUUCAAGCCAAGCUUCAUAUUGAUACACUGAAGCAAACUCUCAUGCCAAGCGUACAGUAUCAACGUAGCUACUCUUCACCAGAGACCACCUCCCUCUAGCAUAUUCUCCAGCGCUAUUAAUUCCACUACCUGCAUCACAUAUUUCACUUCAAGAAAAGCACUUCCAACACAACAAAAUCAAGCACAAUCAUUCCAGUACCCGUUGUACAUGCAUCAAAACUUGCAAGAAGCCACUGAAGAUAACUAAAUCACUCUCUAAGUCUUAAACUCUUUCGGAGUGCUUUGGGGCCUGGUGCUGCAAACUCAGAAAGAGUAAAGGAGAGCUCAGUCCACGUCACACCAGUCCAAAAAACCCAUUGCAUCUUUCAACAAAAAAGACUCUCACAUAAAUGGCAACUUUGCUAAAGACUAGGCCAUUAUUCUUAGAGUGGGUCCUCCACAAUCACAAACUUUGUGAUUCGUAAGUCACCACUGGUGGCUUCAUGCAAAGCAAGUUUUCCGUUGCCUUCAAGUUCUUCCUGCUGCAAGAAAGAAGAAAUCGUGAAUUUUUCUUUGUAUUCAGUAUUUAUUGCAAAAAAAAUUGUUCUCUCGAUAAAGCAAGCUGCAAACAAAAAAAAAAAAAAAAAACAACGAGUCAAGCAUCCAGGAGCUGUUGAUUUUAGUUUUCUUCCUGAAACAAUUAAAGAAAAAACACACAACCAAAUUCUACAACCCCUUUCCGUGACAAGGGUAGCAUUCAUAUGCUCAGUUAAUGCUUGAAAUCACUAGCGGACCCAGAAAUUUUUUAGCGAAUGUGCAAUAUUGACUAAGUAUGAAAAAUGGUUUUUCGAAAUAAUCAUUUUGUCAAGAUAAUUUUUAGCCGCUUUUAUUUCUUACACAUCAAAUAAGAAAAUUUGAUUUUAUGGGAUUUUAGUAUAUAUGAAGUAUAUAUUGACUUAAUGAGCCAUCAUUUUUAGCUUAAAUCGUAUUUUGCACUAAAAUCGAAUUUUCAUAUUUUGAUUUGGUGAGAAUUUGAUUUUCUAGUAUUUUUAUUUGAAUCCAAAUGGGGGGUACUUUCUUAUUUACAUUGUAAACUUAAGUAAAUGGAGUAAUAUAAAAAUAAAUAAAAGUAAAAGGACAAAGACAUUUAAGUAAGGUAAUUUGUACAUCAAUUGAGCAAAUGAGCAAUUUGAAGCACCUACAAUGGUUUUUCCGGCAAGGGGAGGUGCAGCUGCACCUCCUUGCCCCUUAAUAGGUCCGCCUCUGCUUGAAAUGGUAAAAAUGAACAACAACAAAAUUAACGAUAUAGUUUGCGGUUCUAUUUAAUCCAUUCUCCCUUUCAAACCAGUUGAGUAAAGGCCAUCAUACCCAUUAACAUGGUCUAGUCUCGUGAAAAAUAUUUUUAACUUGCAAACUAGUAGUUUCAUGUUCGAACUCCCAUGACACCUUGAUAGUGUGUGUGAGAAAACCCCCUCCUUAUUCCUACCUUUGGCAACCAAAAAAAAAAAAAAAAAAGUCAUCAGGCCAUCAUAUAAACUCAUCUUGUUGUUUGAUCAUAUAUAUUAAUGUAUUUGAAUUCUUAGAAUAAUAUAUUAAUGUUAAUAUAUUUGAUUAUUUAUCAUUAAACAUAUUUUAUUAUGUAACUAUACAAAACAUAUUUUAUUAUUUACAAGGCAUAUUAGUAAUCAAAUUGAUUUUGAUUCCUAUUACUGAAUACUUAUAUAAGAAUGAUAUAAUAAUUAGUGGGAAAAAAAAAGGGCCUGGUUUCAGACAAAGUACUAAACAUGAGUGGGAAAUAUACUAAACACAAUAACUUCUGUUUACUUAUGUUACUCCAUUAAUAAAAUAAUAUAUUCAUUUGUAGAGGAAAUAGGGAUCAAAUUUCCUAAAACUCUUGCUAUAUAUUUCUGUCCUGAAAGAUUUAAGGAGCCUCAAUUUUGGAUAUUGCAACCACUUGAGACGUUAAUUAAUUAGACUUUAGAGAACGGUUAGGAUUUUGCAACCUCUUUGCAAUUUUGGAUAUUAUAUAUUCUUUCUCUACUUUACCUUAAUGACUCAUAAUUACCAACAAGGACACUAGCACUGUAGCACAGCUUCAAGUUUAAGCCAUGGCAGAGGCGAGGGAGGGGAGAAAGACUUCUAUAUAGUGCUAUUCCUGACCAAUAACGCCGUAAUAUUCGUGAUAAUAUUUCGAUGUGGCAUAACAUUAUUGGUCGAAGGUAACAAAACAAUAUUAUCCCCGUUGUAACUAAGUUUUUCUCUGUGGAGCUACUCUUAUUAUGAAAAUGACGUGAGAGAGAGGGAGGGGGUCAUAUUUUCAGAAUAAUUUUGCUAAAAAACGAAAGUAGAAGAAUUAAUUAUUAUGAAAAUGACGUGUAAUAAAACCACACGUUGCGUGACAUUGCCGUACAUGCAGUCGGUGAGUCCACAGAUGACCAUGCAUUUGUUUUGAGUCGGAUUAAGCAGUGAAUGGGGGCACUAGUUGUCCAUCUUUAUAUGACCCAAUGACUUAAGAUAUCUAUAUGCAUACAGACUUUUAAAAAGUAGAAGCAAUACAGCCUUAGAAAGGCAGUGCGUGCAUGGAAAAAGAUUAUCUGGUCCCAAUUUGCAUAUUUAUUAUUAGGUAAAAUACUUUGAAAAAGCACAAAUCGUCAUAGUUUGUGGACAUGAGAGAUAGAUACUGUGGCUGGAUUGUCAACAAUGACAGUGUGAACGACUUUUCUUUAUACUGAAAUAAGAAGUGAACGUGAAUAUUUCUUUCCUAGUACAAAAGAUUGACAGCUACAAUUUAGCAUUCCUAUUCUGGUUAACCACUGAUUCGUAGGAUCUAGAUACAAGGAGAAUUGUAGGUUCAUCUCCUAUAUAUGUUGCUGUACAUUCAGAAUUGUACAUUAUACAAAUAUAUGAAAUACCAGUUUCUUUACAUGGUACCAGAGCCUCCUUUUUUUUCUUCACCAUAAACAUCAAUGGCACCAGACAACGAUGCCAAACCAGUUGACAGAGAGAAGUCCUCAUCCACAACCGAUAGAGAUGCAUAUGACUCUACCGAUCCCUACUGCAUACACCACUCAGAUCAUCCCGGCAUGAUAUUUUCUUCCAUGCCACUGACUGGUGAUAACUACAGCACUUGGAGUCGUAAAGUAUGAAUUUCCUUGAGUGUGAAAAACAAAACAGGCUUUAUUGAUGGGUCCAUUGUGAAGCCAUCCCUCACCAAAAAACCUAUAGAGUAUCAACGAUGGCAGAGGUGUAACGACAUGAUCUUGUCGUGGAUUCUCAAUUCUUUGGAUCCUGACCUUGCUAAUAGUGUUAUUUAUGCUGAGACAGCUCAUGAAGUUUGGACUGAUUUAAAAGAACGAUAGAGCAACGCUCCUAGGAUUUUUCAGAUUCAAUGCAGCAUAGCGACACAUACGCAAGAUCAGAUGCCUCUGGCAACAUAUUAUUCAAAACUAAAGAGCUAUUGGGACGAACUGGGUUCCUACAAUGAUACAGAAGUUUGCUCCUGUGGAGCAAUUAAAGAAGUCGUUGGCCGAGCGCGAGAAACAACAACGCUUGAUGCAAUUUUUGAUGGGACUAAAUGAAUCCUAUGCAGCGAUCCGAGGGCAGAUUCUCCUUAUGGAGCCCUUGCCAUCAUUUAGAAGGCAUAUUCCCUACUUUCACAGGAAGAGAAACAACGUGAAAUCACCACUACCCAUGCAAAUACAAAAAGCAUGGCCAUGUUAAGUAUCCACAAUAAGAAAGGGGGUUCUUCUAAACCCGCUUAUCAAUUCCGCUCAUAACAAGGACAGAACUCACAACCUCGUUCCUCUUUUCGAGGGAGCCAAAAAGAGACUCGACGUUGCACUCACUGCAAUGGAGAUACUCACACCGUUGAUACUUGCUAUUAUCUCAAAGGGUUCCCUCCAGGACAUAAGUGGCACAACAAAGAAGUCUCUCUGCCUGAUAGAGGAAGCAGUUCACACCAAGGAAACCAAAGGAAGUCACAUGCUGCCAAUAAUGUCCAAAACUCAGAUUCACAAGUUCAUCAUCUCCAGUCCAUCGCGCCCCACCUUACACUAGACCAAUGCCAACAAAUUAUGGGCGCCGUAGGUAAAGAAGAUGUUUCACAAACCCAAGUAAAUUUUGCAGGUCUGUCUCCUUCUUGUCUAUUUUCUCAAAAGCAAUCCAAUUUAUUGCAUGCUUGGGUAAUUGAUAGUGGUGCUACCGACCAUAUCACUAAUUCACAUGACUUUCUAAUUGACACAUCUCCAUCCUCCAUGUCCCCAGUAGGAUUGCCCACAGGGGCUAAGGCACCCAUAAAAUCCACUGGCAAAAUCACUUUUGAUGGAAAUUUGUGUCUAACUGAUGUUCUUUGUGUUCCAUCCUUUAAUGUUAAUUUGAUGUCAGUUCCCAAACUCACAGAGUCACUUAAUUGUUGUGUUGUGUUCUUUCCCAAUUUUUGUUAUACACAGGACUUGGUUAAGAAGAAGAUGAUUGGAUUGGGUAGGCGGCAUGGCAACCUAUACUAUUUUGAUCCAAACUAUAUUUCUCAUAAGCCACCAUCCUCCUCACACCAUGUGUUAUCUCGAUAAAAUCUUUGGCACUUGCGGCUAGGACAUCCAUCAGAUGCCCGCCUUCUUAUCUUGGCUCAACAUGAAUCUGAUAUUUUCUUUUCCCAGCACUCCUGUGAUUUUUUCCCAUUGGCUAAACAAACUAGACUUCCAUUUACUUUAAGUUCCAUUUCAAGUAUUGAUUCUUUUGAUUUUAUUCAUUGUGACUAUUGUUGGGGCAAGAUAUUUUUUGACUAUUGUUGACGAUUAUACAAGGUGCACAUGGGUUUAUUUAAUGCCAUAUAAAUCUGAUACUCAAGGUCUUCUUAAAUCCUUCUUCGCCUUUGUUUAUACUCAAUUUAACAAAACAAUAAAGGCUAUUCGUGUAGAUGAUGGUGGUGAGUUUUCUUCUCUAAAAACGUUUUUUUGCAGAUCUUGGUGUGGUUUACCAACAUUCCUACGUCUCAACACCUCAAUAAAAUGGGAUUGUGGAACGUAAACACCAACACCUUCUAGAGAUGGCUCGAGCCUUGCGAUUCCAUGCACAUCUCCCUCUUAAUUUAUGGGGAGAAUGCGUACUCACUGUUGUAUAUCUGAUUAAUCGUCUCCCCACUCCACUUUUAACUGGUAAAACUCCCAAUGAGCUUUUAUUUAACCAUCCACCCAUUUAUAAACAUCUUCGUGUUUUUGGUUGUCUUUGUUAUGCAACUAAUUUACACCCUUCUCAUAAAUUUGAUAAACGGGCACGUAAAUGUAUUUUCGUGGGUUAUCCUUUUGGUCAAAAGGCUUAUCGUGUUUAUGACUUAGAGACCAAAAAGUUUUUCAGUAGCUGGGAUGUUAUUUUUCAUGAAAAUGUCUUUCCUUUUGCUAAUCAACAUGAUGUACCCACUAUCCCUGUCUUGCCUUUAACCCAAUGAUUAUGAUUAUGUGCCUGUCCACAUAUCAGACCCACUACCCACUUCAUCUUCCAAGCCAAAUCCACCAACCAAUCUAGAUAUGCAUCCACCUAGCCCAAACACACACUCUGGCACACCUACACCACCUCUUCCAAAUACACCACCACCUAGUCCACGCACACAAUCUAGUCCAAAUACACACACCCAAUUUAGCCCCAACACGCAAUCUAAUAUAUCCCCUCAACCUAGUCCACCACUAAGUCCAUCACAUGAUACACACCCACCACCAUCGCUUCGACAUUCUGAAUGCCUAAAACAACCUUCAGUGCUCCUACGUGACUACCACUGUUACACCGCCAUGUCUCUCUACUCUAAUUCGUCAUCUUCUUCAAAUACAAAAGGUAAGGGCACCCGAUACCCUAUUUCCCAAUUUCUUAAUUAUCAUAAUUUGUCAUCCACUCACAAAUCUUUUGUAGCUUCCAUCUCUCGAGUUGUUAAGCCAACUACUUUUGCCCAAGCUUCGACUGACCCUCUUUGGCAAGAAGCCAUGGACAAGGAAAUUCAAGCUCUUGAGCAAAAUAAUACUUGGUCCAUAACACCUUUACCUGCAGGAAAACACCCAAUUGGCUGUAACUGUCCAAAGUCAAAUAUAAUUCUGACGGUUCCGUUGAGCACUACAAAGCUCGUCUCGUGGCCAAGGGAUAUACCCAACAGGAAUGCUUAGACUACACGGAGACAUUCUCUCCCACAGCUAAAUUGGUCACUUUCCGAUGCUUGCUUGCUCUUGCCGCUGUACGCAAUUGGCCCCUCCACCAAUUAGACGUCCAAAAUGCUUUUCUUUAUGGAGAUUUAGACAAAGAAGUCUACAUGCUUCCUCUACCCGGCCUUUGCCGACAAGGGGAGCACUUGGUUUGUCGGCUACACAAAUCAUUAUACAGGUUGAAGCAAGCACCACGAAAUUGGUUUGCCAAGUUCACCAAUGCCCUUCAAGAUGCCGGAUUUGUCCAUCCCUAGCAGAAUAUUCACUUUUCACAAGGUAUCACGAUAAUUCAUUUACCAUUAUAUUAAUUUAUGUAGAUGAUAUUGUCAUUAUAGGGAAUGAUCCUAAGGCAAUUCAGUCUCUUAAGGAUUUACUCCAUGCUCGCUUCCGCAUAAAAGACCUUGGAAAUCUUAAAUAUUUUUUGGGAAUUGAAGUAGCAAGAUCAAAGAAGGGAAUUUUCAUCUCUCAACGCAAGCACACACUGGAUAUACUUGACAACGCUGGACUUUUGGGUGCUCGCCCUUAUUCCUUUCCCAUGGAGCAGACGCUUAGACUCAACCCUACUGAUGGCAACCACUACAAGAUCCUACCAGAUGCAGGCGAUUAGUAGGUCGCCUCAUUUAUCUCACAGUAACAAGGCCAAAUCUCUCAUUUGCUGUCCAUGUGCUUAGUCGUUUCAUGCAUGAGCCGCACCAACCUCAUCUAGAUGCAGCUCUUCGUGUACUACAUUAUUUGAAAGGCUCUCCAGGAUAAGGCAUUUUAUUCCCUACUACAAACAACCUAAAGUUAAAGGCAUUUUGUGACUCAUGUUGGGCAAGUUGUCCAACUACCAAGAGAUCUGUCACAGGUUAUUGUACUUUCCUUGGUGAUUCUUUGAUUUCUUAGAAAAUCAAAAAAUAAAAUACCGUGGCACGUUUCUCUACAGAAGCAGAAAACCGAGCUAUGGCAGAUGCGUGUUGUGAGCUCACAUGGUUACGUUACAUCCUCAAAGACUUGGGCAUUCAACAUUCAGAACCAGCAGUAUUGCAUUGUGAUAAUCAAUCAGCCCUUUAUAUUGCAAAGAAUCCAGUAUUUCACGAGUGAACGAAGCAUAUUGAUCUUGAUUGUCACUUGGUGAGACAAAACAUUCAAUCAAGCUUGGUGUCUACUGCCUACACGCCAACAAAGAUGCAGAUUGCUGAUAUAUUUACUAAACCCUUGGGCAAGGUUCCUUUUGGCUCACUAUUAGGCAAGUUGGGAGUAUACAACAUACACUCUCUAACUUGAAGGGGCAUAUUGAAAUAAGAGGUCAACGUGAAUAUUUUUUUGCUAGUAUAAAAGAUUGACAGCUACAAUUUAGCAUUCCUAUUCUGGUUAACCACUGAUUUGUAGGAUCUAGAUACAAGGAGAAUUGUAGGUUCAUCUCCUAUAUAUGUUGCUGUACCUUCAGAAUUGUACAUUGUACAAAUAUAUGAAAUACCAGUUUCUUUACACUUCAUGGUGUGCUUUAGCUACAUCUUCUACCCUUCUGCGUUGGUCACAUUCAUGUAAUCUUGUACAUGAAGCAACGUACCACAAAGGCUACCAAAAAUUUAAUGACUGUGGACCAGAAGGAAGCAGUAUAUAGGUCCUACUACCUGUGCAUUUCUUGACUAAUAGUUUGAUGCUUAAGGUAAAUCCAAUACAGUUAGUGUAAAUGUCCUUUUACUAUAUAAUUAGGUAUAUCCAAUACAAAAUAAAUCUUUAAUCUUGAACAUAUUUAUAUAGGGGAUUCUAUGACUCACAAAGAAAACCUACGGAUAUAUUUGUGUUUAUGUUUGAUCUCAUUUUCUCUUUUGUAAUUCCAUCUACUUUUCAUAAGAAUUUGUUUGAAACAACUUAUAUAUAAAAACUACCCUUGUUUUUAGAUGAUUAUUGUGGUAGGAUAAAAUCAACAAAAUAGACAAACACGGUAUUUCAAGAAAAGACUAUAAUAACAACUAUCUAAUUGAAUGAUCAAAUGGUUUCGGAUCCAAGUGAUUGUCGCAGAGAUGAUCUUUGAAGAAAUAUCUAAAAACUAGAUGGUAUUGGAUUAUUGAAAUGCAUGGUGAGUCUUAUAAGGGUGUCCUUCAAAUAAGCUUAUUUGAGAAAUCCCUCAACUAAAGCCAUAUCAGUCUCUUUCUCACAAUAUAUAUAUAUAUAUAUAUAUAUACACACCAUACCUUUUGUGAAAAUCUAAAAAUGCUAAAUUAGGAAUGAUAACUGAUAGUUAAAGAACUCUCGUGAUCACUCUACAAGAUUGUGACCUAAAUGAUGAAUCAGCAGCUUAAGUUUCACCCCAUUUGCCACAUACCAUCAAAGUAGGGGUUGACUUUGGCGUUCUUUAGCCUUUAAUCACCACAAGAGUCACAAAUUCUUCUCUUCUCUCUCCUUAUCUUUCCAACCCCACUGAUAUCUCAGAAAGGUCUAUAAAUAGGGAGAACCAAGCCACAUUAUACUCACUCAGCAAUCAUCUCUUGCAUACUUUCAUAUAUACAUUAUCGUGCUUGUUGUUAAGCAAAAGAUGGCAUCCUCAAAGGCUUGUCUUCUUCUUGGUCUUGUCUUUGCUGUUCUCUGUUGACGUGGGUCUCCUAAUUAAUCAAGGAGAUCUACUUCCUUGAUUAAUUAAGGGAUUUACUUUUUUAUUUUUUAUAUAGUUGAUAAAUUAUUGUAUAAUUAGGAGAUACUUUCCUAAUUCUUUACUGUAUAUAAUUUCUUCAAACACAAACCCUAAACCCUCAUAUCAAAUUUCGUCACACCCAAACCCUAAAUCAAAUUCCUCAUAUUUACAGCUUCAGAUUCGGAUCUUCAUACCCGAAUCCUCAUAUCCUCUUAUCACAAAACCCUAAACUCAUAUUUUUUUCUCUUAUCAGAAAACCCUAAACACAUAUUUUUCCUCUUCUCUUAAAUCCUUCCGCUACCAUGAAUAUCGUCUCAUCUUCCCAAACCACUGCCUCCACUUCCCCAUCCUCCACAAUUGCCACAACAAGUUCCCAUGGUUAUGUUUUGACAGGACCCGCCUCGAAUUUCCCAAACCCGAGACAAAUCUUGUGGAAAUUCCGACAUCACCCCAAUGUCGGACCCAAUCACUAAAACUAAAGCGUCCUGUCCCAAAAAGGAAUAAGGGCACGACACUUUCUACCGAAAUUUCGGCAGCCUCCCCUGUAAAUUGAACAUUCCCCAAAUUUCAACCUGCACAAAAACACAUUUAAUAUCCCAACAGGCAGCACUCACAAGAUAAUUUCAUGCAAUUCACAAACUCGGCCUUCGGCCUUUACAAAAACCGAAGUGAAACCAAACAACCCACAAAGCCCUUAAGCAAAAUAUUGCCUUCCGCAAGGCAAUUAAUAAACUCAAAUAUGAAUUAUGAAUACCAAACACAACUUACAUCAUCUACCUUUCCAAUUCUAACAUACGAGGUUUUAACCUCCUAACACAAUCACAUUUAUGUCUGCGGCUGCACCUAAUAACCUUAGGCUGCCUACAUACCCUCACUGAGGGAUCAAGCCAGACGUAGUUCUUUCUACUAAAUCCCGAUUUCCAAACACAGACAAUACCUUUAUUCAUCUCUCUGUUAAUCACAUAAUCUCCCCAUAUGCCGAAACUACCAACGCCACGUAUGGGGUCUGUCAACACGCCGGAUAACUUACGCCACGUGUGACCUCAACUUAUUAUUACCAUAUCUCCUCAUACGCCGGAUCUACCAACGCCACGUAUGGAGCCUGUCCGCACGCCGAAUAACCUACGUCACACGGGACCUCACAAUCAUAUCACAUAAUCUCCCCAUACGCCGGAUCUACCAACACCACGUAUGGGGUCUGUCAACACGCCGCAUAACCUACGCCAUGUGCGACCUCAACGUAUUAUUACAAUAUCUCCCCAUACGCCGGAUCUACCAACACCACGUAUGAGGCCUGUCCGCACGCCGGAUAACCUACGCCAUGUGGGACCUCACAAUCAUAUCACAUAAUCUCCGCACACGCCGAAUCUACCAACACCACAUAUGAGGUCUGUCAACAUGCUGGAUAACCUACGCCACGUGCGACCUUAACAUAUUAUUACAAUAUCUCCCCAUACGCCAGAUCUACCAACACCAUGUAUGGGGCCUGUCCCUAGGGUCAUUUAAAUCCUCCUGGGAAGGUGAGACUCCCCCGGAAGACUCACGGUCAACCAAGGGUCAAACUACCCCAAACUUGGUCAAACGGGCCCACUAGGCCCACAACCUCCAAAUUCCGAUCCAAAAGUUCCUAUAGGUUCUACAAUGUUUAGGACACUCAUCCUGCAAGUUUGGUCCGGAUUGGAUGGUCGGAUCGCUCACGAUCGCACGAUCCGACGGUUAUUAUAAAACAUAAACUUUAAGUUAUUAAAUCGGAACAUCCGAGGCUCCGAUUCAAGAUCCGUGAAUUCUUACACGAGCCUAGAAAUGACUAGAUUAACAUAUAAUAAAUUCAAGACCAUCCAACGGUCCAAACCUAUCGAACCCGGAUAACGCGCAAUAGGCGAUAUCCGUUCGAGACUCAAACGGUAUUUGAAUUCAAAUCCGAGCAUACCGUCAUGCUCGAGACGACAAGAGGGUUAUUUUAGAACUUUAAGACAUGCCACCACAUGGCCCACGCGCCACCCCACGCGCCGGCAGCGCGUAGGUGUCCAAAGAAAUUUUCGGCUGCUGAAAAAACUCCAAACCGCCGGCCAAGACUCCCAAGUUAGGUAAAUCAAAUGUAGUGGAGCAACUUUUGUUCUUGGACCUACCCCAAAAAGUGACCGGAAGUGGCCGGAAUCGGAGGCCGAAAACCGGCCAAACUUCCAUCGCUUAAUCGACCUUCAAAACGUAGAAAUCUCUCGAAUCUAACACAACAGGCAGCAAGAACAGCUCGAGAAGUUGAGAAAGCAUACCUGGAUCGACGAAAAUGGUGGCCGGAGGAUUCCAAACGAGCUCCGUAAAUUUUGGGUUAAAAUCGGUCGGAUUUUUGCAUUUUCUGGCGAUCACAGGUGGUUCCAGCGGCCGAGAUUGGUCGGGAUGGAAAGAGGGAGAACGCCCGGUUCUUUUCGAAUCGGUGCCACCCCAAACGGUGGCCGGUUGCGACAGUGGUGGCCCAAAAACCUUGGCGGUGAAUAGUAACAGAAGGGCUGUUUCUUGCGAAGGGAGAGGGAGGAAGAAGGAGAAAAAAUAAAAUUUAAAACUGCCCGGGUACUGUAGUAAAAUUUUAAAAUUACCUUUUCAUCCUUUUCGUUUUUAGACUUUUCCUCCUUCGUUACAACUCGAAAUUGGGCAUGCCGCAUGUCUACAAAUUCGUAUCGACGAGCUCUACGUAACGGUGCCACUUACUUCUCCAAAAUCUUUCCGAAUCAAAAAAUAACCAAAAUACCCUUACCCAAAGGGUAUAUUCGUAAAUUCAUAUUUAAAUUAAUUUAAUAAUUUAAUUGAGUAACCAAAUUAGGGUCGGGGUGUUACAUGUUUUGCAUAGUUCUUCAAAGAAACACAUAUGGGUCAUUGACACCGGAGCCACUGAUCACAUAACCUUUGAUCCUGGAUAAAUUACCUCUCAUACCCCGUCUUCUUAAUUGGUGGUGUCUAAUGCCAAUGGUAACCCCUCCCCAGUAAUUGGGGAGGGUUCCCUCUCUCUCUCUCUCUGACUCCCUCACUUUGGAUUCUUUAUUUAUUGUUCCAUCCUUACAUCAUAAUUUCUUAUCUGUUGCCCAAAUUACUACGGCUUUGAAUUGCAUUGUAACCUUUUGGCCUACUCAUUGGGUUUUUCAAGACAUUCUCAACAGCAAGACGAUUGGUUGUGGUACUAGGAUGGGCAGACUCUAAUAUCUGGACUUGGCAUCUGACAGUGAAGCCAGCCUCAGUCACUCUUACAAAAUUGGGGGUACGAGUGUUGAGAAGCAAACUUCCGAAGUAUGGUUAUGGCAUCGCCGACUUGGACAUGCUUCGUUUGGAUAUUUACAAAAGCUAUUUUCUUCCUUAUUUUCCCAGUUAGAUAUCUCCAGUUUUACGUGUGACAUCUGUGAAAUAGCCAAGAGCCAUCGUGUUCCUUUCCCCUUAAGUUCACAUAAAAGUUUGGUUCCUUUUUCUCUUGUUCAUUAUGAUGUUUGGGGCCCGCUAAAAUUACCACUCUCGGGGGAGCUAGAUGGUUUGUCACAUUUAUCGAUGAUUGCACACGUAUGACCUGGGUUUCCCUUCGCCAAACAAAAGGGGAAGUCAAUUCCAAGUUUCAACAGUUCUAUCACAUGGUGGAGACACAAUUUCAUACAAGAAUUCAAGUUCUUCAGUCUGAUAAUGGCAGAGAAUUUCUCUACCAUGAUCUUACUCAGUUCUUACAAGAUCAUGACAUUAUACAUCAACGCUCAUGCCCUUACACUCCUCAACAGAAUGGUGUGGCUGAACGAAAGAAUAAACACUUAUUGAAAAUGGUUCGUGCCUCUCUCUUUGGUGCCAAUAUGCCUCGGUCCUUUUGGGGAGAAGUCGUCUUCUUUGCAGCAUACCUUAUCAAUCGGAUUCCCUCCAGUAUCCUUAAUUUCCAAACCCCCCUUCAAACACUCUACAACCAUAUCUAAAUACCUCUUGCCAAAAACCUAAAACCACGGAUUUUUGGCUAUGUGGUCUUUGUCCCCUUACAUGAUCACUAAAGCAGCAAAUUGGAUCCCCGUGCUGAAAAGUGUGUUUUUAUUGGUUAUGCACCUCAUCAGAAAGGUUACGGGUGUUAUCAUCCUCCUAGUCAGAAGGUCUACACUUCUAUGGCUGUUGUGUUCCAAGAGCACGACAUAUAUUUUUCAGCCGUACAUGAGGAGCAUUGCGAUGCCAAACAUCUCAAAUUUCAAGACUUUUUCCUUCAUAAUUGUCACUUACUGAAAACCAUCGGUCGUAGAAUGCAAGCGACAGGUAGCCGGAGACUGUGCCUAAGAACGACCGGUCGCAGCCUAAGACUCUGCCUGAAAGCGACCGGUCGUCCCCCAGAAAUCCGAAUCUGCUUCAAAACGACAGUCGUCUCCCUGCUGUCAAACUUAGGAGAACAUUGAGGAGUUUUUGAGCGCUCAGGAAAAUUCUUCAACUCCAGUAUCCCACCAAUCACCUGCUGAGGACGUCAUUCAGGUAACCUCUUUUCUUGAAACUGAUAACAUUAAUGAAAUAUCCCAUGAUGAUUUAAUUUCAGAAUGCAUAGAGCCUGCAUAUCAGAUUCCAAGAUGGAAGAACGUGGAAAACCUCCAGUUCACUACGAAGCAGACCUUAAUGGAAAAUGAAAAUAUCCCAUCAACAAUUAUGUAUCCAUCAGCAGAUUAUCAGAAUUAUGGGUACACUUUGUGAAGCAGUUGGAUGACAUACCUAUUCCCAACAAUGUAACUGAAGCACUAGAAGACUCAAAAUGGAAAGAAGCCAUGAAUGAAGAAAUGCGAGCUCUCCAGAAGAAUGGCACAUGGGAACUCGUGCCAUUACCUCAUGGAAAGAAGACUGUCGGAUGCAGGUGGAUUUAUAUUGUGAAACUCAUAGCAGAUGGAUCCAUUGAAAGAUAUAAAGCUAGAUUGGUGGCGAAGGGGUGCACAUCAAGAUAUGAGAUAGACCACCAUUAGACUUUUGCCCCAGUAGCCAAGAUUAAAACUAUCAGAGUUCUUCUAUCUCUAGCAACAAAUCUCGAUUGGCCAUUACAUCAGUUUGAUAUAAAAAAAUGCAUUCUUACAUGGAGACUUGAAAGAAUAAGUAUAUAUGGACUUGCCACCAGGAUGUAACUUAGCUCGCGACAAGGAGAAUCAAGUUUGCAAGCUGAGAAAGUCAUUGUAUGGGUUAAAGCAAUCCCCCAGGGCAUGGUUUGGUAGAUUCACUAAAUCUAUGAAGAAUUUUGGAUAUAUACAGAGUAAUGCAGAUCACACCUUGUUUCUAAAGCGUGAUGGAAGAGGACUUACUGCACUGAUUGUUUAUGUGGAUGACAUAGUCGUAACUGGAAACGACAUAGAAGAGCAAUUAAAACUGCAUAAAUAUCUAUCUCAGGAAUUUGAGAUGAAGAAUCUAGGUGAUAUGAAGUACUUUCUAGGAAUUGAAGUAGCCAGGUCCACAACUGGUAUAUUUCUGUCUUAAAGGAAGUAUGUAUUAAAUCUCCUCACUGAAAUAGGAAUGCUUGGAUACAAACCUGCUAAUACACCCAUCGAGAUGAUUCACAAGUUAUGUGAAGACAUGGAUCAAGAACCAACCAAUAAGGAACAGUACCAACACCUUGUUGGAAGAUUGAUAUAUUUAGCUCACACAAGACCAGAUAUUGCAUAUUCUGUGAGUGUGGUUAGUCUGUUUAUGCAUUCACCCAGUGUGUCCCAUAGGAAUGCAGUUGAUCGGAUCUUAAGAUACUUAAAGUCAGCACAUGGAAGAGGGUUAACGUUCUAAAAAAAAUAGAGAUCUCGAAGUUGUAAUGCUGAUUGGGCUGGCUCCAUUACUGACAGACGCUUUACUUCAGGUUACUUCACUUUUGUGGGAGGUAACCUAGUCACUUGGCGGAGUAAAAAACAAAAUGUGGUUUCUCGAUCUAGUGCUGAAGCAGAGUAUCGAGGAAUGGCUCACGAAGUUUUGGAAUUACUAUGGAUCAGAAGACUAUUGACAGAAUUGGGGUUCAAGACAGAAAAGUCAAUAGAGUUACAUUGUGAUAACAAGUCACCCAUCGAUAUUGCCCAUAAUCCAGUUCAACAUUAUUGAACUAAACAUGUUGAGAUGGAUAGACAUUUUAUCAAAAAAAAAAACUUGAGAAAAAGAUCAUCCGCCUACCAUUGGUAAAAUCAGAAGAUUAGUUGGCAGAUAUCUUAACCAAAGCUGUUUGUGCAAGAGUAUUUUAUGACUCACGUACCAAGUUGGGCAUUUGUGACAUAUAUGCACCAACUUGAGGAGGAGUGUUGACGUGAGUCUCCUAAUUAAUCAAGGAGGUUUACUUCCUUGAUUAAUUAAGGGAUUUAUUUUCCUAUUUUUUAUAUAGUUGAUAAAUCAUUGUAUAAUUAGAAGAUACUUGCCUAAUUCUUUACUGUAUCUAAUUCCUUGUAUAGCACCAUGUAAACUCUUAAAUAUACCUCAUUAUGGAGAAGAAUAAAGUUAACCUAAUGCAUUCAAACCAUAUUCAUAUUUUAGCAUUCUCCUCAUCUCCUCUAAGGUCUCAACUACUCCAACUCGUGAGUUUCUCACUUUCUUAACUAAAUCAUAUAUAUUAAAUUAGUAAUUGUAUCUUUCUUUCCAGUAACGAUUUGUGAAUUUAGGCACAUUUUAAUUAUAAGGUGCACUGUCAUGAAAAUGAUUAUGCUUCGAACUCUUUUUUGCAUGAAGGGCUAGUGGUUGCACCUGCAUGGCUUAAUUUGCACCUUAUUAAAUACAAACCUAGCUAUGAUUGUUAUAAGUUAUGUAUAUUGUUUUUGCUUUAUAUAUAAAGUUUUUGUUUAGACAACUUGUAAUUUAAAUUGAUGGCCCCUUUAAAAAUAAUUAGGCAUGACUAAUUUUGAAAAUUUUAGCUCUAACAUGUGUUUUGAACACUUAUAUGUAUUUGAUAUACUUGUGUUUUUUAUUUUGGCCCCCUCAAUCUGAAAAUUCUAGCUCCGCCCGGUGAUGAUUUUCUAGAUGACCAUGGUGACGGACGUGGAGGGUAUGGCCACGGACAUGGAGGGUAUGGCCAUGGCCACCACGGCAAAGGGGGGCCUUGUGCUGCUGAGACUGAAACCAAGAAUUAGAUAACCUGUUAGUUUGUGACUUACGUUGCAGGUGUGUUGUAAGGGUUGUGGUACAAAAUAAAGUUGUUUGGUUGAGUAAUCUAUAUGAACUCUCAAUCAUAGACUCUUCUUAAGCUUGUUCUCGUGUUCUCUGUAAUGUACGCAUUGGAAUGUGUUCUCUUGUUAUGUGAUAAAAUGUGAUUUAACUUGCUCAAUACAUAUUAUGUCAAAAAUGUUUAGUAUGGCUUGGCUCCUUAAAAUUGAGAGGGAGCACAUCCUCACAACAAACGAGAUUUUGGCACUAGUUAAACUUCACAAAAAUUAAAUUUAAAAAAAAAAAAAAAAAAAGAUUAAAAGAACUCAGAAGAAAAAAAAUUAAAGGAAUUUGCCAAGUGUCAAACCUCUAUUUGUUUUGAGGAGGAACUGCUCCUCAGUUUUAUGGAGCCAAACCUUUUCCUAAUAUUAAUGGAGUUCAUGUAUGACUCAUUUGUUUUGUGUGAUCACCAUUUGGUUAAUGAAUUGUGCGCAAAAUUUAAUAGGAUACGGAUCAUCUGCUAUGAUUUUAGUCCCCUAAUAGAAUGGAUCCUACUUUGGAGCACAUGUGGUAUCGGUAGUUCCUACUCGCACUCACAAAUACAUAUUGGUUGGUCCAUUAAAAUGCAAAUAUCACCUCUCAUAUCAUUAUGCGAACAUUGGGAACAAGAGUAGUGUUUCCACCGUUGACAAGGGAUGGAAGAUCUAGCUCGACGGAAAAAUAAGGAGUAAAACUUAUAGAAGCAUGCAUGCCGUGUAUGUAUUGUUGUUAUCAUGGAUACUAAUUUGGCAAUUAAUUUUCUAAUGGGUGAAUUAAAAAAACAUUUUUAAUCUAUAUAUGUAAAGUUAAAUAUCCUUUCUUGAUGAACAAUUUGUAAUUGCAUCUCUGUAAUUUUUAUGGGUUUGUGUUCUUGGUGGUUGACUAGUCAUUGUAUGAAUGUUGAAUAUGAGUAAGGUUCAUGGAGACAAAAUUGGUUUUGGUUAUGGUUGUUCUAGUUUAUGCGUUCCUCCUUCUUUGACCACAUUUGUCAAGGAGUCAAAUAAAAAAUUUGAUGUUUUAGAGCCAACUAGGACUCAAAGAUUCAUUCCUACUUGUCACCAUUGUGGUGUGAAAGGUCACAUCCAACCUAGGUGUAAUGCUCUAAGGAAUGUGUCUAGAGCAACCAAUGCAAAUGGCUUUAAGAACCAUGUUUCAUCUCUUAAAACAUGUGAGCUUGCAAAAUCUGUUCUUUGUAAAAGGGAUAAACCAAAAAGGUUCAUUCCUACUUGCCAUCAUUGUGGCACAUUGGGACACAUAAGAUCAAAGUAUUUUGAGUUUAGGAAUUUUGAGAAAAAGUCUUUUGUUCAUUUCAAGAAAGUAAAUGAUGACUCACUUCAAGUUGAAGCCAUGGCAGAGGCAUGAGAGGCGAGAAAGACUAUGUACUUUUAUAGUGUUAUCCCCGACUAAUAACACCAUAACAUUCGUGAUAAUAUUUUAAUGUGGAAUAAUAUUAUUGAUCGAAUAUAACAAAAUAGUACUAUCCCCGUUGCGACUACGUUUUUAUCCGUGGACUGCUAGGCUUACCUAGUCUUUAAAAUGCAGUUGAAGAAUUUAUUAUUAUGAAAAUGACGUGAGAGAGGGAGGGGGUCAUAUAUUUUCAGAAUAAUUUUGCUAAAAAACGAAAGCAGAAGAAUUAAUUAUUAUGAAAAUGACGUGUAAUAAAACCACAGGUUGUGUGACAUUGCCGUACAUGCAGUCGGUGAGUCCACAGACGAACAUGCAUUUGUUUUGAGUCACAUUAAUUAAGCAGUGAAUGGGGGCACUAGUUGUCCAUCUUUAUAUGACCCAAUGACUUAAGAUAUCUAUAUAUAUGCAUACGGACUUUAAAAAGUAGAAGCAAUACAGCCUUAGAAAGGCAGUGCGUGCAUGGAAAAAGAUUAUUAGGUAACGAUAUAAAUUUACGGUACCUAAUACAUUAGCGCUAAUUGAUAAUUUUUUGAUACUCUAAUAAUAAUAUUGACAAUUAGUGUCGAAAUAUCAGGUACGAUAAGUGUCGAAUUGAGAAUAUAUUAGGUACGAUAAAUUGAUAUUAAGUAUUUCGUCGGUAGUUGGUAGGUACUUAGUAGCUAUCAAGUAAAUAUUAUAUGAGAUACGAAGAUCAACAUGAAUUAUAUCUUUGUAAUUUAGUAGCUAUGCUUGUAUCUGGUCCUGAUUUGCAUAUCUAUUAUUAGGUAAAAUACUUUGAAAUUAUUGAACUUUAAACAUUUUCAUUAAUCAAAGGGCUAUUAAGAACCCAAAGGCAAAUAUAAUGGUUUACGUGGGUGGGUAUGGAACUUGUGUGUAUUCUUUGACCUUGUCAAUCUUAUUAAUGAGUGUUGGUUGGUGGGGUCCCGAUUUGCAUAUCAAUUAUUAGGUAAAUUACUUUGAAAAAGCACAAAUCGUCAAAGUUUGUGGACAUGAGGGAUAGAUACUGUGGCUGGAUUGUCAACAAUGACAGAGUGAACGACUUUUCUUCAUGGUGUGCUUUAGCUACAUCUUCUAUCCUUCUGCGUUGGUCACAUUCAUGUAAUCUUGUACAUGAAGCAACUUACCACAAAGGCUACCAAAACUUUAAUAACUAUAGGUCCUACUACCUGUGCAUUUUUACUUGACUAAUACAAUUAGUGUAAAUGUCCUUUUACUAUAUAAUUAGGUAUAUCCAUACAAAAUAAAUCUUUAAUCUUGAACAUAUUUAUACAUGAUAUACGGAUUCUAUGACUCACAAAGAAAACCUACCAUACAUUUGUGUUUAUGUUUAAUCUCAUUUUCUCUUUUGUAAUUCCAUCUACUUUUCAUAAGAAUUUGUUUGAACCAAUUUAUAUAUAAAAACUACCCUUGUUUUUAGAUGAUUAUUGUGGUAGGAUGAAAUCAACAAAAUAGACAAACACGGUAUUUCAAGAAAAGACUAUAAUAACAACUAUCUAAUUGAAUGAUCAAAUAGUUUCGGAUCCAAGUGAUUGUCGCAAAGAUGAUCUUUGAAGAAAUAUCUAAAAACUAAAUGGUAUCGGAUUAUUGGAAUGCAAGGUGAGUCUUAUAAGAGUGUCCUUCAAAUAAGCUUAUUUGAGAAAUCCCUCAACUAAAGUCAUAUCAGUCUCCUUCUAACAGUAUAUAUAUACACACCACACCUUUUGUGAAAAUCUAAAAAUACUAAAUUAGGAAUGAAAACUGACAGUUAAAGAACUCUCGUGAUCACUCUACAAGAUUGUGACCUGAAUGAUGAAUCAGCAGCUUAAGUUUCAGCCUGUUUGCCACAUACCUUGAAAGUAUCCCACCCAAUUAAUCACACAAAAACAACUUCUUUUGACUUGAUCACACAAGACAACUUAGCUAGCUUUUAUUGUCCCGCCUCUAAUAAAAGCUUACUUAAUACGUAGUCCCAUCAACCCUACCAUCAAAGUAGGGGUUGAAUUUGGCGCUCUUUAACCUUUAAUCACCACAAGAGUCACAAAUUCUUCUCUUCUCUCUCCUUAUCUUUCCAACCCCACUGAUAUCUCAUAAAGGUCUAUAAAUAGGGACAACCAAGCCAUAUUAUACUCACUCAUCAAUCAUCUCUUGCAUACUUUCAUAUAUACAUUAUCGUGCUUGUUGUUAAGCAAAACAUGGCAUCCUCAAAGGCUUUUCUUCUUCUUGGUCUUGUCUUUGUUGUUCUCCUCAUCUCCUCUGAGGUCUCAGCUACUCCAACUCGUGAGUUUCUCACUUUCUUAACUAAAUUAUAUAUAUUAAAUUAGUAAUUGUAUCUUUCUUUCCAGUAACGAUUUGUGAAUUUAGGCACAUUUUAAUUAAGGUGCACUGGUCGUGAAAAUGAUUAUGCUUUGAACUCUUUUUCUGCAUGUAGGGUUAGUGGUUGUUGCACUUGCAUGGCUUAAUUUGCACCUUAUUAAAUACAAACUGAUCCAUGAUUGUUAUAAGUUAUGUAUAUGUUUUUGCUUUAUAUAUAAAAUUUUUGUUUGUUCUCUCAGAGGAGAGUAUAGUCAACGGUGAUGGCCACGGACAUGGAGAGUAUGGCCAUGGACAUGGAGGUUAUGGACACGGACAUGGAGGGCAUAACCACGGACAUGGAGGGUAUGGCCAUGGACAUGGAGGGUAUGGCCACGGCCACCACGGCAAAGGGGGGCCGGGUGCUGCUGAGACUGAAAUCGAGAAUUAGAUAACCUAUUAGUUUCUGUGACUUACGUUGCAGGUGUGUUGUAAGGGUAGUAGUACGAAAUAAAGUUGUUUGGUUGAGUAAUCUAUAUGAAAUCUCAAUCAUAGACUCGUCUUAAGCUUGUUCUCGUGUUCUCUGUAAUGUACGCAUUGGAAUGUGUUCUCUUGUUAUGUGAUAAAAUGUGAUGUAACUUGCUCAAUACAUAUAUUAUGUAAAAAAAAUGUUUAGUAUGGCUUGGAUGCUUAAAAUUGAGGGGAAGCACAUCCUCACAACAAAUGAGAUUUUGACACUUGUUAAAAUAACUUUACUUUUUCCUAAUAUUAAUCGAGUUUAUAUAUGACUCAUUUGUUUUGUAUGAUCACAUUUGGUUAAUGAAUUGUACACCAAAUCUAAUAGAAUAUCGAUCCUCUGCUAUGAUUUUAGUCCUUUAAUAAGAUGAAUCGUAAUUUGGAGCACAUUUGGUAGUUCCUACUCUCACUCAAAAAUACAUAUUGGUUGGUCCAUUAAAAUGCAAAUAUCACCUCUCAUAUCAUUAUGCGAACAUUGGGAACAAGAGUAGUGUUUCCACCGUUGGCAAGGGAUUGGAAGAUCUAGCUUGAUGGAAAAAUAAGGAGUAAAACUUAAAGAAGCAUGCAUGCCGUGUAUGUAUUGACGAUACUAAUUUGGCAAUUUCUAGUGGGUGAAUUAAAAAAACAUUUUUAAUCUAUAUAUGUAAAGUAAAAUAUUGUUGUAGUUAAAUUUUAAAAUAAUUCAUUUAAGAAAUUUGUGGUCAAUUUGUGAUUGCAGAGGUUCAAGAGAUUUGUGGUCACUUACUGUUGGAUGUAAAUUUAACGGUUCACUUACUCUUGCACUCCUUUUAAGAAACUUUUUUGAACUAUUGAAUGUUACAUCCAAAGGUGGGUGAUCACAAUCUCUUAGACCCCUAUAAUCCAAGAGAUCGAAACUAUUAAUAAGAUAUACAAAUGCAUGAACUAAUUUAGUUAAAUUGAUAACUCGAGGACUAAAGUGGCGAAUGAGUUAAAACAAAAGAACCAUUUCAACAUUUAAACCGAAAAAAACAUUUUGAUUAUGUGGGCUGCUUUCGCAAGAGAUAAAUAAAACCUCUUUUUCUACGACCUAGUGAUUUAUAAUAAAAUAUUAUUUAUCUUACUAUUUCUAUUGCAUGCUGCCAUAAGCCUUAUAUUUUUAUAUUGUAAUAGAGGUGAAACGCGUCACUCAAUGACUUUCAGUAUGGGCAGUAGCAAAAAUAUUAGAAAUUAAUUUAUGCAUAUGCUCAGUGCUCAAAUUUAAGGGAUGAAGCCACGUGAAGAUUUUGUUAUAUAAAAACAAAAAGAAGCAAAAAAGAAAAAUGGAAGGCCACCCCACGUGAAAUGGUGAAGCAACGGCUACAAUUACAAAGCAAACCAUCAACAAAGAAAUAAAAAAAAAAAAGCAAAAGGAAGCAUCCAAUGCAAAUUAUAAAAAAAAAAGUAAUAGGAAACCGUGCGAAUGCCAGUCUUCAUUCUUAAUAGCUACCAUGCCAAGUAUAUCAAUUUACGGUGCCUAAUACAUAGGGGUGGCAAUUUCGGAUACGACCCGAUACACGACUCGAAACCCGCACGAGAAAUUAGCGGGUUCAACCCGCACGAUAAAAAAACGGGUCAAUUUCGGGUCAACCCGUUCUGACCCGUUUAAUAAACGGAUGGGUUUCGGGUCAACCCGCUAACCCGCUAUAAUACCUAUCUAACCCGUUUAUUAAACGGGUCGUGUCAACCUGUGUACAACCCGUCAACCCGUCUCUUCUCCUUUUUUUUUCCUUCUUUCUUCUCUUCUCUCUUUUUUUUUUUCCUCUCUUUUCCUUUCCUCUUCUCUCUUUUUUUCUUCUCCUCUCUUUUUUUUUUCCUCUCUUCAGUUUUUUUUUUUCCUUCUUUCUUCUCUUCUCUCUUUUUUUUUCCUCUCUUUUCCUUUCCUCUUCUCUCUUUUUUUUUUCCUCUCUUUUCCUUUCCUCUUCUCUCUUUUUUUUUUCCUUCUCUUCAGUUUUCUCUCAUCUCUCUUUUUUCUGUCUUACUUUCCUUCAAUCUUCUCUCCUAUCUCUCUCUCUCUCUCUCUCUCUCUCUCUCUCUCUCUCUCUCUCUCUAUUUUUUUCUUUCUUUAGCUUCUCUCUUCUCUCCUCUCUCUAUCUUUUUUUUUUCUUUCUUUUCCUUAUAUUUUCUCUACUCUCUCUGUUUUUUUUUAAUUAAAAUUUUUUCGGUUGUGAGUUUUGUAACAUGCAUGUUAUUCUUUAUGAACCCGUUACACGACUCGAAACCCGCACGAUAAAAGACGACCCGAACCCGACACGACACGUUUAUUAAAUAGGUUGGGUUCGGGUUGAGCAUUCUUGACACGUUUAUUAUCCCGACACGACACGAACCCGACACGACCCGACCCAUUGCCAGCCCUACUAAUACAUUAAUUAGCACUAAUCGAUAAUUUUUUGAUACUCUAAUGAUAAUAUCGAUAAUUAGGAGUGUAUCCAAUUCAAAUUUUUAAUCACUUUUAUAGAGUUUAAAAGUUUGAAUGUAUUCAAUUUAGAUUUUUAAAGAGUUUAUAAAAGUCUAAUGGUAUUCAAUUGUGACUUUUAAAAAGUAGUUAAAGUAGUUAAAAGUUUUGUGGUAUCCAAAAAGUUAAUUAUUUUAAAAAAAGCUUAUUAAAUGAAUGACUUUUCUAUAAAAGUAUUUGAGCUAAUUGUUAAGAGCAAAAGUCUUGUUAAUUUAUACUAGUGACUUUUAUAAGUAUUUAAGAAUUUUUCAACUCUAUAAAAAUUACUCAUUUAAAAAAAAUCUUUAUAAGUAUGAAUUGGAUACACUUAAUAUUGAAUUCAUAAUAUAUCAGGUAUUGUAAAUUUAUAUUCCGUAUCAGGCAGUAAGUAGCUAUAUAGCCAUAGUUUCGAGUAAAUAUUAUAUGAGCUUUGAAGAUAAUUAACAUUUAUUCUCUUUGUACUUUAGUAGUUGGGGUUGUAUCUGGUCCUGAUUUUGCAUAUCUAUUAUUUGAUAAAGUCACCUCUGAAAAAGCACAAAUCAUCAAAGUUUGUGGACAUGAGAGAGAGAGAUUACUGUGGCUGGAUUGUCAACAAAGUGUGAAUGGCUUUUCUUCGUGGUCCUUUGGCUUCAUCUUCUACCCUUCUGCGUUGGUCACAUUCAUGUAAUUUUAUAAAGGAAGCCACGUACCACAAAGGCUACCAAGGGCUGAGUUGGAAUCCCAUUCUAAGUAAGGAUUCUUAUGGUUUCAAAUGAUCUAGUUACAUGAGAACUAGGAAAGGAGAACUUUCCCUACUUUGAACCCGACUCUUUGAUAUUAAGAAUGCUGGUUUUAAGAAUGAGUGAUUGCCCUUCUCCAACCCUUAUUGCCCAACCUAAAAGCAGACAGCUAAUGCAAUCCACUUAUUAAUAACUAUUGUAGAUUGAUCUAUAUUAAAUUGACUUGUAUUAAUAUAACUUUAUACACAGUACUAGAUAAUAUGGUAGAGAGAUUCAGAAACUUUAAUAAUUGUGACCACAAAAGGAAACAGUAUAGGUCCUACCUGUGCAUUUUUUCCUGCCUAAACCCUAAACACCUUUUGUUUUUGUGAUCAUCUAAACAUGCUAAAUUAAGAAUGAAAAUUGACAGUUAAAGACUCUCACGAUCACUCUACAAUACUGUGACCUGAAUGCUGAAUCAGCAACUUAAGUUUUAGCCCAUUUGCCACAUACCUCGAAAAUAUCCCAUCCAAUUUCAUGCAACUAAUCACACAAAAAAUAACUUCUUUUGACUUGAUCAAAAAAGACAGCUUAGGGCCCGUUUGAAAACCAUUUCAAUUUUAGUUUUUAGUUUUUUUUUUUUGUUAGAGUAUACAGGAAAAAGAAGGAGAAUGAAAUUGAGUGAAGAUGAGAUUGAGAGAGAAGAUGAAAAGAGAGGAUAAGAGGAAGGAGUGACAAAAGUGAAAACAAAAACUAAAAACUGAAAUAUAUUUGAAAUUGUUUUCACUUUUGUUCCUCCUCCCUCCCAUAUCCUCCCUUCUCAUCAUCUCCCUCAUCUCAAUCCUCACUCCCACUCUCAUUUUUCUCUAACAUUCUAGCACAAAAAAUGAAAACCAAAAACAAAAAUUGAAAUGUUUAUCAAAUAGCCCUUACCUUUCGCGUUCCCACCUUUAAGAGAUGCUUACUUAAUACGUAGUCCAUCUAAAGCAGAAAAAAAAAGCAUUGCUUGGUAAAGUCCAAAACCAAAAGAUUAAAAAUAGGGGUUGGGUUUGGCACUUUAUCCUUUAAUCGUACUUAUCUUCUGAUUUGAAAAAAAAAUCACAAAUUCUUCUUUUCUCUCUCCUUAUCUUUCCAACCCCACUGAUAUCUCAUAAAGGUCUAUAAAUAGGGAGAACCAAGCCACAUUAUACUCACUCAGCAAUCAUCUCUUGCAUACUUUCAUAUAUACAUUAUCGUGCUUGUUAAGCAAAACAUGGCAUCCUCAAAGGCUUUUCUUCUUCUUGGUCUUGUCUUUGCUGUUCUCCUCAUCUCCUCUGAGGUCUCAGCUACUCCAACUCGUGAGUUUCUCACUUUCUUAACUAAAUCAUAUAUAUUAAAUAGUAAUUGUAUCUUUCUUUCCAGUAACGAUUUGCGAGUUUAGGCUCAUUUUAAUUAAGGUGCACUGGUCGUGAAAAUGAUUAUGCUUCGAAUUUGUACUAGAUAUAUAUAGCAUUAGUGCUCUAAAAUAUAUUAAUUAUGAGAAUAUCUGGAUGUAAUUUACUCUUUCUGCAGGAAGGGCUAGUGGUUGUUGUACUUGCAUGGCUUAAUCUAUGAUGGUUAAGUGAUGUAUAUUUUAGAGACUAAUGCUAUUUGUAACACAUUUACUGACCAGAUUGCUGAUCACCUCUCUAAUAUAGAUGGGCCCCACAUAUACUGGUGAGGCCACCUCUAUUAGAGAGAUGGUCAGCAAUGUGGUUAGUAAAUGUGUUCCAAAUAGCAGCACUCUAUUUUUUUCUACAUAUUUUCUUGGGUGCUGAUUUUUCCACUCCUUUUUUGGUUUUUUAAUGCUUUUACUUUAACAUAUAAGGAAGUGUAAGUUGACAAAAUAUGAGUGGGAACAUACAAUUUCUAACAAAAGGAGUGUAAGUGGAUAAAAGAUAAGUGAUAAAAUCAGCUCUCUCUCUCUCUCUCUCUCUCUCUCUCUCUCUCUUUUUCUAUAUAUAUAAAGUUUUUGUUUGUUUUAUCAGAGGAGAGUACAGUCAACUAUGAUGACAAUUUUCUUGAUGAUCACGAGCAUGGGCAUGGGCAUGGACAUGACCAUAGGCACGUCCAUGGCCAUGGGCAUGACCACAGGCAUGGACGACAUGGCCAUGGCCACAAUGGCAAAGGGGGACCUGGUGCUGCUGAGACUGAAACCGAGAAUUAGAUAACCUGUUAGUUUCUGUAUUUAUGCUGCAGGUGUAUCGUAAGGGUAGUAGUAUGCAAUAAAGUUGUAAUGGUUUGAGUAAUAUCUAUAAACUCUCAAUCAUAGGUUCGCCUUAAGCUUGUUCUUGUGUUCUCUGUCAUGUACGGAUUGGAUCACCUUGUUAUGUACUAAAAUGUGAUUUAACUUGUUGAAUACAUAUUAUGUCAAAAAUGUCUAGUAUGGCUUGGCUACUUAAAAUUGAGGAGGACAUCCUCACAAUAAAUGAGAUUUUGAAACUUGUUAAACUUCAAAAGAAAAAAAGGUUAAGGGAAUUCCAAAGAAAAAAAAUUAAAGGAAUUUUCCAAGUUUCAAAAGUCUAUUUGUUUUGAAGACGAACUCCUCCUCAGUUUUAAGGAGUGUAAGUUUUUUCCUAAUAUUAAUGGAGUUUCAUAUAUGACUCAUUUGUUUUGUGUGAUGACCAUUUGGUUAAUGAGUUGAGCACCGAAUCUAAUGAAGUGAUUUACGAUUGAUUUUAUGUGAACAUUGGAGGCCAGAGUAGUGUUUCCCACCGUUGACAAGGGAUUGGAAGAUCGAGCUUGAUGGAAAAAUAAUAAGGAGCAAAACUUAUAGAAGCAUGCCAUGCAUGUAUUGUUGUUAUCAUGAUGAUACUAAUUUGGCAAUUUCUAGCUUGAUAAAAAAAAGAAGAAGAUAACUUAACAUCUACUCGUUUACCUAGGCAUUUCAAUACAUAUCUGUCUUCAUGUAAUGUUUACAUUUUUUAAAAGAGAAUGGGAAAAAUACAAGGAGAAGCCUCUAGGGCAUCUUAUAAAGGAAAAAAGAAUCCCAAACAAGCAUGAAAAACAUCUGCUGGGAGAGAAUAUAUCCAAACAUGUGUUUCCUAUGCCAUGGCCUUGAACCGCCAUUGCAUCUGCUAUAAAAUUAGCUUCUCGAAUAACAUGAUUAAAGAAAAUAUAUACUCAAAGGAGCAUGCCAAUCUUAGAAUAUUCUUCUGAUAGUGUGAAGGCAUCAAAAAAAUUCAGACUUGGCGUUUAUGGCAUCAAUAUAUUAGUGUCUGGAAAUCACCUUCAACUUCUAGUCUUCUCCUCUGUCUGCUGGCAACAAAGGAUAAACAAUCUUAGCAAUAAGCACACAAGUGUCUACAGUAUUUCGAGCUCAUGAAAAGAGAGGGUUCCCAUACAAAUAAUAAACCUCGACGGUCCCUGACUGGAUUUGAGCAACAAACCAUAAAAGUUGAGCAUAUAGCAAGUGGGGGAAGGUGGUUUCCAUUGACUGAGGCGAUGCUCCUGUCUAGCAUGGCGAGUCCCUUGGCCAAUGGCUCUAUAAAAAGCCACACCAACAUGUCUCGCAGUAUGUAUGACUUUGAUGAGCGGGUGGAGUUGGAGUUGCUUGAAAAUCCAUUUAUUUCUGCACAUCCCAAAGUUGUAAGAGAAGCCUAGAAUCCAAGCUAGCAAAUCUUUAGAAGGGUUUGGUCUCAAAUUAGAAGGGCAUGGUUCCAUACUUGAGAAGAAGAAGAAAGGCUGUUGUUUAUACCAUAGUCAACAGAUCUCAUUCGCUAAUGGACACGACACUGAAAACCACACAUGCCAAAGGCUUAACCAUCAUAAUCAACCGAAGUGUUAAGAUGAAGAGAAGAACAAAGAAAUGAAGAACAAGAAGAUGAAGCACAGAGAGAAUCUUAGGAGAAGAAUUAGAUUUUCUAUAUUUCGUUCAUCCCUACAAUAGCCUUAGCUAAUAUCUCACUUCUAUGACUCUCCUAACUGCCUUGUAACAAUACUUAACAGCUCACUAACAAACUUCAGGGCUGGCCCUGAUAUUUUUAAGGCCCAGGGCAACGUCGAAAAUAUACCCUAUUUAUGUAUAGCUCUACACAAGAAAGAUCAUUUUAUUUUAUUUGCACAUGUGUGUAUAUGAAACCUUUUAUAACCAUACAAAAAAUUUUAGGGCUCCGACAAAGUGUCAUUUAAUUUUUGUAUAUAAGAAAUGAUUGAAGAUGCUAUGUAUCUAUAGCUCAACACACAAGAAAAAUAAUUUGAUUUUAUUUGCUCGUGUGUUUAGAAUAUUAAAAAAUAGAACUUUUAUAACCACAGAAAAAAGUUUAGGCCUCCGACAAAAUGUUAUUUAUUUUUUGUAAAAAAGUACUAAAAAGAACCAUGCACUCGCAUAAAAAAGAGGCGCAAGGAUAUAACUAGUUACCAAAAUAUGACCACAUAAAAAAAAUUAAAAAAAUUUGGGCCCUCCCUUGAGCCAAGGCCCAGGGCGGUCACACUGACUACCCUAGCUCAAGGCCGAGGCUGACAAGCUUAACAGCUCACUAAUAAUAUUCUAAUAACUCACUCCUUAAUCUGCUAACACUUGGCACUAUCAUCAUCAUGAUAUUCUUACCCGAAUUGACUGCAAUAACCACGCAAGCCUCAAUCAAGAUUGUUGAUGGAAGACCCUACCGAUUGGUGAGGCACAAUCCGCCAUCGCUGAACGACAAUAAGGACCAUCAAAAAAUCCGAAUGUGCUUCUCAACCACUAGGCAUCAUGCUUGCCGAAGAAGGAUCCAAACAAGGCUGUCAUGUCAGUUUUAGGAUACAUGCCAUCACCACAACAAUUGACAGGAAGUCUCACAUUGAAGAAAAUGUGCAAAUAUCCCUUACCAUUUGUCUAUACACUAUUCCCAAAAUGGAAGAUAAUUAAUCAAUGCUACCAUUACUCUGUAAAAAUCAUUUCAGACUUUGCAUUUAGCUAAUUUAAGCAUCAGAGAGCUUUUGGUCGGUACUAGACCGGUGCCAAUAUUUCACCAAUUAUCUUCCUCACAGGUCAUCCUACACUUGCCGAAGGCUGCAUGAGGCAAAGUUUUGAAGAUCAGCUCCCUUUAGAGUUGCAUCCAAUUUUGGACAUCAACAACAAUUUAUGAAGAGGGUUGAAAGAUUCAGUUUUUGUCUCACAUAAAGCACACAUUAGAUUUGCAUGGGCAUUAUUUGAGCUGGUGAUUACUUUUACUUGUAAGAAUCCUCUUGAUUUGGAGGGAUAACCUCCAGUUUUUUUUUUUUUUUUUUUCCAAUGAUGGGUUUUUGGGUGAACAUUUUUUGUGUGUUGAUCUGAUUACUAUGACUAGUCAUACUAUAUAUGUUAUCUCUGUAAUGUUGAAGAAUCUUCACACACCUCUCACUUUAGUUAUUGCUAACACAAGAGAUGUCUAAAUUGACAGGUCCUUCUGAGUGCCUAGAUUGAUAGGACAUCUCACUUUAAUCAUCUUCUAAGUUUGAAUGGAUUUGAAUAUUAAUUGAUAAGUGAAUGUGUCUCUUCUGUUAUGUGUUCUUAGAUCUAUGACUAGUUGUUGACUAGUCAUAUAUUUUCUAGGAUUACUUUGUUGAUACGUCUAAUCUAUGGUCUAUCUUAUCAGCAUUUAAAUUUACCCCUUCCACCUAAUUACUAAUUUUAUUUUGACUUUGGGUGGGAUUUGGAGUUUCCAAAUUUUUGAAAGCAAAUGUUGUAAGGAUAGUACAGCCGAAAAAAUUCAACUAUAUUCUAAUGCAAAUGAUAUUGAAAUGUGGACCUGAAGAAUUGUAAACUAGUGUAAUGGGUUAAGUGAUACAAUCCCUCGAGUCAAACAGAGAGAUAAUGUUUACCAUUUGUUUGUUUGUAAUACAAUCUCAUUUAUCACUCCUUUUUCUCAGCCCAAAUGUAUGAAAUAUUAUCUUUAAUAUCUAAUCAAUUGAAAUAUUAUCUUUCAUAAUCACCCAACAAUUUGAUAUGAUGCUAGCUAUCAAUCACGCUAUCUAACCAACUUUUGACUUAGCUAUUCGUCAUUUUCAUAAUCAAUCACAAACCAAACUCUAUUGACUUUAGUUAUUGCUCCUUACAUUUUGCGCAUAAGGAAAGAGCCAUCUACACCAAUCUGACCACAUUACUAAUCACAUCUUGCACACAAACAAAACUCAUAUGAAAUUUUGCUGAUCACUAACUUAAAUACGUAGUCUUAUCAACCUAUCAAAAUCAAACAAAGCAUCUUGAUUUAAACUAGGUUCUGCCUUUUUCUUUUGGUGAGAAAAAAAAAAAUCUUAAAGGUCUAUAAAUAGAGAGCCAAGUGCCACAUUAUGUUCACUCAGCAGAAAUCAUCUACCCUUCGUACAUUAUUUGUGUUCACCUUGUGCUGAUUACCAUAUGGCAUCUUCGAAAACUUUUCUUCUUCUUGGUCUUGUCUUUGCUGUUGUCCUCGUCUCCUCUGAGGUCGUCUCAGCUCGCGAGCUGGUUCCGACUACUGCUCAAACCCGUCAGUUUCUUUCUUUCUCAAAUAAAUCUUUUGUUUCUUUUAUUCUAGUAUGAGUUCGUAAACUUUUCGAGGCACAUUCUAUAUGUGGUACAGGAUAGAUCAUGACAAUUUUUAAUGAUACGAAUUAAUUUGUAUUUAUAUAUGUGACUUGUAAAGAAAUGAAUGGUUAAGAUUUCUUUAGCUAAAUGAUGUGCCUGCAUGGCUUAAUUUGCAACUUUUCGACAUAUAUAACGUUUUUCUUUUUAUGCUAUUUUCCUCUUCUUUUUUUUUUUUUCUUUCAGAGGAAAAUGUAGAGAAGGAUAACUAUGGUGACCAUUUUCACUGCCACGAGCAUGGACUUUGGGAGCAUGGCCACGGCCAUUGCCACGGACACUGGGAGCAUUGUGGCCAUGGCUGCCACGGAAAAUGGGGACAUGGUGCUGCUGGGAGUGAAAUAGAGAAUUAGAUAUAAACCUAUAAUUUGCCUGUGGUAGUAUAUGUUGCAGGCAUGUUAUAAGGUUCAUAAAUAAAUCUUUGUUUGUCAAUAAAGCAGCAUUAAUUGGUUGAGUAGAUCCAUAACUCCCAAUCACAGCUGGUUUUUAGGGUUUAUUGAUCCUCGCCUUAGAUUUGCUACAAUGCACUUUGAUUUGCUGAGUUGAAGUUGUGUCAAAAGUGUACUGUUGAACUUUGGAAUCUAUCCUUGUAAAUAAAUAAAUUUGAAGUUUUUUUUUAAUUACUGUGCUCCACUGAAUUGAAGUGCAUUCAAUAAAAUUAUAUAACAAAAACUCUCUAUGCGUGGUUGAUUUAUAGAUAGAGUGAUAGAAAUUUGUACAAGUGUUCUAUUGUACUCGGUCCACGUGUCGUGAUGAUAUAGCUGUUAGUCUGUUUGAUAUGAUUAGGGAUUGCUUAAUAGUUAGUUUGCAGGUUAGUUUUGGCGGCAAUUGAUGACUUUGCAGAGCUGUUGAUGAUUUCGUAAAAAUAUUGUAUUCUUGAAUUUUAAUAGCACAAAGUUCUUGUUCAUAUAUCUUCGAGUCAAGGUUGAGGAUAAACUGGGUCUAAUCAUAGAAACAAAAUUGCAACCUUCUACUGGAUUUCAAAUUGGAAAGCCUCUCAUCAAUCAGACUUCACGGAAGCUCACGGCCCAAUACUUAGAGUAGUACGUAUAAAUAGCUUACUAUAUAAGUAGCCAAAGGAAGGACGUGUGCACUUUUGUUACAAUUAUGACAUCCUUAACAUACAAAAACUCUAUGUGUAUAUGUAUAUUUUAUUAGGAGAUUCAUUAUUAUAUCCAAUAUAAGAGCUCAAAUUAUAAAAAUACCAUAUAUGAAAUGGACUUUAGAAACAUACCCAAAGCUCAUUUACAACAUAACAAAAAAAACUUUUAUAAUUACAAAACUGUCAUUGAUUUCUUAACAAACUUAACCCCAAAACCUCAUAAAAAAACCCAAAACACUCAAUAGGGCAUCAAAGUAAUUUAAUAAUCAAAAUUAAAUUAAAUAGGGUCAGCUGUCAUUUUUUGGGUUUGUUUAUAGAAAUUAAAUAGUGUAGGGCUUAUUUAUAGCUUUAGUGCUAAGAAUGUAUAUGACUAAAUAUCUCUAUUUUAUUUUCGAGUCAUACUAGGGAGACCAACUUUAGAUACCAAUUUGUGUACUAUUUUCUAAUAGAGCUGGAGCCCACCAAUACAAUAGGUCACACCUCUAUUAGAGAGAUGGUACACAAGUUGGUUUUUUUUUUUUUUUUUUGAGGACCUUUCCUAUUGAAAGGGGCGAUAGCAUAUUAAACUCACACACACAACACGGAUGCUAGGACUCGAACCCAGGACCUUGCCUGAGGGAGUAAAUACUCCAAACCACUACACUAGUGGGUCCUUUGCACACAAGUUGGUAUUUAAAGUUGGUCUCCCUAGCAUUUUCUUUUUCUUUUUAUAUAUAUGAGUGCUCAAGCGCUAAUUGGUUGGUAAGAUAAGAUGAUGCUAAUCAUUCAUUUGGGCUUACUCCACAACAUCAUCUCACAAUCCAAACCGAUUUUUAGUUCAUCAUUCAAAGAUCACCCUUGUAAAAAGUUAGCCAAAUUAGACAACAUUUUGUCAUUUAGGUGUGAUCAAAUAAACACAAACACAAUUUAUUCAAGAUGAUAAUAAAAUAGUUAAAUUCUUUAUGAUUUGGCUAAUUUAAAAUGACACUAAAGUUUGAGAGAUUAACCUUAACUUUUUAUGGGUGCCAAUAACUUUCCUAUAUAUAUAAUAUAAAUAUUUUUCUCCUCUUUAUUUAUUUGGAAAAGAUGCUUUAUUAAGAGAAGUACUGUGGGGCCCAUUUGGUUCAUGAAAAAGAGACUUAGGGAUGGAAAAUCAAUUACUUUUCCAUAUUUGGUAAGUCCAGGCAUGGAAAAUGGUUGUGUGACAUAUGAGAAAGUAGAGGGAAAAGUGAAGCCCUCCUCCCAACUUGGGUGACAUAUGGGAAAGUUUAAGAAAAUGAGUCAACAUUAAAUGCACAUUUUUUAUGACCAUUUUGUCCCCAUUAACAAUUUAGAACUAUAAUAUAUCAUUAAAUAUAUUUUUUUUAUUUGAUUUAAUACGGGUAUAAUUGAAAAAUUAUACAAACUUUGUUUUCCAUUCCUACUCAAAACAAACUUAGGAAAGGAAAUAAAGUGAUAUCUCUCUGUUACUUUCCCAACAUUUCCUAACGUGAGAAAUGUUUUCCCCUCAAAUCCGUUCUGUGAACUAAAUGGGGAGGGCGGACCUACGAAGGGGCUCAACCGGGUUUUAGCCCAGUGCUAGUUUUGUACUUUAGUCUUCAUUGUACAACAAAAUCCACUACAAUUAAAUAUUAUAGCCCACUUAUCUUUUAGAAUUCAGCGUAUCCUAGCCACCAAAAUCAGAUUUUAUUUUCUUCUACCCAUUGAAAUUCUACCAUAUUUUCUAUAAAACAAAAUAUAUAUAAUCCUACCAUAUAGUAUUAAUUAGCCCAAAAAUUCUUGGUUAUAAAAGAUCUUCCCAAAAAAAAAAGAAAAAUUACCCACCCCUGAAAAAAUUCCUAGGUCCGCCAUUGAGAAGCACUUACACAAAUGAUAGGAUGAAACCAUAUGAAACCCAACGUAAGAGCCAUGAACAAAAACGUAAUCUUAAAAAAGAUUCGAGCCCUGAACUAAUUACAAAAAAACAAAGAAAAGAAAAAAGAAAAAGGAAACCAGAACACCCCUACAUGUUGCACACCCAAAAUGGCUUUGCCAGCAACAGAAAUUGUCAAGAAGAACAAAAAAAUUAAGAAAAAACUUUCAAAAAACAAAGAGAUAGUAAAAUAACACAAUCAUAUAUGGACAAGAAAAAGAAAAGAAAAACUGCAAAUUAGAGAAAGUAAAGAAAACCUGCUAAAACAACCCAACACAAAUUAAAAUACAAAAUAAACCAAGAAAACAUACAAAACAGCAAGAAACCAAAAGAACAUAGAAAUAAACCACAAAGAGUCUAAUUUAGCAGACUCUAUUAGCGGGAUGCCCAAAUAAGUUCCCUUCAUUCUCUUUGUGGUUUAUUGUGCUUUUUCUCUGUUCUUUGUGGUUUAUUGUAGGUUUUCUUUGUGUUAUGGCAAUUUUGUUUUGCUUCUUCUCUUUAACAAGCAAAGAUAAGGGUGCAAUCGUUAUCCAUUAUAAUAUUAUAAUAAUAUUAUUUUUGCCUAAUCAUGCUCAAAUGUGGAAUUCUGAUAAAGUUGGUGUUGGAGAUCAAUUAGAAAUUAACCAAAUAACAGAAUAUAACAACACGAAAAUAAAUUAUAUAUAUUAUCAAAUCAUCAAAUUAAUACAACAAAGUUCAAUACAACAGUAGAAUCAAAUAGAAAAUACUAACGUGAUUGGAUGAUAGAAUUCUGCAGAGUUGCAGUGUCCUUUAGACAACAUUUCUCCUCUACCUCUUGUGUUUGUAAGUUCAAUAGAAGGCUGUCCACUAUGAUUAAACUAUCACAAAUUAAAGCCUAAGUAAGAUGACUUUGAUUUCUGGCGAACAAUGACAUGUUUUUCUCUCAUGAAAUGAUUAUUUGUGGAGAAAUGAUAAUGUGAUUUCAAAAUUCUAUGCAUAAUGGCUUGAACGAAUUGUCUUUUAUAUAGAGGUCUGAUACCUCUUCAUCCAAUACUUGUAAGAACUGCAUAUAUAUACAGUGAGCUUCUAUUGAGGGAUUCCUCAAAUAAAUAUUUGAGGGACACCCUUAUAUGGCCCACUCCGUAUUGUAUUUCACUAAUCCAAACCGUCUAUUUUGUAGAUAUUCAUUCAAAGAUCAUCUCUACAAAAAAUCACUUGAAUCCGAUAUCAUUUGAUCACUCAAUUAAAUUAUUAAAAUUUUAAUACUUUUUUAAAACACCGUGUUUAUUUUUUGAUAUAAUAAAUUCUGUUUUUUCAAAACAAAAUUCCUGAUGGAGUUCCGAUAUGGGAAAGAAGCCUUUAUUUCUUUUGUGUAAUAUCAUGAUAUUGAACCGAGAUGAAAACUUCCUUCAUGGUUCUCUUUACAUUGUCACCCAUUGAAAUUAGUAUUUUAAAGCUAGCCUAUGAUUGAUGAGUCUAACUUCUAACAGUGACCACCGUAUACGAUUUGAAUCAAACCUAAGAGAGACCAUUCUAAAGAAUUUUUCAGAUUAAUGAUUUGUCGAAGUCUCAAUAAAAAGAAAACAGGAAAAGAGAAACUUGAUAUGCAGAUCGUAUGAAGAUUUCCAAUCCCCUUCCGCUACAAAAACAAAAGCUUCAGUGUCUCUGUUCUUUUCUUUCCUGGAAGUGUUAACAGCAUAAAAACUUUUGUCAUUUGUUAUGAGUUGCAUAGUUUGCAUGACAUCAUUAUAGCAACAUCACAAAUCGUCAUAAAUUGAAGAACAGAACCUAAGUAGAGAAUUACUCAUAUAUUUAUAUUGAGGGAAGGAAAUAUAUCAAGAAAGUAGAUUUUGAAAUAAAUAAUAGUACUCUUUCUACUUUAGCUUGAUUUGCAUGUCGGAAAAGAUUGAUAGAAAAGCGACAAAUCCACAAUACAUGUGAGAGUCGACAUGGCACUGUGAAAAGUCUUUCUUCGAAACUUCUUUGCAACCACAUCCUUUGCAUUUGCCUUCAUUUAUUAUAAAUUUUGGAAUAGCUUUUAACUUUAUUUUUAUUUUUAUUUUUAUUUCUUUGUCGGAAUGUCCUUUUGCCUUAAUUAUUGGAUCAGUGAUAAGAUGAAGCCACUGCAAACCACCAAAAAUUAUAAAGUCGAUGAAGAUAGACAGAAGCAACAUAGGUAGUGGUCCAAUCAGUGCCUACAGCUUUCUUUAUCCCUGUAAUAUCCCACAUCGACUAACGGAGAGGAAAUGAUGUACCUUAUAUGUACAUGUCCACCUUUAUCUAGCACGAGACUUUUUCGAAGUUAAGUGAGUUUGGGCUAGAGCAAUCCCAGAAUGGAUGACCCACUGGGAAGUUGCUCGUGAGUUCCCAAAAAUAAAACCGUACCCAAAGCGGACAAUAUCGUGCUACGGCGGAGCUGAUCCCGAGAUGUGACAAUCCCUCUUACAAACAUAAAUAAUAUGGUAUAAUUUAUACACAUGUAAUAAUAUGAAUGGACGACACAGACCAAUUACAGUGAGAUACAUGUACAAAAGUACCUCAUCAAAUUUACAAAAUAAAAAGUUAGGCACACAUGUGAGAUUGUGAUUUGUUUAUAAUAUGAAAUGACUCAUCCUUACAUAUGCAAUGAGCCAAAGAUUUUCCUUAAUCAGUUUGGAUGGAGAAAAUUAACUCCGAAUUGAGCUAAAAGUUAAUAAUUGAAGAGGAGAAAUUGAUAUUAAAUGACGUGCGGAAAAAAUCGUGGAAAAUGGGUUUCGAAAUUUCUAAGUUAAUUUUCCCAAAAGAGGAAUCAUUUCACACUUUCUAUUGGAUAAGAAUUUAUUUUUCAAUAUAGUUUCUAUCACUUACAAAAUUUGACAUAUAUAAAUUUAAAUAUUAAAAUUAUUAAUUGUUAAAAAUUUAAAUAAUAGUAAUAUAAAUUUCUUCAUUCAUUCGUUCAUCCAAAUCAAAGGUAAAUAGUGCCCUAGUAUAUUAGGGACGAAAAGUACCAAAACAAACCCCAAUACCCGUGCUAGUGUUGACCUUUUUAGUAGAAUUUAUCUUAUCUAUUUCUAGUGUAAUACGUGUUUUUGGACUUGUGGUGAUUAUUAACAGGUGGCAUUGGUUAUCUCGGAUUGGUGUCGGUUUCUAAUGAGUUGGUUUGUAAUGCUAAUUUCUUUUGCUCAUUGUUUCUGGGUUUCUGUAGGUUUAUUGUCAAAUUUUUGUAUUUGCCAGAAGCCUCAUCCAAAAUUGUAUAUCGCCCCCUGUUGCUGUAUGAAGGGAAAACAAAUAAGGUUCUCCAAAAAAAACAUAUUGGUUGAGACUUCACUUUUUCUUGCUGAACACAUGUAUCACGUGUCAACUUACUUUCUUUCUUCUUCUUCGUCUUUUCUAUUUUUUAUUUAAUUAAUUUUGUUUAUUUUUAAUUUUUUUUCAGUACCCCUUUUUCUUUUGUGCAUUUACGCGCUAUACGAACUGAUAUAAACAAUUCAUGACGAUUAAAUGGGAGCUUUCCAGUUCUUAACUUUACCUUAUCUUCAACUUUAUAUCACAUAUUGUACUAAUCCUUUUAAAAGCAUGACACUUUUGUGUGUGCAUUUUCUUUUGACGAUACGUUCCUUUUAAGUGAUCUUGAUGCUUGUUAUAAAUUUUGUGCAUAAUUAAGUGUUCGUUUGGCAUUGCUUAUUUGGGGUAAUAAGUGAUUUUUUAAAAAUUUUGAGAAGUCCAAUCCGUUUGGUAAACUGUAAGAAAAUCACUUAUUGUUAAAAAUUGCGAUGAGAGAAAGCUAUAGGGGAAAACAGCUAAUGAUGUGCUUUCAUUUUCUGAUUAUGCAGGAAUCAGUUUCAAAGAGGCGCUAGGUUUAAUGAUUAUGCGGCAAUCAUUUUCUGAUUAUGCGUAAAAUCAAUAUCAACAACACUUUUAACAAAAAAUUUACCAAAUGCCAAACUGCUUUCUCUUACAGCUGAUUUCUCUCAUAGCAAAUCUGAGAGCGAUUAUUUUCACUGUACAGCAAUGCCAAACUGGAAGUUAGUUUCUUGGUAUUUAACUCUUUUAAUGUUUUUAUUUAAUUAUAAAAUUUAAUUUGCCUUCUGGAGUAUACAUGUCAAUUUACUCUUCAAUAUGAACUUUAACUAAUUAAAUACGAUUUUCCCGACUUCAAAUAAUUAAAUAUAAUUAGGGACGUGGAGUUGUUGGGCUCUGAUAUCAUGAAGCAAGUAGAGUUUCCAUCCUACAAUCAAUUGUGAAUGGAGGGAGUGACCAAACUUCUUACAAGCCAUUUGUGAGAUUUCUUAACUUUUCAACGUACAUAAGACAUUUCUUCCCAUUAUCAUAUAUAUAUAUAUAUAUAUAUAUAGUAAUGUAUAGAAUUAAAACUUGCUACUCUAGCUAGCUAGCAGCUUUCUCAAUUACAUUUAGAGAUGAAUAAUAUGGCAAAAAAUAUGAUAAAUAUGUAUAAUUAUUAUCACACCUUUUGUCAGAUAAAAAUGGUGUCUAGAAAUGUAAAUAUAGAAUGAAAACUGAAAUGAAAAGGACUUGCAUAAUCAUCACUCUACAGUGAGAGGCAUGAAAGAUGAAUACGGAGAGACCAAGCCAAAUUAAAAGAUGUGAGAAACUCAGGUUGAAUUUCUCUCUCUCUCUCUCCCUCCACCACCCCACUCUAUCUUAAAGGGUCUAUAAAUAGGGAGAGCUAAUCCCCAUUAUGUUCACUCAGAAAUCACGUCUUAUCUUGUCUUGUUAAUUAUAAGCAAAAAAAUGGCUUCCUCGAAAACUUUUCUUCUGCUUGGGCUUAUGUUCGCUGUUGUCAUCCUCAUCUGCUCUGAGGUCUCAGCUCGUGAGCUAGCUGAAACUACUACUCCAUCUAGUCGUGAGUUUCUCCCUUUGUUAACAAAAACAUAUAAGUCUCUUUUAUUCCUCUGAUUUAUGAAUUUAAUUUAUGCAUGGCAUCUAUCCUUUAGUUGACGAGACGUAAUAACAUAUCAAUAAUUUUUUACAAAUCUGGAUGUUUCAUCAUUUUGCAUGUACGUACGUAUAUAUAGGUCGACGCAUACUUUUUAUAUAUUCAUUUAUCUUAUUCUCUUUCUAUAUAUAAAAGGAGGCGCAGUGUCAUGUAACCGUCCAGGCGCACUGUGCCAUGGCCGUGGAGAAAAAGGCAAUAACCCUAAACCUGGAGGAGAGCAUUGUAAAAAGAAUCCAAGUCUCAGAGGGUGCUAUAACCAUGGAGGUCAUGAACGUGGAGGAGAGGAAGACCCUAUCCAUAAAAGGCAUGGUCAUGAACACGGAGGAGAGCAUGACCCCAACCAUAAAGGCCGUGGUCAUGAACAUGGAGGAGUAGUGCUUGAACCCAUCCAUGGAGGGAAAGGCCACGGUCACGAACGCGGAGGAGAGGGAGACCCUAACCAUGGAGCACAUUGUAAACGUGGAGAAACCAAUAGAGCGUGCUACGGGCAUGGAGGUCAUGAACGUGGAGGAGAGGGAGACCCCAUCAACCACGGCAGCAAAAACAGACCAGGACAACCAGGCACCGCUGAGACCGAAACAAAGAAUUAGAUAAAACCUUGGCCUGUGUACGUGUGUGGAAAGUUUGUUUGUCAAUAAAAAGGUCUAUUACAUAUAUUGGUUGAGUAGUUGUGAACACUCAGGCAAAAUCAGACCUACUAUAUAAGGUUUAUCUCUGUACUGUUACGUAAUGUAGUCUUGGAUCCUGCUUGUUAUAUGUACUUAAUGCAUGUGUUUUAAUUUUCUGAAUUGAUAUUGUGUGUGGAAAGUGUCUAGAAUUUCAAGUUUACCUUUAAUUGCUUACUGAGUUCCAUUUGAAAUCUCACAAUUUUCUGUUUUGAUUCGUGUCAUGAAUAAAUAAUAAAUAAACUAUGAGAGGGACCAAAUAGAACUAAUGCACACCCACAAAAAGUAUCAAUUAUGGUCAAUCAAUGCAACUAGCUUCUAAAUAUGGGUGGUUAGAUCCAUAAUAAGAUGAAGCCAUUGGAAACCACCAAAGUUUAUAAAGUUGAAUAUCCUUACACAAUGGUAAUUUUCCUUCUAAAUAAACAAAAUAAAUCUUAAAUUUUAACCUGGUGAUUAUUUGUUUAUGUCUAAUCUCAUUUAUUUUUCAACUAAUUUUUGUUAGUAGUGUAUUAGAAAAAACUAUUAGUGUGCUCAAAAACAUAAAUUAAUUGAUGAAUGGUCUUUAGAGGAUCCUUUUUAUAAUUUUAGUUUCCGUCUUUAAAAAAAAUUAGUUAAGACUACAAUUUUUUUAAAAAAAAUUAGUGAACACAUGUAUCACGAGUCAACCUACUUUCUUUCUUCUUUUUUUCCUUUUUUUUUUUUUUUUUUUUCUGGGAGUGCAUUUACACGUACAAACUGAUUUAAACAAUUCCUACACAACAGCUAUUUGAUGAUAAAAUGGAAGCUUUCCAGUCGAGCUACUUUCUGUUAAUUUAUCUUUAACUUUAUGUCACGCUGAGUCUACUAAUCCUCUUACGAGCAAGACUUUUUUUUUUGUUCCCUGAGCUUUGAAGUAAGACACUUUUGUGUGCAUUUCUUUUGACGAUUAUGUCCUUUUUAGGUAGAGCUUGAGCUUGUUUAUUAAUUAUCUGCGUUAGUUUCUAGUACUUAAUGUUUUUUUCUUUGCAGACGUGGCUUAGGCCAGUUGGUUCAUAUAGUGAGUUUAUCUCCGUACAUAUUUUAAAUAUACGAAAUAUCCAAUCCAAUAUUAAUUACCAAAAUAACCAUUUGUGUCUGAAAAUAUAAAUAUAAGAAAGGAAACAAAAAUCGAAAAGACUUUUGUAAUCACUCUACAGUGAGAGACAUGAAAAAUGAAUAUUAUAAUGAGUGAGAAUACUAUUCCUGUUGUAAAUGCAUGAGUUGGUGGAUGGCCACCAUACCUCUUAAUAUUCCACCGUUGGAUUUUAUGUAACCUAUGCACUAAGUAUUUGUAAUUAGUGCUUGUAACCUAUAUGUAUAUUGUAAAUGAUGGUAUUCAAUCUCCUAUCUUGUAAGCCUAUAAAUAGGUGGUUCUACCAAAGAUUUAGGGUAGAAUAAACAUGGUGAAACUUUGUCUUUAGCAUAUCACUUCUCUCUACAUUUUCUCCCUCUAGUUUUAUAACAAUUCCACCUAUUCGUGAGUUUCUCCCUUUGUUAACAAAAUAUAUAUAUAUAUAGUUUUCUUUUAUUCCUCAGAUUUGUGAAUUUAAUUAAGCACAUCAUUCAUACAAAUCUAUGACAUACCAAUAAAUUUUGAUAAAUUAUCCUGAUUUUUCCGUAUAUAACAUUUUUGUUUCUAUGUUAACUCAUCAGGAUUUAUUAGUUUGAAAUUAAUUAUGAUUGUUGUACAUAAUCUUGGAUUAAUCUUCCUAUGGAAAUAGCUCCUCUACAACUACACAAUUUAUUUAUUUAUUUUUUUGAGGUCCUUUCCUAUUGAAAGGGGCGAUAGCAUAUUAAACUCACACACACAACACGGAUGCUAGGACUCGAACCCAGGACCUUGCCUGAGGGAGCAAAUACUCCAAACCACUACACUAGUGGGUCCUUUGCACAACUACGCAAUUUAUAUAGUUGUGAAAUAGCUCCUCUAUUAAUUAGUAAGAUUAUUCUAACAUUCAAGAUAAGUUCUAUAAGGAGAAUGCCCCAUAUAUGAUGCCGUGAAUUAGCCAUCCAUAUAUAUAUAUAUACAUACAAGGAGUUUUAGUUGAGGAAUUCUUCAAAUAAGCUUAUUUGAGGGACAUCUUUGUAGUGUCCAUUUCGUAUUAUUUCACUAAUCCAAACUGUCUAUUUUGUAGAUACUCAUUCAAAGAUCAUUUCUACAAAAAAUCACUUGAAUCCGAUAUCAUUUGACCACUCAAUUGACGUAUUGAAAUUUUAGUACUUUCUUGAAGCAUCGUGUACAUUAAUUUUGUAGGACACAAUUGGAUGUCGAAACAAUUUUCGAUUUGUCUAAUUUUUUGAAAGGAUGAUUUAUGAAUGUAGACUUAAAAAAUUGAUGGUUUGGAUCAUUGAAAAAAAUUCAUAGAGGACCCUAAAGGGUGUCCCUCAAUAGAAGGGGACUGUAUAUACAUAUACAAUUAUUCUCUUAUCCAAAUAUCUAUACGUUGUUACCAUACGGAUGUAAAAAAUACAUGGCGUUCGCACGAUAAUAACGUUUGUACUGUCCAAUAGAAAAUAAACAUAUUUGAGAUUCACCCUUGUAUGGCCCACUACACAUUAUAAUUAAUGAUCUGAACUGUCUAGUUUUUAAAUAUUCCCUCUUAGAUCAUAUAUAUGCAAAAAAAUCAUUUGAAUUCAAAACCAUUUGGCUACUCAACUAUAUGAUUGUUAUCAUAAACUUUUUUUUUUUUUGAAGCAUCGUGUUUGUGUAUUUUAUUAGUUCCAAUUAGAUACCUUUUUAACUUUUAAUUUAUAUGAUUUUUUGCAAGAAUGAUCUAUGAAUGAAGGUUUAAAAAAUAGAUGGUUUGAAUGGUUAAAUUUAUUUCCGUAGAGUAACCUAAAGAAUGUCCCUUAAAUAAAAUUAUUUUAGAGAUCCCUCAAUUAAGGAAAGAAAAAGACACAAUCGUUAUCCAUUUAUUAAUCCUGCUCAAAUGUGGAAUUCUAAUAAAGUUGGGUGCAUUAGGGUUUGUAUGAUAUUAUAUUUUUCUUAUAAAAUAGUUUCGAUGACAUCAUUGUAAGACAUCACAUAAGUCGUCAUAAUUUGAGAAGCCAUUAAAUUAGAUUUAAAGGUGGAUAUAGGUCCAAGAGAAUGACACUGUAUGUACAUAUAUGGAGGAAAAGAUAUAUAUCAAGUAAGAAUAUUGUAAAAGAUUCUGGAAAAACUACAAAUCAACAAUACAUGGCAGUGCGAAAAGUCUUUGUUCAAACCUUUUUUUAUUUCGGUAGAGAGGAGGGCUAAAGCCCAAUACAAAACACGAACUAAUAAUUAAUAUUAAAUGGUCGAUAGCAAGGGAGCAUCCCAAAUAUGGAGACCCAAAGGCUUAAUAAUUUGGCAACCAGAAAAAAAAAAAAAGCAUAUAUCAACAACAUAAUUGUUUUCCCUAAACACAUGAUGAAUCUGACACAUACCAUCAGACAUAAUAGGUUUGCAACAAGAUAUAAGACUGAACAACGGGUGCAAGGGAUCACAACUAUGAGCAUUAUGACCUAAUUUUUUAAUAAUUUUUUUUUGUAGGAAUACCUUUUAGCUUAGUUAGAUCCAUAAUAAGAUGAAGCCAUUGGAAACCACCAAAGUUUAUAAAGUUGAUGAAUAUCCUUAGACAAUGGUAAUUUUCCUUCUAAAUAAACAAAAUAAAUCUUAAAAUUUAACCUGGUGAUUAUUUGUUUAUAUCUAAUCUCAUUUACUUUUCAACUAAUUUUUGUUAGUGGUGUAUUAGAAAAAACUAUUAAUGUGCUCAAUAACAUAAAUUAAUUGAUGAACGGUCUUUAGAGGAUCGUCUUUAUAAUUUUAGUUUCCGUCUUUAAAAAAAAAUUAGUUGAGACUACAAUUAAAAAAAAAAAAUUAGUGAACACAUGUAUCACGAGUCAACCUACGUUCUUUUUUCUUUUCCUUUUUCUUUUGUGCAUUUACACACGGAUUUAAACAAUUCCUACACAACAACUAUUCGAUGAUAAAAUGAAAGCUUUCCAGUCAAGCUACUUUCUGUCAAUUUAUCUUUAACUUUAUGUCACACCGAGUCUACUAAUCCUCUUACGAGCAAGACUUUUCUUUUGUUCCCUGAGCUUUGAAGUAAGACACUUUUAUGUGCAUUUUCUUUUGACGAUUAUGUCCUUUUUAAGUCAUGAGCUUGAGCUUGUUUAUUAAUUAUCUGCAUACGUUAGUUUUUGGUGCUUAAUGUUUUUUUCUUUGUAGACGUGGGUUAGGCCAAUUGAUUUGGACAGUGAAUUUGUCUUUGUAAAUGCUUUAAAUAUACGGAGUAUCCAAUCCAAACUAAUCACCAAAAGAACCAGUUGUGUCUAGAAAUAUAAGAUCGGAAACUGAAAUUGAAAGGACUACUUUUGUAAUCACUCUACAAUGAGAGACAUGAUAGAUGAAUAUUAUAAUGAAUGAGAAUACUAUUCCACCUAUUCGUGAGUAUAUAUAUAUAUAUAUAGUUGUCUUUUAUUCCUUAGAUUUGUGAAUUUAAUUAAGCACAUCAUGAAUACAAAUCUAUGACAUAUCAAUAACUGUUUGAUAAAUUAUACUGAUCUGUCCGUAUAUAACAUUUUUGUUUCUAUGUUAACUCAGGAUUUAUUAGUUUGAAAUUAAUUAUGAUUGUUGUUCAUAAUCUUGGAUUAAUCUUCCUAUGGAAAUAGCUCCUCUACAACUAUGCGUUUUAUAUAGUUUUGAAUGUGCUAUUAAUUAGUAAGAUUAUUCUAACAUUCAAGAUAAGUUCUAUAAGGAGUGUUGAUGCUCAAAAAUGGUCCAACACUUUUGGGGCAAACUUAGUGAUGUUUUGAUAUUCAGCAUCUUUUGAGCUUCAGUAGAGCGAUCGAUCUGCAAGAUAGAAAACGCUCCGUAAGCCCUUGGGCACCAGUGUGGUACCAGUCGAAGGCUCUAUGAUGCUUAAGUAAGAAUAAGUACGGAGUGUAUAGUAAUCUGGACAGAGUAAUGGCUGAAUUGCCGAAAGUCUCGGUUAUACCCUUUGUGGGACUUGUGCCCACUUUUAUAAGUCUUGGGGAGGUGUGCAUGUUAUGUGAAACUUCGAUGUGGGAUUGUUGAUAUUGCAUGUGGUGGCUCCACGUGUCUCAACAAGGAAAUGGUUAGUAAGAGGUCUUGUGUUGUAUUCGACAGUAAGGGGUGCCGAACGCUCCUUACCGAUGGCUUCUUACUUUCCAUGUGGGAUCUUCUCAUUGGUCAAUCAUAUAAGGUAUAAACAGGAGUCCCUUAAGUUUCCAUCUGAGAGAAUCUUCUUAGUUGGGGACUUGCUCUUAUCAUCAGUACCCUGGUCAACCAGGGUUUUGUUUACAAGGCGUUGCUCGGUAUAGGAUGUUUAAACAAUCCAUGGUGUUCCGUUCGGUACCCCUCUCUGGGGUAGGCAUUUCAUCGGCAGUGUUAGUGUUUUUGUAGGAAAUUGUAUUCCUGGCCUUUCAUGGGCCAUAAAAGUAUGUAACGUUCGGUAGAAGUGAUCUCCCAAACAGUAAAGCGUACUGGGGCUACCUUCUUGGCAUGAUAAAUACGCAGUGCCGAUCGGUAGUUUUUAGAAUCUUCUGAACAUUUACGUGGAUAACAUGACGCUUAGUCUUCUAUGUGUGGUGUGCGCGUUGGGAAGCGAAACUGAGAGCAUGGGAUAACCUUCCGUGCAUAGCGUGUAGGUUGCUACCGCACAUUACUGGUGCCACGUGUCGUGAGCACGCAUGCGAAAUGAAGUAAUGAUGGCCUCAGUUGCAUUAUUGAGGCGAACCAAUUGGUUUCGUCUGUAUAAAAAGGAGGUGACUUCGGAUUUGGAAAUCACUUGUAUUGUGAGAGCCAUUUGCGAGCUUGUGAAGAGACGAUUUCCGGCAAGCAUUCUUCAUUGAGAAGGCGAUUUUCGGCGACUGUUUACACGGCGGAGAGAUUUCCGGUGACUUUGUCAACCGUAAAAAACAAGGCAUGUUGCUCUCUUAGCUUUCUUUUUCGAUCAAAUGCACCCUUUUGGCUUGAACUAGUCUAUGAAUAUGUAUGAUCACGAAGAAUGUUCGGUAAUCUAUUUGCCGUAAGUAGCAAUAAUCAUAGGACUCCCUAGUUUGAUCUUUGCAUGGCAUUUAGUUUCCCUUUCAUUUCUAUUUGUAGGAAAGAUCAGGCUGGAAUUUUUUAGGAGAGGGCACCCGUGUUUGCAAGGUGAAGAUCCGGCAGACCACCCUGGCCAUUUUUUGAGAUUGGCUGGAAGCCUAGCCCAGUUGUGCAAGGAGGAAAACUCCCAGCUGCCUGGCCUUGCUUUGGCUGGAAGAUUCGGCCAGCUGUUGCAAGGAGAGGGCCUAAAUAGUGCGAGUUGGCUGGAAACCCAGCCCAUUUGCAGGAAUUGGCUGGAAGCCCAGCCCGGAUGUUGUGAGGGCACCCGGUUGACAAAAAGGUCACGCAAAGUGGCUGGUGAGACAAUUCCAAAGCGAUCUUGAAUUUACUUAGUUGACCAUUUAUUCCAAACCCAACUAGUUGUAUUUUAUUUAUUUAUUGCUAUUUGUUUAUUGGCUAGGCUCCUUGGAAUUGGAUACCACACCCAAACAAAAAUAAACCAAGAAAACAUACAAAACAACAAGAGACCAAAAGAACAGAGAAAAAAGCACAAUAACUCACAAAGAGAAUCAAGGGAACUUACUUGGGCAUCCCGCUAAUAGAGUCUACUAAAUAUUCUUCUGUUUAACAAGCAAAGAUAAGGGUGCAAUCGUUAUUCAUUAUAAUAAUAUUAUUUUUGACAAAAAGCAUUUGCAAUGGUUAUGAUCAAUGCAAUUUUAUUGCAUGAAAUUGAACAAAAACAAUAAAAUCUCACUUGCAAUGGUGUUAAAUGCAAUUACAAUACAUGGUGCUAUGUGAUGAACCCUGUAUUGCAAUUGCAAUAGGCUAACUAUGGACCCAUAUGUCAAUUAAAAAAAAUAGAAAAAAAAAAUACAUCAAUUAAUGUAUUAUGUUGUUAAGAGUAUCCGCAAUGGUUGUUCAAUAGUUCAAUGCCAAAAAAAAAAAAAAAAAAUUCAAAUAUUUUCAAAAUUGUUCUCGUUUUAAAUAUCUCGAUCUCUUUGAGAAUAUUUCAAUUAUACAAUUUUUAGUGUUAUUAAAUUUAUCCAUUUUAUUUUAUUUGAGUAUGUGAAAAAAAAUGUAAGAAGAUAUAAUUAUUGAUAUGAAGUUAUUGAACUGUACCAUUACAAAUAAAACUGUUGUUCAAUUCAAAAGAUGCCAAAAUAAUUCAAUAAUUAAACUAUUAAUAUUGAACAACCUUUGUGGAUGUUGUAAUCAUGCUCAAAUGUGCAAUUGUAAUAAGCUGGAUGCAUUUGUAUUUGUAUAAAAUAUUAUAUCUUUAUUGGAAAAUAGUUUGCAUUAUAUUAUUGUUGCGACAUCACAAAUCGUCAUAAAUUGAAGAACAAAACAUAAGUAGAGAAUUACUCAUAUUUAUAUUGAGGAAAAGAAAUAUAUCAAGAAAGUAUAUUUGAAAUAAAUAAAUAGUAACGUUUUGACGUUUGCUAGGUUUCUAUUAGGCCUGCAAUUCGGCUGGAACAGAUCAAAAACCAGUGUUUCAAAUUUCAAUCCGAAAAAAUUCGAAAUUCAAUAUGCCUUCCGAUUCCAAUCUGAAUUUUAAAAAAAUUUCAAAUCUUAUUCCUAUUCCAAAUAUUCGGAUAUAUCGGAAAAAUCGAAAAUUUCCAGAAAACAUUAGUCUUAAAGAUUUUAUAUGCUUAAUUAUGCAUUUAGCAUUAAUCUCAACUGGGCAUUUUGUUAAAAGCCCAAAUUGGGGAAAUAAAAAGAGCCCAAAACGAUUUUGAAUUGCAGGCCCGCUUACAACAGUACGCUAGCCUUACUGUGCUGAGGUGAAGAUAUUUAUAGAGCAGGAAAAGACUGAAGUUCUGUUUGCAGUUGAUGUGGCACUGGCAGUCUGGCACUGAAGUUCUUUUUGUUAUAUGGUAUGUUUGGUGUUGAGAGCAUGGGGGUUUCAGUGGGUUUUCGGGUAUGAGAAUUGUUGCACAACCAGGAGAUAUAAGCAUUAGAUUGCAUGAAUAGUUUUUGAAUUUUGUUACAAUAGGAAUUAAUUUUGAUUUGUUUCUCUUUGAAUUUGGGUUCUUUUGGAUUUUGUGAGUGGGCUGCUGUGGUAGCGUCGGAGGGGUUGGAAGCUCGAGAAGGAAAUGUUAUUAACGCUUUCUGCUCUUCGAACAAAGAGGGGCUCAAUUAGAGACAGGGUGCAAGGCGGGGUUGCCAUUGGAGUAGGAAAAAAAUGUGCUGGUGCUUGGCAACGGGUUAAACUCAAAGUGAGAGAGAGAGAGAGAGAGAGAGGAAUGAUAAGAUCUUUUGGUUGUUGGGAAGGGUGGUUGGGCUGUUCGAGAUAAGGCAGUGGGGAGGGUUGGAGCUGCUGGUUUGUGUAAAAUGCGUAUUUUUAAUUUUUUGUUAUUUUAACAAAAACAAAUAGUUCAGGGCAAGGAGUCUGGGUUUCCAUUGGUUUAUUGUCAAAUCUUUGUAUUUCGGAGAAACAUCAUCCAAAUUUGUAUUUAGCCUCCGUUGCUUUAUGAAGGUAAAACUAAGGGCUGUUGGGUAUCCUAUUUGGAUCUAAUUUUAUAAAUUAAAAACAAAUUUUAAGUCUAAAACUUAAAAAACCUAUUUGGUAAGCCCAUUUUUAAAGACCCAAACCCAAAACAAACUCGAAAACACCCAAUUAUUGAAAACAAAAACAGUGAGGUUUUAUAAUUUUUUUUUCUUCUCUCUCUCUCUCUCUCUCUCUCUCUCGUCGGUUAGUGGUUCUGGGUCCAAAUCGUGUUUGCAGCUCCAUCAAGGUCUCCUUUGUCCACUACCCGACCCCAAAUUGAUUAAUCAUUUUUCAUGUUUUGGGUUUCUAGGAUUUCUAUUGAAAUCUCAUAGGUUUUUCUUUUUCUUUUGUUAAUUUCAAUUUGGAAAUUUAAGGUUUUUUUAAUUUUAAUUUUAAUUUUAUUUAGAUCUUAAAAAUAGUUUGGAGUUCAAUACCAAACAAGUUUUUAGAUCUUAAAAACACUAUUUGAAAACUCAUUUAAAAAAAAAAAAAAAAGAAUUAUAGUUUUUAAGUUUAUUGUUUUGAGUAGGAUAUCAAAUAUGGCCUAAGAUUCUCAACCCAAAAAAAAAAUAAAUUAUUGGUUGAGACUUACUUUUUCUUGCUGAACACAUGUAUCACGAGUCAAGGAUACCAAACAUGGCCUAAGAUUCUCAACCCAAAAAAAAAAAUGUAUUGGUUGAGACUUACUUUUUCUUGCUAAACACAUGUAUCACGAGUCAACCUGCUUUCUUUUUUUUUUUUUUUUAUUUUUUCUUCUUCUUCCUCUUUUCUAUUUUUUUAUUUAAUUUGUUUUUACUUUUUUUCUGUCCCCCUUUUUCUUUUGUGCAUUUACACGUUAUACAAACUGAUAUAAACUAUUUGAGACCAAAAAAAACAAACAAACAAACUCAAAUAAACAAUUCAUGCGCUCCACAGCUACAUGAUGAUAGAAUUGAAGCUUUUCAGUUCUUAACUUUACCUGAUCUUCAACUUUUUAUUACAUAUCGUACUAAUCUUUUUAAAAGCAAGACUUGUCUCUUUUUUCUGAGCUGUAAAAUAAGACAAUUUUGUUUGUGCAAUCUUUUGACGACACUUUUUGUUUUUGCUUUUUUUUUUUAAGGAUAUUUUUUAUUGAGAGGGGCGAUAGUAUACUAAACUCACACACACUAUACGGAUGAUAGGAUUCGAACCCAAAAUCUUUUCUUGGGAUGCUAAGACACUAUACAUCCUUAUCUUGAGCUCGUUUAUCAAUUUUGUACAUAAUUGAGUUAGUUUCUUGAUAUGUAAUCUUUUUAACAUUUUGCUUUAUAAUAUUUAAUUUGCCUCCCCGAGUAUAAAUGUCAAUUUACUCUUCAAUAUGAAGUUUAACUAAUUUAAUAUGAUUUUUUCGACUUCAAAUAAUUAAAUAUAACUGGGUGACGUGGAGUUGUUGGGCUAUGAUAUCAUAUGAUGCAAGUUGAGUUUCCAUCCCAAAAUCAAUUGGGAAUGGAGGGAGUGACCAAAAUCCUUAUAAGUCAAUUGUAACUUUUCAAUAUAGGACAUUUCUUCCCAUUCUCUUACAUAUACACAUAUACAUAUAUACUAUAGUAAUUAAAGAAUUAAAACUUGCUACUCUAGCUAGCAGCUUUCUCAAUUACACAUUUAGAGAUGAAUAAUAUGGCAAUGACAGACUACAGAGUUGAGCAUAUAUAUGAUAAAUAUGUAUAUAAUAGCUAGCAGCCUCAGCUCGUGAGCUAGCUGAAAUUCCUACUCAUCAAGCUACUCGUGAGUUUCUCGCUUUCUUAACAAAAACAUAUAGUUCUCUUUUAUUCCUCCGAUUUGUGAAUUUAAUUAAUCACAUGCAUACAAAUGGUUGGAAAUAUGAGUACUAAAUUGCUAUAAAAUAAACAAAAUAAAUACUGCACAUAAAACAGAUUUUUACAAAAAGGAGAAUUGAAUUAGAAGAACCUUAAUUGAGUCGAGGCAAGUGUUGGACACUCUGACCUUAAGACGAAUUACGCCCCACACUGGUGCUUAUGGUUCACUAGCGUUCGCCUCUCAGGAUACAAUGACUCCCCUCUUUAUGAAAGAAGCACUGCAAUUCACAAGAAACUUUGAACCAAAAUUAUGAAGGAACCUCUCUUUAUGAAAACUCUAAUGCUCUCUAUAUAUGAAAGUAUAAAUGUAGAGAAUUGAUUGAAUGAAUAAAACUGCAGGAGGAUUGCUCUAUUUAUAGAUGAUGAAAUACCCUUUCCAAAAAGGUAUCCCAAUCUGAAAAGGCAAACAAUGCAUCCAUUGGCCUGAAGAGUUGUCACACCAAACAAUGCAUCCCUUGGUUUAAAGAGUUGUCACCCCCCAUGUAAAGAUGUCUUUAACCCAAUGGUCAUGUCUUUAACCCAAUGAAUUUUAUUAAUUUCCAUUCAAAUAGGAAAAUUAAUAUUAGUUAAUAUUAAAUUUCCAACAAUCCCCCACAUGAAUGGAAAUUGACUCAACUAUAUGCAAACAAAAAAUAAAGACAUUAGAGAGAGUCCCUUAUUAGAAGAAUACUGCAUCUGAAUAGGUAGCUUUUGGCCUUGAACCUUCCAUAGUGGAAUACUAUUGGAUUUACUUGGCUAAUCAAUGAACGUGAUGUCUUGAACUGUUCAGCCGUUUGUGUAAACCCAGACAAUAGCACUCACACAAUACCCUUCUAAACAUAUCUAGUUCGAUUGGUUGUGCUCGUUUUGGCCCUGAGCAACUCCUGGCAUUCAUAAGUGCUUUAGAGAAUUUAGCCCUGAAAAUUCUCAUAGAAACGGCCUCAUUUCACACUCACAUAGGUGACUUCCUAUUAAGAGUAUCUUGCCACUACCCCACUCGGAUUUCCAAGCUAUAGGAAUCAUUAAAAUCAAAGAUUACCCUAAAACACGCUACAGGCAACACUGUUUCAUCAUAGGACAUGGGUAGGAGAUGUAAUCUCGGCAGUGCUACUCUUUAGUCAUCCAUAAUUUGGUUGUCCCUUUUGAACCUAGAUCUUGGGAUCUCCAGUCAGCUAGGUUGGGUAUCCACUAUGGAGACUUUAAAUAUUUAGGCUUAUACUCUCAUUCUCCUCGAUGAUCAACUAACUCUCUAGUCUGACCUUUAAAUAUUGGAUCCACUAGGUUGACUAUUUAUGUAAUAUAUUGCCAUCAUAAUUUCAUAUAUGGAAAUAUAUUCCAUUCAGGAGUAGUUGUACUACAUUGAGCAUUUAAUUUAUUUUGUUAAGACUUAAUAAUUGCUCCAACUGAGUAACCUUCUAAUACUCAGUUAGACACCCCCACAUUGUGGUACUUAUAGGAAGGUCUCUAACCUUCUCAUACCCAUAGAACAAAAUAUCGAUAAUUUCGCCGAUAUUUCGGCGAAAUUAUCGUUUUUUUGGGGCUACGAUAUUUUAGCACAUUUCCAUAUAUAUAUCGUCAAUUUAUCGAUAAUUUCCUCGAUAAUUUCGCCGAUAUUUCAAUAACGAUAUUUUCGUUCAAGUUGUAGCUUUAAAUGGACAAUAUAUCGCGAUAUUAUCGAUAAUAUCGCGAUAUGAACUUACAAAAUUAAACUCAGCCUUCAGAUGAACCCCUCAGCCUCUGAAACUCAGCCUUUCUCUGUCUCUCAACUCAGGAAAAAAAAAAAAGCAGAAAGAGGAGAGCGAGAGAGAAGGGAAGAAGAGGAAAAAAAAAAUUAUGGAGUGGGUUUUUAUGUUUUGCUAUUUUGGAUUGUGAUGAAGCGAUAGAGAAGAGGGAAGAGGAAGCAAGGAAAGAGACGGAGAGAUAGAAGAAGAAAGAAAAAAAAAAAAGCAGAUAGAGAAGAGCGAGAGAGAAAAGGGAAGAAGAGGGAAAAAAUGUGUGGAGUUGGUCUUUAUGUUUAAGUGUUUUGGAUUGUGAUGGAGGAGAGAGAAGAGGGAAGAUGAAGAAGAGAAAGAGACGGAGAGAGAUGGAGAGAUAGAAGAAGAAAGGGAGAGAGAGAGAGAGUGGGAGUGUGAAACGGAAGAGGAAGAAGAAUAAAUAAAAAAAAAUAAAAAGGGAGAGAUGGGUGAAUGCCCAAAAGAGAGAGAGAAGGCAGGUUGCAUGUAUCUGCAACCUUGGGAAGUUCAAACAAAAAAAAAGGUUAAAAAAACCUUGGGAAGUGGAAGAGGGAGGCAGGAAAACGUGAAAGUAAUUGGGAAGUGGGAAAUGUGACUUAAUUACUUAAUAUAAUUUAUUUUUUUUCUAUUUAAUUCAUUUAAUGUUAUUGAUUAUUUUAUUAUUCAUUAUAAGUACUUACAUUACUAAAUUCUCCUUCAAAUUGUUACUUAAUUACUUAAAUCUUUAUAAUCAUUUUCAUUAUUUGCUAUUUAAUUCUUCCUUGGAUAAAUUUAUUUAUGUUCUUAGUUAAUUUUUAAUCUUCACUAUUAUUUUUUAAGCCUGAUAAAGUGCCUAAUUUUCAUGAAAAAUCAAAUUGGUUUACAUCUUUAAUUAUUUUUUAAUUUUUGAUAAAUAAUAAAUAUAAGAACGUGUACCAUGUCCAAUGAAUAACGUGAAAUAAAUUGUUGCUUAAUUACUUAAAUUUCUAUAAUCAUUUUCAUUAUUUCCUAUUUAAUUCUUCACUGGAUAAAUUUAUUUAUGUUCUUAGUUAAUUUUCAAUCUUCACUAUUAAAGUGCCUAAUUUUCAUGACAAAUCAAGUUGGUUUACAUCUUUAAUUAUUUUUCAAUUUUUUAUAAAUUAAUAGAUAUAACAACGUGUACCAUGUCCAGUGAAUAACGUGAAAUAAGGUUACUCAUGUAUCUUAUCAUGCAAUUUAUAAAGAGUAAAAUAUUGUACUAAAAAAUGAUAAAUAAAUUACUAAGGAGUGUUUAAUUCUCUUUCAUUAAUUACUUCAGAUUUUCUAAGUCACAGAGUUUGUCAGGUCGCAAUAUAAUCAACUUAAAUCACACAAACCCACUAUGCAAUGCAUUUUCUUCCAAUUUUUUGUGUCAAAAUAAUAGAUGAUUGACUAAAUAAACUUCUUCUAAAGUUUCAUUAAAAAUUUCCAAGUAUUUAUCAUAAUUUCCGUGGUUUUUAUCCAAUUUUUAUCGAUAUCGAUAUUUUCCCGAUAUUUCCAUCGAUAUUUCCGUGUUUUUGAACCACCGAUAUUUCCGAAACUAUCGAUAUUUAAGACCUUGCUCAUACCUUAUUUAAGAGAAAUUUAAACUCUUGUGAACAUCAAAGCCUCUCUCCACAAAAACGUGGUGCUUAUGAACUAAUCUAGAAAACUUCCAUUUUCUCUGUUAGUAAAUAGAAUUCCAAAUUUUCCUUCAUGUCUGUCACCCCCACAAUUUUUACAUAAUUGUGGAAGGUAUUAAGCAAUCUGUUAAUCAUUUUUUCCAUAUGCCUAAGAAGUAGAAAACUUUUACUUUAUCCUUAAAGAAUGAGAUAAUAGUUCUAUAGUAUUAGUUUAUAAUUUCCUUUAAAUCAAUUUAAUGUUGCAUUAGUAAUAGAAUCAUGUUUAUAACAUAAUUAACAUGUUCUAGUUACCAUACCCUCAUUAAUUGAUUAAAGCAAAUCAUUAUAAAACUAAUUUUCCUUUAUAAAGUGCACAUCAAUUUAUACAUAGGGUAAGGCUUUGGUACCCUUUGUCCGUAUGCAUCUCAUUCUGUAGGUAGUACAAUGGAGAUAUUUAUUCUUAAAAUAUCUUCACUUCUUAGGCUCUUUGUAAUAGAACUACUAAUUAGCUUUCCCCCUUUGAAGCCUCAAAGUUUUCAUACCAAGUGCCUCACUCGAAAUACCUUGACUGGUUUCUAACCAUGACCAACAUGGUUGCUGGCAUGACCUAUGAUUGUUAACAUAGUCCUAUAUGGUUUCUCAUUUCUCAUACAGCCACACAAUUUACAAAACAAAAUUUUUGCAAAUUUCUGAACUGUAAACAAAUUGAUAUGUCUCGUAAUAGAGAGCAUGUGGGUUUGUACACUUUCCCGCAUAUCAAUUCUAUUGGAUUGCAGCAUGAAAAUGCCUCCUGGAAGAUAUCAAUGUUGGUUUGAAAAUGCUGCUAUAAUAGCACCUACUAACUUAAAAGAAUCUAACCAAAUGGGUUUGUAUAUCUCCAACAGCCCCAACACGUUGCAUGAACCUAAUAUUCUAUACAAAAUCAUAGAAUAUAUGUUUUGACAUAAAAUGGGUUGCCUUCACAAAAUUUUGUUUUGCCUAACACAGCAAAACUUCCAGAUUUCGAUGUCCAACAGAAACAAAUGCCAAACAAAAAAAUAAGAAAAAACGAUGCUAUAAUUCAGAGGGAAAUUUUCAAUUGUAUAUAUACUUUGUCUAACAAUAGAAAGAGAAUGCAAUCAGACUUUCUUUGUGGCAAUAUUGAUGAGUGGGUCCUAUUAUGAUAACUUAGAUGUCUGCAACUUUGAAUUGUAUAAAACAAAAAGAAACUGAAUGGAAAUCCAAUUAUUAAAAAAAAAAAUGUUUACCCAGAAGUAAUGAAACACUUGAAUGAAUAACCAAUUAAUUUUAACUCAAGUCAACAAUGCAGUGAAUCUGUAAUACGCAUCAAAAAUCAUUUUACACUUUUUCAUCUAAAUGCAUAAUAUCACAGACUAAUAUACAUAGCAAUUAACACAAAUUAAUUUGUCUUAAGAUUGUUGGAAAUAUGAGUGCUAAAUUGCUAUAAAAUAAACAAAAUAAAUACUGCACAUAAAACAUAUUUUUACAAAAGGAGAAUUGAAUUAGAAGAACCUUAUUUGAGUCGAGGCAAGUAUUGGACACACUGACCUUAAGAGGAAUUACGCCCCACACUGGUGCUUAUGGUUCACUAGCGUUCGCCUCUCAGGAUACAACGACUCCCCUCCUUAUGAAAGAAGCACUGCAAUUCACAAGGAACGUUGAACCGAAAUUAUGAAGGAACCUCUCUUAAUGAAAACUCUAAUGCUCUCUAUAUAUGAAAGUAUGUAUGUAGAGAAUUGAUUGAAUGAAUAAAACUGCAGGAGGAUUGCUCUAUUUGUAGAUGAUGAAAUACGCUUUCCAAAAAGGUAUCCCAAUCUGAAAAGGCAAACAAUGCAUCCCUUUGUCUGAAGAGUUGUUACACCAAACAAUGCAUGCCUUGGUUUAAAGAGUUGUCACCCCCCAUGUAAAGAUGUCUUUAACCCAAAGGUCAUGUCUUUAACCCAAUAAAUUUUAUUAAUUUCCAUUCAAAUAGGAUAAUUAAUAUUAAUUAAUAUUAAAUUUCCAACAAUGUGCACAAGAGAUAUCAUGACCAGAACAUACAUAUAGUGAGAUUCUUUAUGCCUGCCAUUUAUCCUUUAAUUAAUGAGACAUACCCUGGGGAAAGAGGAAAAGCUCAACCAACUGAGCUAUAUAGGUUUUGAAUAUCUACGCACAUGGGGGAGGUAGCGGAAGGGGGAAGUGGAAGAACUCAACCAACUGAGCUAUACCCCAUUGACAUAUGUAUAGUAGAGUUGACUGCUUGAAACCUAGAACCUAUAACAUAUAUUAAGAUUGUUCUAUACAAUCUUGGAACAAUCUUCGUGCGAAGGUAUUAUUCCAACAUUUAAGAUAAGUUCUUAUAAUUAAAGAGAAUGUCUCAAUUAAGAAAUAUUUAUGUUUAAGAUUAAGCCCCUAUUUUAUUCACAAAUAAUUAUUAAUAUUGGUUUCCAAUUUAACGAUAAUGAUCAGUGCCGCCCCCGGGAAAAGCAGCGUCAUGUAACCGUCUAGGAAAUCAUCAGUGCCAACCUCAAGGAAAAGGCAACCAUCCAGUACAUUGUAAACCUGGAGAAACCAGUAGAGCGUGCCACAGGUAUGGAGGUCAUGGACGUGGAGGAGAGCAAGACCCUAUCCAUAAAAGGCAUGGUCAUGAACAUGGAGGAGAGCAUGACCCAGACCACAAAGGCCAUGGUCAUGAACAUGGAGGCGUAGUGCUUGAACCCAUCCAUGGAGGGAAAGGCCACGGUCAAGAACGCGGAGGAGAGGGAGACCCUAACCAUGGAGCACAUUGUAAACGUGGAGAAACCAAUAGAGCGUGCUACGGCCAUGGAGGUCAUGAACGUGGAGGAGAGGGAGACCCCUUCAACCAUGGCAGCAAAAACAGACCAGGACAACCAGGCACCGCUGAGACCGAAAGAAAGAAUUAGAUAAAACCUAGGCCUGUGUACGUGUGUGGAAAAUUUGUUUGUCAAUAAAAUGGUCUAUUAUAUAUAUUGGUUGAGUAGUUGUGAACACACAGGCAAAAUCAGACCUACUAUAUAAGGUUUAUCUCUGUACUGUUACGUAAUGUAGUCUUGGAUCCUGCUUGUUAUAUGUAUGUGUUUUAAUUUUCUGAAUUCAUAUUGUGUGUGUGGAAAGUGUCUAGAACUUCAAGCUUACCUUUGCUUGCUUAUUGAGUUCCAUUUGAAAUCUCUCAAUUUUCUUUUUUGAUUUGUGUCAUGAAUAAAUAAAUAAACUGUAUGAGAGGGACCAAAUAGAACUAAUGCACCCACACUUCAAGAAAAACAGCUAUUAGUGAUAAACAAUUGGCCACAAAAAGUAUGAAUUAUGGUCACUAGAUGGUCACUAUAAGUUUCACAAAUUUUAUUCAGUUGCCAUCCCUAAAUAUUCAUUGGUCACUAAAAAGGUAAACAAUGAGUGACUUCCUCUAAAUGAAAAUGCCUAUUAGCGACCAUGAGUUUAAUCACUAAAAGGCUUUAUAAUUCGAUCACUAAGACACGCAAUUUGGUCAAUGAAACAUGAGUCAUUUCCUAUUUUUUUGGUGGGUGGGUGGAGCCAGAAAUUGAUGUAAAAAAUCAAACUCUUUUUUUAUGUGACAAACGAACCUAAUUUUGAAGAAAUCCAUAAUUUUAUCACAUUCUCAAUUUUUUUUUCUUUACUUUCUGUAUGAAUUCUAACACUCAUUCCCAAUAGCAGAAUAUAAAGUCAAAAGAAAUUUGUAGGACUAAAUUUUCAUGCAACAACAUUUGAGAAGGAGAACAGGCCCAAAGAGGAACAAUUGGUAAAUGUACGUGGAUCAAUUGGUAACUAAUUAGGUACAUUUUAUUUGUUUUAAAAAAAACAUUAUAAAAUCUCAUCUAAUUUCUUUUCGUACAUAGUCUCCUGAAGAUAAAAUUUUGAUACAAGAAAAGUAUAUAAUACAAUGUGUUUAUAUCAUAUCUUACAAAGCAACUUUAAGCAGGGUAAAUGUAACACCCGGACUCCAAAUUAAACCCCUUAUUUAAAUUAUUUAAUAAUUUAAGGGAAAUUACAAAUUUACCCUUGAGAUAAGGGUAUUUUGGUCAUAUUCUUAACUGGAGAGAGUUUGGGGCAGUGCUAGUAUUUUUGGAUAUGUCGUACUGAGACGAGUUCAUAGAAACGUGGUGGGCUCGAAUCGGAGUUGUAACGAGAGAUAUAUGGUCAAAAGAAACCCAGUGGCACAAUCGUAAUUAUUUUAAAAUGGGAUUUUUAUAAAAAUCAGAUUUUUUUUUCUCUCUCUCUCUCUCUCUCUCUCUCUCUCCUCGUAUCUCCGGCCACCGGCCGCGGCUGCGGACGGGAUCAGUGCCAAAAGGACCGGCUCGGCCUUGGCGUCACGACCCAGCCCUCCCCCGACAUCGGUCGUUGCUCCAGCCGCCGAAAAAAGGCGAUUUUCGCCCGGUUUUCGCCCGAACUUCGCCGGCUCCGAUCUCCCUCCUCCGGCCGCCAUUUCUAGCGAUCAAGGUAUGGAAAUUCAUCCCUUCUGCAUGCUCUAGCUGAUGGUUGGGUAGGAUUGGAUCGAUUCUUAGCGUAGCCAAUUCGAUUUUCGAAUUGAAAUUCAGCUGGUUUUGGGAUCGCGAUUCCGGCCACUUCCGGUCAGUUUUUGGGGUAGGUCAAAGAACAAAAGUGGCUCCAAAUAGGGUGUUAUACCUAGGGUAGGAGUUUGGAGCCGUGGUUUUGAGAUUUUCUAGCGAAAUGUUAUCGCUUUGGGCACCCACGCUCUGCCGGCGCGUGGGCACUGUAGAAAAAGUGGCACUAUGUCUCGAUGAGAUCCUUAGGUUGUCACAAGUGCGUAGGAUUUCGCGGAUCUCAAUUCGGACAUUGUUUGACUAUCGAACAGAUAUCGCCUAUUGUGCGUUAUCCGGGUUCGAUAGGUUGGGACCGUUGGAUGGUCCCAAAUUUAAUAUAUGUUAAUCUAGUUAUUUCUAGCAUCGUGUAGGAAUUCACGGAUUGUGAAUCGGAGCCCCGGAUGUUCCGAAUAAUAAUUUAAAGUUUAUAUUUUAUAUUAACCGUCAGAUCGUGCGAUCGUGAGCGAUCCGACCGUCCGAUUUGAACCACACUUGCAGGAUGAGUGUCCUAUACCUUGUAAAACCCAUAGGGACUUUCGGAUCGGAAACUGGAGGUCGUGAGCUCUGUAGGCCCGUUCGACCAGAGUUAGGGUAGUUUGACCCUUGGUUGACCGUGAGUCUCCCGGAGUAAUCUCACCUUUCCAGGGGGAUUAUCGGGUGCUAGACCAUUGUGGAGGGUUACACAAUAUUAGAAUUAAUAUACACUUAUAUAUGUUUGUAUAAGGAUACAAAGGAGUCUAGAGGUGUCAGUUUGGAGUGCUAUACGCACUACCUUAGGUACCUCCCCGGAUUUUGGUUACACUACAAGUACCACAAAGUGAAAGUUAGGUCCCACGUGGCGUAGGUUAUCCGGCGUGCGGACAGAUCCCAUAUGUGGCGUUGGUUGUACCGGCGUAUGGGGAGAUUUGUGAUAUGAUGUUCAGGUCUCACCUGGAGUAGGUUAUCCGGCGUUGAGACAGGCCCCAUACGUGGCGUUGGUUGUACCGGCGUAUGGGGAGCUAUGUGAUAUUAUGUUGAGGUCGCACGUGGCGUAGGUUAUCCGGCGUGUCGACAGACCCCAUACGUGGCGUUGGUUGUACCGGCGUAUGGGGAGAUAUGUGAUAUGAUGUGCAGGUCUCGCGUGGCGUAGGUUAUCCGGCGUUGAGACAGACCCAAUACGUGGCGUUGGUUGUACCGGCGUAUGGGGAGAUAUUGUGAUAGUAUGGCAUGGUCGCACGUGGCGUAGGUUAUCCGGCGUGUUGACAGGCCCCAUACGUGGCGUUGGUUGUACCGGCGUAUGGGGAGAUUAUGUGAAAUACAGAGAAAUGAAAUAAGGUAUCGCCUAAGUGUGGAAUUGGGUUUUAUGGAAGAACUACGUGUAGCUUGAUCCCUCAAGGAGGGUACGUAGGCAGCCUAAGGUUAUUAGGUGCAGCCGCAGACUAAAUGUUAGUCAUAAUUUAUAUUUGAAUUGUUGCCUUGUUUAAGGCAUGAAUUGUUUUGUUAGCGUGUUUGGUAGUUUGUUGAGAAUUAUUGGAAGGCCGAAGGCCGUUUAUGUGAAUUGCAUGAAAUUAUAUUGUGCAUGCUGCCAGUUGUGGAUAUUAAAUGUGUUUUGAUGCAGGUUGAAAUUUUGGGAAAUGUCCAAUUUAUAGAGGAGACUCUACAGAUUUCAAAAGAAAUAUGGAAUCUCAAUUCGAAAACCAGGGCCUCAUCAAGUAGAAAUUGGAAAGUAAAAUUUUUUCUCUAACAAAAUUCUUAAUGGGUGAAAUCGAUUUAAAAAAUAAUUAAAAAAGAGACCUAGGAGAUAAAAUGAUAAGAGCUAGAAUUGGAAAAAAAAAUGGUUAAGACAGAAAACCUUUAGUUGGCAACAGAGGCAAGCUCACGUGAAAAAUAAAUGAUGUGGCAGUAACACGUGAUAGAUAAUGAUGACUAGUCAUGCAAACGAGAACACUACAAUGCAUGCAAUGCAAUCAAAGAUGGAUUACCUUCAAUGAGCUUUGAGAGCAUGCAUCCAUCAUGAAGUUGAUCUCAGCCAUACUAUAUUGUCUUAGCUUCUUGAGCUUGAUUAAGUGCAUAAAAAAUUAAAAUCAAUUUUACAUGUUUGUCAAGUAAAACUAAAAAUUUAGUUAACCAAAACCUAACAACCCACGACUACACCCAAGACCACACGCAAUGAAGCGACUUCAUGCUACAACUUUGGAACACAUACAAAUAGCAUAAAAACCACGCAUUAAGGCCUGGUCAUGGUUUUGCUAAAUAAUGAAAAUUAACCUACAAAAAGAGCACGAGUUUUAUAUUAUUUUCUUUGCCAAAUAAACAAGUGAUAUAAUAUAUUCUUUUUUAAAACACACAAAGAUAAAGUGAAUCAAUCUUAAAUAAAUAUAAGAUUAAAAUAAAAUUCGUUAGCUUAUAUAUAUGUAGUUGUUUUCUUAUCUGAACGUCUGGAUGUUAUUAUUGUGCGGGCGGCAUUGUAAACAUACACUACUACGUUUUACUAUUUGCGCGACAUGAUUUUGCGCAACGAAUAUAAGUUCGUUGAGCAAAAUGCAAUAAAGCGACGGAAAAAAAGUUUCGUCGCGCAAAAAAUUGAAAACUUGCGCGACCAAAGUUUUUGAAGCAUAAAAUCUCUUAGCGCGACAGAUAUGUACUUUCGUCGCGCAAAGUGAGCGAAAAAAAACUCGAGUUUUUUGUUGGCGCCAAACACUUGCGCGGCGAGAGCAAUCGUCGCGUAAGAAAACCUAGCGCGACGAUGGGACACUUCGUCGCUUAAAGGUGAACACAAAACAGGGAUCGAUCCAGUUAAUUGGCUGCAAAAACUCGUGCGACGACAGGUUUCAUCGCAAAAGACAACUUAGCGCGACGAAACCAUUUAUCAUCGCGUAAGAAAACGAAGGAUUUAAUUUUUUUUUUUUUGCGCCAAAAUAACUGAGGGGGGAUAUUUUUUUUUUCGCGAUGAAUUAGUUUUCGAUGCGUAAAGCUGAUGUCGGUACAUUCUUGCGCGACGAAAUUUAAAUGUUACGCGACUGAAUUUUGUUUUUGCGCGACGAUAUCUAGAAUUUGCACGACGAAAGUUUGUGCGAUGAAAAUAUCGUGCGUCGCGCAAAAGUUUUAUGUCGACAAGUUUUUGCGCGACAAAAAAAAUCGUUUUGUCCGACGGAAAAAUGGUUUUUCGCGACGGCAUUAUGCGCGACGAAAUUUAUUGUUCGUCGCACAAAGUCCUUCUUCUUCAUAUCAGAAUUCUGCCAUUGCAGAGGCAGAAAGCAAAAACAUUUUCUUUCUGCCUCUCUCUCAACCUCUCUGCCGCUGCCUCUGCUGGAAAUUCAAUACGUUCAUUGGAUAAGUAUUUUUUGUCGUUAGUUUAUAAGUAUUAAUUUAAAUUCGUACUAACGCUAUUAAUUUUUGUUCUCGUUAGGGAUAUUUGUAAUUAGCGAUUGGUGGAGAACGAUUGACAAGUUAUUUUAUUCGUUUUAUAUAUUAAAAAUGUUAAAGUUAGUUUGUUAUGUGUAUAUUUUUUUUGUGAAGUUAUAUUUAUAUUAUGUUGUUAAAUUGUGCGUGACGUAGCACAAUGUGUUGUGAUGUACGAAGUUAAUUGAAAUUAACUUCGUACUUUUAUUUGUAUGUUUAGUAACAUUUAGUUUCCCGUUCGAGAUGAGUUGGAUUUCGUACAUGGAUGCGUAAAGCAUGACUGCGGUCCAAUUAAUUCUUGAAUUGUCCCACUAUUUGGACAGUUUGGUAAUGCAUAGUGUUGUCACGUAAUCUACGGCUACAGGAUUAGAUUUCGAUUGUGGAGAUUUCGGUGUCAUCUCGGUACGUUUUUCAGGUGGUACAUAGGUAUUUAUACCUAUGCCCACCUCAAGAAUUGUAUCGAGAUGCUGCCGAAAUUCAUCCAUGUUGAAAUUUAAUCUCAUGUAGCCGUAGGUUACGUGACAGGACUAUGCAUUCCCGAAUGGGAUAGGGCCCUUACCGGAGGCAUAAGGUGACAUUAUAACUUCGUAUGAACUUGUUGUGAUUGUUGUGUUGUGAUUGUGGUUUCAGGAAUUAUGAGCAGAAGGUGGAUACAGAACCCGAAUAGAUGCGCAGAUGAAUACUUGGAUGGAAUCGAGGAUUUUAUUGAGUUUGCACGUAGACACAACCCGGGUGCAACUAGAAUCCGAUGUCCUUGUAAGAGGUGUAAUAACAUGUUGUGGGAGACAAUUGAAAAUGUUGGAUUUCAUUUAGUAAGGAAUGGAAUGAUUGAGACAUAUAACAUUUGGAACCUUCAUGGGGAAUAAUUAGACCAUGCUUCGUCUUCAAAUGCCACAAGAAUGGACAGUGUUGAACCUAUUGUGGAUCUUAAUGAUCAAGUCAUGGAUAUUAUACAGGAUGCUUUUCCAUUUGCAUCGACCAACAUCAAUCACGAAAGGGAAGAUGACGUGCCUACACCAAUAAACAGCGCGGAGUUUGAACAAUAUGAAAAACUGUUAAAAAAUGCCAACCAAGAGUUAUACCCGGGGUGCGCGAGCUUUUCCGUUCUCAUGGCCAUUGUAGAGCUAAUGCACGGAAAAAUAAAGUAUCGUAUGUCGAACCUGUGUUUCGAUUACUUUUUGGGGGUUUUCAAGAGAAUGCUUUCGACGGACAAUUGUUUGCCGAAAGACCAUAAACACGCGCAGAAGGUGUUGAAUGGUCUUGGAUUGGGUUAUGAAAAAAUUCAUGCUUGCAAAAAUAAUUGCAUGUUAUUCUACAAGGAGCAUGAAACGUUGGAUACAUGCCCUAUAUGCAAUGAGUUGAGGUUCAAAAUGACAUCUCAGAAUAGAACGACUAAGAUCCCACAAAAAGUCAUGCGUUAUCUGCCCUUGAAACCUAGGUUGCAGCGAUUGUAUAUGUCGACGCAUACUGCCACAGACAUGAGAUGGCAUAAGGAAAAAUGGGUAGACGAUGAUGUGAUGCGGCAUCCUGCAGAUGGGGAGGCAUGGAAAGAGUUUGAUCGAACGUUCCCCGAGUUUGCUGCUGAUCCCCGAAAUGUGAGAUUGGGACUUGCCACUGACGGAUUCGAUCCGUAUGGGGUUCUGAGAUGCAUGAAAAAAGAAUACAUAAUGAUGACUAUUUUGAUAACUGAGGAUCCUGGGAGGUCAAUCGAUGUUUACUUAAGGCCGCUGGUUGAUGAGCUGAAGGAUUUAUGGACAAACGGUGUUCGCACGUACGAUAAAUCAACAGGGAAGAUGUUCACUUUGCGAGCAGCAGUUAUGUGGACUCUGAAUGAUUUUCGAGCAUAUGCAAUGGAUUUUGGGUGGAGCACAAAGGGUUAUAUGUCCUGUAUGCGAGGAAGAUGUAACUUCUGGUUGGCACGCGGGAAAAGUUUGUUACCUUGGUCAUCGGAGAUGGUUGCCAUGGGACCACGAGUGGCGGGAAAAAGGUAAAGAGUUCGACGGGAACACAGAGCGUCGCCUCAGACCUAGAGAAUGGUCCGGUGAUGAGAUCUUGGAACAGCUUAAUCGUUUGGAUUUUGCUCCGUUUGGAAAAACAGUUAGUCGAAUCAGACCUUCUACACAUAUGAACUGGACUCACAAGCCUAUGUUGUUUGAGCUCCCAUAUUGGUCGAAACUCAAAUUAAGGCACAAUCUAGAUGUGAUGCAUGUUGAGAAAAAUGUAUUUGACACAUUGGUGGGCACGAUUCUAGAUAUCGAGGGCAAGACAAGGGACACAAUCAAAGCCCGUCUUGAUUUGGAAAGAAUGGGCAUACGAAGGGGUUUAUGGAUGAAUAGGGACAGUGAUAAAGCUAGAAGGGAUCUUGCAUUCUUUUCUAUGAAACCGAAUGACAAAAAAGAGUUUCUAAAGUUUGUAUCGUCUGUAAAGUUUCCUGAUGGGUAUGCUUCUAAUAUAGCACAUUGCGUGAAUGUUGACGGGGGUAAAUUUACUGGACUGAAGAGCCAUGACUGCCAUGUGUUUAUGGAACGCCUACUUCCUGUGGGUAUUCGACAUCUAUUGCCGGAAGAUGUUGUAAAGCCAAUCAUGUUGUUGUCCAGAUUUUUUUCCCAACGAACGGCAAAAACAUUGCGAAAGACAGACAUGUUUCAGUUGUGCCAUGACAUUGUCCAAGUCCUAUGCAAGUUUGAGAUGAUAUUUCCUCCAGCUUUCUUCACAAGUAUGAUGCACGUGAUGGUUCACUUGCCAGAAGAGGCAUUGCUUGCUGGUCCUGUCAACUAUCGCUGGAUGUAUCCAAUAGAAAGGUAUAUAAUCCUUAUCGUUUGUGUAUGCAUCAUUAUCACAGGCUUGCUAAUUUGUAUCAUAUCGUUUUAUUUUGACAGGCUUCUCGGAGAGCUAAAAAAAAGUGUACGCAACAGGGUGAAGCCCGAAGGAUUAAUUAUAGAGGCUUGGGUUCAAUAUGAGUCGCUUACUUUCUGUGAAAUGUAUUUAAAAGAUGUGGAGAUGGCUUUCAAUCGUCCUCGGCGCAAUAAUGACGGAGGUAUGAGAAAGGAAAAACUUUCUGUUUUUGCCCAAAGCGCACGACCUUUUGGAGAUCCUGGACGAGGAAAGUCGUUUUCUAGAAAUGACAUGGAGGUAGCACAUUGGUUCGUACUAAAAAAUUGUGAUGAGAUAAUGGCAUACAUAGAUGAGCAUGAAGAGAUGAUGAAGUGAGAACAUCCAUCACAUUUAGUUGCCUAGAAACACCGUGAAUUGUUUCCACAAUGGUUUUUGGAUUCUGUAAGUUAUAAAUGUUUUGUAUUUGACAAAUAUAAAUUGUAGUAUUUAAUUUUGUCAUACUAACAUGUGAAUGGUUUUGUAUUAUAUUAGGUGAAUAAGUUGAAAUCAUCGAAUUCCCCCACUUACAGUGAUGAGUUAUAUAACUCGGCGUUCGGCCCGAUUCGCGCUGAAUUGUUUUCGGGUUGUUAUAUUAACGGCGUCAAAUUUUUGGGGGCUGCACGAGAUGACAAGUUGUGUACGCAAAACAGCGGUGUCCAUGUCCCAGGUGGAGGCAAAAGUACGAACAUUGAUUUCUAUGGCAAACUCACAACUGUCGUUCAAUUGCUUUACAAAGAUCGAUACCAAGUAAUCAUGUUUAAGUGUCGAUGGUUUGAUAGCAACCCAAAUAGGCCGGGAAGUGUUAAAAUCGACCAUGGCUUACUAUCUGUGAACAUUAACAGAACUUGGUAUGAUGACGACCCUUACAUUUUGGCAAAUAUGGCAACACAAAUUGUGUAUCUAGAUGACCCUAAAGCCGGGAAGUUGGAAAGUUAUUCAGAAGAUGGAUCAUAGGAACGUGUAUGCUAUACCAGAACUAGACCCAACUGACAACGACGUCGACAAUGUGGCUGACCAACGUUUAGAAUCUUCAAUGGAAAAUGAUGCGGAAACACUUCGAGAUACACAUGUUAUACAAGAACCGUUUCAAAUACAAGGAGUGUCUUCAAUCGAAAUACCGAUUCAGUCAAUUACAAUUGACCUCGGUGAUCUUCCAAGAUUUGAUGUUGCAGUGGGCCCGAGCAACGACGAUGAUGUAGUUAUAGAGGAGGAGGAGGAGGAGGAGGAGGAGGAGGAGGAUUGGGAGACCGAAAGUGAUGAUAGCGAUGAUAACGAAAGUUAUUAUAGUUUAGAUGAUGAAUAAUGAAUUGUUUUGUAAUUUUAUUAUGCUAGUGUACAGAUUUUGUGUAAUACAAAUCUAGUUGAAUAUAUGUAGUUGUUUGAAUAUAUGUAGUUGUUAUAUCCAAACCUUAUAUAUGUGGACAACUGAAAUAAUAUUAAAAUAAAUUUAGUUAUAAAACAUUGGUAAAUCUAUAUAUCCAAACCCUUUUAAUAAUAAUUUUUAAAUUUUUUUUGACAAAACACGUUUACAAAAUGAAAAUGAUAAAACAUUUGUUAUAAAACAUUGAUAAAUAAAUAUAUCCAAACCUUUUUCACACAAAGUUUGAAAAUAAUUGACACCAAACAUUUUUCAAAAAUGAAAAUCCUUGCGCGACGAACUAAACCUCGUCGCUCAAAGUUUGCGCGACCCACAUACACUCAUCGCGUAAAGUUAAAACAUUGCGCGACAACCUAUCAUCCGUCACGCAAUGAAAUUUUGCGCGACGACAGGUUUCCCCUCGUCGCGCAAAUAUAUAUUAUUUUAUAAUAUAAUAUAUAUACAUAUAUAUUUGAAGACGAUCGAGUUAGUUCAUUGUAUUCAUAUAGGGUCAAGGAGUGUAGCUGUAAAAAAUCAUCAAAAUCGGAUUUAAAAGAACCGUUAAAUCAUGACUUUUCAUUUAUAACCGUUCAAAAGUUUUGUCCCGUUACUUGAUCUCUGAAUGUUUUUUUUUUUCAAUUUUUGGGGUCUAAGAUCUCGAAGUAUAAACAAAUAAGUUUGAUGGCUGGAUUACUGAAACUACUUUCGUAGAAUGCGUAUGCCAUCAAAACCAUAUAUUCACCAACAAUGAAUAGUUUACUUAUACUUUCGUUAAAUAUAACAUAAGAUUACAUGGUAUCCCCCCUAGUGUAAACAUCUUAAAUUGAAGAUCAAAUUCAGUAAUUGUAUUCGUAUAGGGUCAAGAAAUGUAGCUGUAAAAAAUCAUGAAAAUCGGAGUUAAAAUAACCGUUAAAUCAUGAUUUUUCAUUUAGAACCGUCGAAAAGUUUUGUCUCGUUACUUGAUCUCUUAAUGUUUGUUUUUUUCGAUUUUCGGCGUAUACGAUCUCGAAGUAUAAAAACACAAGUUUGCCGGUUGGAUCAUUAAAACUAGUUUCGGGUUUAGGUUUCUGCAGUUUAGGGUUUAGGGUUUAGGGUUUUGUGUUCAGGGUUUGCGCGACGAAAAAAGUUGAUUGGUCGCAGGUAGCCUGCCGAAAACAGUCUUGUGCAACAAACACUUAGUCGUUGUCGCGCAAUCUCAGUCAGCCCUUUCACCCUCUUCCUCCUUGAACACUUAGCCAAAAUUUUUUUCGAGUUUACAGAAAGCAGACUUGCGCGACGCUGUUCAUAUUCAUCGCACAGUCUCUUUGCCAAUAAACCCUAAACCCCAAAUUUUGUCGGAAUUUCAACAUUGCGCGACGAAUAAGCUUCUUUGGUCGCGCAAAGCCUGCAGAAAACAGUCUGGUGCGACGAACGCAGGCUUCGUCGUCGCGCAAUCUCACUCUGACCUUUAACCCUCUUCCUCCUUGAACUCUUAGCCAAAUUUUUUUUCGAGUUUACAGAAAGCAGACUUGUGCGACGCUGUUCAUAUUCGUCGCGUAAUCUCUCUGCCAAUAAACCCUAAACCCCAUAUUUUGGCGGAAUUACAACUUUGCGUGACGAAUAAGUUUCUUUGGUCGCGCAAAGCCUGCAGAAAACAGUCUUGCGCGACGAACGCAGGCUUCGUCGUCGCGCAAUCUUAGUCAGACCUUUCACCUUCUUCCUCCUUGAACACUGAGCCAAAUUUUUUUUUUCGAGUUUACAGAAAGCAGACUUGCGCGACGCUGUCCAGAUUCGUCACGCAAUCUGUCUGCAAAUAAACCCUAAACCCCAAAUUUUGGCCGAAUUAGAAUUUUGCGCGACGAAUAAGGACAGCGUCGCGCAAAGUUUUCAAUAUCUCCCGCUAAACCCUAACGUUUGGUACACAGGACUGUCUUAGCAUGGACUAUGCUUAGGGACUGGCUUGGCUUGGUCUAAGUUGGAUAACACUUAUCCUACGUUUGGUGUAUGUUUGGACUAGGACUAGAAUUUUUUUAUUUUUCAAAAAUAUCUAUAUAUAUAUAUGUAUUUUAUAAUAUAUAAAAUAUAUAUAUAUAUGUAUAUAUACAUACAUAUAAUAUAUAUAUAGGUGUAUAUAUGUAUAUUAUAAUAUACAUGGGUAUAAUACAUAUACAUAUAUUUAUAUAUAUAUAUAUGUAUGUAUAUUAUAAUAUAAUAUAUAUAUGGGUAUGUUAUAAUAAUAAUAAUAAUAAUAAUAAUAACAAUAAUAUACAUGUAUAUACGUGUAUAUACAUAUAUUAUAUAUGUAUGUAUAUAUAUGUAUACAUUAUAUAUAUAUUAUAAAAUACAUAUGUAUAUAUAAUAUAUGUAUAAAUAUUAUAUAUUAUAAUAUACAUAUAUAUACGUAUAUACAUGUAUAUAAUAUAUGUGUAUAUAGGUGUAUCUAUAUAUUAUAAUAUAUAUAGGUAUAAUACAUAUAUAUGUAUAUUAUAAUAUAUAUAUACAUAUAUAUAAAUAUAUAAUGUAUAUGUGUAUAUACGUGUGUAUAUGUAUAUUACAAUACAUACAUGGGUAUAAUAUAUAUACACAUAUAUGUAUAUAUACUUAUAUAUAUAUUACAUAUAUACAUGUAUGCUAUUAUUAUAAUAUUAAUAUGUGUAUAUGGGUAUAUUAUAAUAAUAAUAUACGUGUAUAUAUCUAUAUGUAUUUAUAUAUUAUAUAUGUAUAUAUGUGUAUAUAUACGUGUAUAUAUGUACAUUAAUAUGUAAUAUAAUAUAUAUUACAUAUAUACAUGUAUACAUGUAUGCUAUUAUUAUAAUAUUAAUAUGUAUGUGUAUAUGAGUAUAUUAUAAUAAUAAUAUAUGUGUAUAUAUCUAUAUGUAUUAUAUAUAUAUAUUAUAUAUGUAUUUAUAUAUAUACAUGUAUAUGUGUAUAUACAUGUAUAUAUGUACAUUAUAGUAUAUGUGUAUGUAAUAAUAAUAAUAAUAAUAAUAAUAGUAAUAUAUGUUAUUAGUAUUACAAUAUAAUAUAUGCAUCUUAUACAUUGGUGAACAUAGGACUAGCUAAUCCUCCCUUUCUACAUGGGCUUAGUAGUCCCCUCUUAAUGAGGUGUUUUUAGUGGGCCCGGUAUUAGCAAUCCCAUCUAAGACUAGAAUUAAAUGAAACAAAUAUGGUACUAAAUUUAGUCCAAUCCAGUCCAAGCCAAGACUGUGUACCAAACGACCCCUAAGUCCCAAAAUUUUGGCGGAUUGACAACAUUGUGCGACGAAACACAUUGUUAUGCGUCGCGCAAAACCGCGCAACCCUACCCUGAUACCAAAUUUUGGCGGAUUAAUAAUAUGGUGCGACGUAAGUUAUACUUAUGUCGUCGCGCAAGGGUCAAUUAAAAUAUUUUGCGCGACGCUUUGGUGUAUUCGUCGCGCAAAAUCGAAUAAAAUUUCAGAAACCACGCGAUGGCCUCCUUUUUCCCCAGAUUUUGAUUUUGCCCUAACUCUCUCUCUCUCUCUCUCUCCGCCGUCACCUCAGCCCCCUACCCCAGUGGAAUUGGGACUGCGCCGCCACAACGUUGGUACCCCAGAGCUUCCCCGCCGUCACCGUCGAGCCAGCCGCCAUAAUUUCCUCGAUUUUCACCGAAUCUGCGCUGCCGUCGUUCUCUCUCCUCCGGCUACCAAAUUCGACUUCUGAGGUAUGGUUUCUGGACUAUUUUUGAUGCUUUAGCUGAUGGUUGGGUAGGAUUUCUGUAAUUAUUGCAAUAGGGCAGUGGAUUUGAAACCCUAAGUUUCAGCGGGUUUUUGAAUUUCAAUUCCGGCCACUUCUGGCCAUUUUUUGGGGUAGGUCCGAGAACAAAAGUGGCUCCAAUUGAUGUUUUCAACCUAGGGUAGGAACCUUGGCCCUUAGUUUUUAGAAUUUUCCUGCGAUUGGUAUCGCUUUGGACACCCACGCCCUGCCGGCGCGUGGGAUACUAUAGCAGUCAUGCAUUGGGUCCCAGUGCAAUUCGCUAGUUGUCACGAGCGCGUAGGUGUUUUUAGAUUGGAAUUUGGUUACCGUUUGAGUCUCAAACGGAUUUUGCUUAUUGUACGAUUUUCGGGUUUGUUAUGUUCGGACAGUUGGAUCGAACUCAUACUCACGUAUUGUGUUCCUUGUAUUUCUAGGAUCGUCUAGGAUUCGACGGAUCGUGCAUCGGAGUCCCGGAUACUCCGAACUCGCAAACCCUAGGUCAAGAAUCUUAAUAAAAUUGUAUGUGCUUUCAAAUAUUUGUAUAUUUUAUUAAUUUGUAUGUGUAUUAAUGAAAUUGUGCAGAUGUCAGACCUAAUUAGACGUCGUUGGGCGGUGACGACUACGCAGAGUUCGGAGCCCCCGGCUCAGCCGACAUCUGCUGCCACUACGCCAGCAUAUGCUGCCACUGCGCCAGCACUGAUGGACCACUUGGCAGUUGGUCCCGUGGGGUCCCAGGCGCCUGCUUCAUCAGUUUCAUCAGUGGCGUAGCCUGUUAGCGCCAGGCUGCGUCAUCGGCCCACCAGCACCACCGACACCACAUCCACUGAUGCGUCGGGGUCACAGCCAGGUAUAGAUUUCCUUAAACUCCAGUUAUUUUUAUUUUUAUUUUUGUUUUUAUUUUGUUUUUGUUUUUGUUUUUAUUUUUAUUUUUGUUUUUGUUUUUGUUUUUGUUUGUGUGUGUGUAUUUUAUAGUUAAAUUUGUUAUUUAUUUAACAUUAAUGUCAUCUUUCUUUGCAGCCAAGAAGAACACCCGAGGACCGUGUCAGCAGUUGAAGACGGCGAAGGUCACCCGAGUGACCAACAGUCGUAUCAACAUCGGAUACGACAAGCGACAUCGGGCUGCACCGACGGCGGAGUUGCAUAGCUCCUUGGCCCACGACAUUGGUCAUGUCGUUCGGAGCCAUUGCCCGAUGAAAUGGAAGUCUUGGAAGGUGAUGCCUGACGAGAUCAAGACGGAGGUUCGCGGCCAGUUGUCGGUAUGUAGGCCUUUUAAUUCUUUUUCUUUCAAACUUUAUAUUUCUAUUAUUUAAAUGUAUGUAAUUAAUUUAUUGCAGACGAACUACAACUUGGAGGACCUCGACGACGAGUCGUUGGCGUACGUCAACAGACUCUUCUCUGAGAGGUACAAACAGUGGAAGAGCGACUUGCACCACUAUUUUGAGGCGUUUGAUGAUCUGCAAGUCGCUCUUCAGGAGGGGUGCCCGAAGGAGCUUGAGGGGCGGGAGGAUAGUUGGGCGUGGCUCUGCGCUCAUUUUCAGGCACCCGCUUUUGUGGUAAUUUGUAAUAUGAAUUUCAAAUUUUUUAUAUUUUUCUUACUAAUGUUUUUUUAAUUCUUUAUAUUUAAUUUCAAUUUCAACUAAUACGUUUUAUUUUUUGUAUAACAGAAUAAAGCCAAAGUCAAUAAGGGCAAUAGGAAGAAGAAGACUCUUCUCCAUCAUUCGGGUUCCAGGCCGUUCUCCUAUAGGAUGGAUGCACGGCGGCAGGUAAUAAUAAAAUAAUUUUUAUUUAAUUUUUAAUAUUUCAUUAUUCUUAAUUUAUUUUUUCGUACUAAUAUUUUUCUUCUCUUGUUCAAUUUAGGGGAGGUCCAAAUUCCCAAAGAUCGACGUAUUGGCGAUGUUUAUCUUCGACCUGGGAAUGAGUUGGCCGAGGCCCUUCACGUAAGUAUUAUUUAAUUUUAAUUCUUAUGUUACGCAUUCAAGUUUAAAGGUUAUUAUAUGAAUGUUUUAAUUUAUAUUUUAUGUUAUGCUAAACAGAUGAUGAUGGUGGAGAGGAGCCAGUUGGUUCUUCAGGAGUCCGCCUCCCAACUUCCUCCCGAUACUCCGAUCGAGUCUGUGGAUCCUCCACAGGAUGCUGGGUUUCAGAUCUUGACGGAGACAUUGGAUCAGACUCUAGGGAGGAGACCGGGGACAUAUUGUCGAGGGAUGGGGAAUGCCAGGCGGAGGGAACCCAGACCCCGUUCAUCAGCGUAGUCAAACAAUCAGGUCAUUGCUUUGACAGCACAGAUGGCCACUCUUCAGAGUCAGAUGUCGGUCAUUCUGCAGUCCCUGGCACAGUCCGGCAUUCCAGUCCCGCAUUUUGAUGCGCCGACCUCUGAGCCCAUCCAUCCCGAGCAUCCCCAGCAGACGACGGCCCCUGUAGACCUCCAGACCUUUGAACACAUGUGCCAGACGACAAUGUAGAUUUUGGAACAUUAUUUGAUUAGUUUUAUUAUUUUCAUAAUUAUUUUUUAAAUAUUUCUCUUGCAGCAUACAUUUAUUUUAUUUUAUAUAAUAAAUCUGUUCUUUACAAUUCAUUUUUUUAUUUAUUAGAAUUUCAUUUUAUUACCCAAAAAAAAAACCAAAUUUAUUUUUUUAUAAAAUAAAAAAAAGUAAUAUUAAAAUUAAAUAAUAUUUAUAUAUAUUAAUUUUGCGUGACGAAAUCUUUCUCGUCGCGCAAAUUUACAUAUUACGAAAUAAAAAUGAUUCAUUUUUUAUUCUUGCGCGACGAACAUUUUCGUCGCUAAAAAGGAUAUGGGCGACAACAGUUUUUCGUCACGCAAAAUGUGUAGACACGAAUUGGACGACGAAGAACUCUUGGUGCCGCAAAUAUCUACGAGACGUAUUGCGCGAUGAAUAUUAUUCGCCGUGCAUCGUUGUGGCGACGAACCUUUUUUCGUCGCGCAUAAGUUCGUGCGACGAACUGUUGUGUCGUCUUUGAACCUUUUGUGUAACGAAGGGUAACUGUCGUACAAUUUUGCACGACGAGUGAAACAAUUGGUCGCGCAAAGUCUUUCUUCACGCUCUUUGUGUGACAGAUUGUGCGCAACGAAUUUUCUGUCGCGCUUGAGUUUGUGCGACUAAAUGUAACUCUGCGCGACGAAAUUGUCUUCGUCGCGCAAAUCGUAAAAUGUAGUAGUGAUAGAGGAAAGAUAGGAAGAAUAGUAAAAAAUACAUGUCGUUCGUAUGGUAAUAACGUCCAUAUGAAACUUUUUGAGAACAAGAGUUCAAUCAUAAAACCAAACGGCAUACAAAGACAUUGGAAACUUAUUUAUUGAAGAUAUAUGUGUAGACUUGAUUUUCAUCUCUGUUCGUUAAACGAUUUACAAAAGGGACACAGUGGGCUACACUAAGUAAAUGUCUUUGUCAUUUUACUUUUAUUUAUUUUUAUAUUACUCCAUUUACUUAAGUUUACAAUGUAAAUAAGGAAGUACCCCCCAUUUGGAUUCAAAUAAAAAUACUAGAAAAUCAAAUUCCCACCAAAUCAAAAUAUGAAAAAUCGAUUUUAGUGCAAAGUACGAUUUAGGCUAAAAAUGAUGGCUCAUUAAAUCAAUAUAUACUUCAUACUAAAAUCCCAUAAAAUAAAGUUUUCUUAUUUGAUGUGUGAAGAAUAAAAGCCGCCAAAAAUUAUCUUGAGAAAAUGAUUAUUCUGAAAACCCAUUUUUCAUACUUAGUCAAUAUUUUUACAUAAAACAACUUUUCAUGUAUGAUAUGAAUGCAUGAAGGAACCUAAAUCUAGGUAAAAAGCCUUAGAUGUUCAAUCUACUAUGGUGUUAAACCGUAUUUGGUUUAUGUUAAAACUUAUUAAAAAUUAGUCUAUGGAGCUAUGAACUAGCUUGGUUUAUACGAUUUAAUGUUUACUUUUAUUUCUAGAAAGACUAUAGAAAUUGUAAGUACCAAAAAAAAUAAUCAUUAAAUUUUAAGCUAAUAACUUUAGCUAGCCCACCCGUUGAAAAAUUCCUGAUUCCGCCCUUGACGUCCAUAUGAAACUUUUUGAGAACAAGAGUUCAAUCAUAAAACCAAAAGGCAUACAAAGACAUUUGAAACUUAUUUAUUGAAGAUAUAUGUGUAGACUUGAUUUUCAUCUCUGUUCGUUAAACGAUUUACACGAUUUACAAAAGGAGACAAACCAUCAACGUUGGUGGAAAAAAAAUGAGUGUUUUUUUUUUCAAAUUAAGUCCACAAAAUGUGAUCAACUAGGUUUCAAGUGUUCCUCUCCUUUAGGCGUACGUCUUCAGUUCAACGAUGUCCACAGAAAUUCUUAUCUCUCCCUCUCUUCCCCCACCACCCACUCUAUCCUCAAGGGUCUAUAAAUUGGUUGAGGCGAAGCCACAUUAAGUUCACUCAACAAUCUUGUCUUCAUCUAAAUUGUGUUGUUAAGAAAAACAUGGCAUCAUCCUCCAAGACUUUUCUUCUUCUUGGCUUUAUGUUUGCUCUUGUGAUCCUCAUCUCCUCUGAGGUCUCAGCUCGUGAGCUAGUGGAAACUGCUAGUCAAGUUGCUAGUGAGUUUCUAAUCUUUUAACUGAUCACAUAACCCUAUGCAUGUCAACUGAUAUAAAUUCUUUUUAUACGAAGGACGACUUAUAUAUAUAGAUUACUCUUAUUGCAGGUAGACCCUAUUUUGAACGCGGGCCAGUCACAGGGUAUCGCUCCCCCCCACCCCCCCCGGGAGAGUAUAGGCACGACCAAGGCCACCAUGAAAAACCAGGACUUGGUGUUGCUGAGACUGAAACUGGGAAUUAAAUAGAUAACCCUUUUUCAGUGGAUAUUGCAGGUACUAUGUGGUAAUAUAAUAAGGAUUUGUUUUAUCAAUUAUAAAGGUUAAUGUAAUGUAUUGGUUGAGUUGUUAAUAAAACUCUCAAUCAUAAUUAAUUAGGAUUUUAAGGUUUAUCUUUGUACUAGUACUCAUAUCAUACUGUCUAGGAUAUGUGGCUUUUUACCUUUAUAUAUACGUUUGAAAUCUAUCCUAGCAAUUUCUUUUUCCAUAAUUUUUGUAUGAAUGAAAAUCUCUCCAAGAGUAAUUUUUGUUCCCAAACGUAACAACCCACGACCUCACCCCAAACCACAACCUAGACCACAUGCAAUGAAGCGACUUCAUGCUACAACUUAGGGACACAUACCAUACAAAUAGCAUAAAAACGAUGUGUUAAGGCUUGGUCAUGGUUUUGCUAAAUAACGAAAAUUAACCUGUGUAAAGUGCACAAAUUUUAUAUUAUUUUCUUUGCCAAAUAAACAAGUGAUAUAGUAGUAUAUUCUUUUUUAAAACACACAAAGAAACCAUAUUCUUCAAGAAACCAAUCAAGAAUCUGAUUUCAAUCUAAACAUAUGAAGAGUAUGAAAUGCUAGAUGCAGAUUUUGAAGAAGAGAAGCAUAUUUCAAAAGCAAUAUGGAAAUCUCAAUUCGAAAAUCAUGGCCUCACCAAGUAGAAAAUACAUAGUAAAAGUUUUUCUCUCAAAAAAUUCUUAAUGGGUGAAUUCGAUUUCAAAAAUAGAAGCAGAUUUCAAGAUCUAUUUGGAAACCUCAUUCUAAAAACCAUGAACACUCUCACAGAGAAAAUGGAAGAGGUAAAAGAUGCCUCUCAACAAUCCAAAAAUGAAAGUGUUGGAUGCUCUCUACCAUUAGCCACCCUUUUGAUAAAUUAGGGCAUCACAAAACAAAGACACCUGUGAGCUAAUUAUAAGAACUAGAAUUGGACAAAAAUGGUUAGGACAGAAAACUUACAGCUGGCAACAGAGGCAAGCUCAAGUGAAAAAUAAAUGAUGUGGCAGUAACACGUGACAAACAAUGAUGACUGGUCAUGCAAAAGAGAGCACUACAAUGCAUGCAAUGCAAUCAAAGAUGAAUUACCGUCAGUUUGAGCUUGAGAGCAUGGAUCCAUCAUGAAGUUGAUAUCAACUAAUAAUUCUUUUAUUGUUGGGUUGGAUCCACAAUUAAUCCUAUGGAUCCUUAGGAUUGGCGAAGCCAUACUAGAUUAUCGUAGCGCUAUCCUAGAUUAGUCUAGCUUCUUAAGCUUGAUUAAGUGCAUAAAAAAUUACAAUCAAAUUUACAUGUUUGUCAAGAAAAACAAAACAUUUAGUUAACCAAAACCUACAACCCACGACCACACCCAAGACCACAUGCAAUGAAGCGACUUCAUGCUACAACUUAGGAAAACAUACAUAUAGCAUAAAAAUGAAGCGUUAAUGUAACAUCCCACGUCGACCAACAGAGAGGGGGUGGUGUGCCUUAUAUGUACAUGCCCACUUCCAUCUAGCACGAGGCCUUUUGAGAGCUCACUGGCUUCUGAAUCAUGGGAAUUCCGAAGUUAAGCGAGUUGGGGCUAGAGCAAACCCAGGAAGGGUGACCCACUAGGAAGUUGCUCUUGAGUUCCCUGAAACAAAACCAUGAGGGCAGAGAGGGGGGCCCAAAGCGAACAAUAUCGUCCAAAUCAAACAAGGAGAAGGGCAUGCAAAACAAUGAUGAGAGAAAUUGAGUAACAAUCCCAAAAUUGACGACCAAUGUGUUAAACAUAUUGACCCAGCAAGCAGAGCAUUAUGAGCCUCAUAAAAGAGACUUGGACCCAUCUGCCCCAUCAUUGAACAAUGCCAAACCAAAAUCGCCAUCAGCUAUCAAAUCAAACCACAAGGCGCAGUUUGCUCAACUCCAUUAAAAAAUGGCAUGGACAUUUAUACAAUCUUUUUGUGCAGGGUGAAAAUGUAUCGAUAAUAUAUAUAUACGUUUUGCAGACAUAAAUGAGAGAUGACGAAAAUGUAUCGAUAAUAUAUCUGUACGUUCUGUAUUGAUAAUAAAUGAGAAAUCGAAAUAUUAUCAAUAACAUAUCGACAAUCAAACAUCCUGGGGACUACAAUAAUAUGUAUGAUUUGUGUGGUCCUCAACUACUCAUGGGGCAGAGUUCAGAUGACCUAUCCCCUCUUCAGCCCCACAAGAUGCAGAGAGCUGCAGUUGGCCUCUCAAUGUUGAUUUGGUUUGGGUAACAAUUCUAGGUAAACCAUUAUUUCUGAUGUUGGUGUUGGAUUUCGAAUGUACAAAUUUGAUAUGAUUUGUUCAACUAAUUUGAAUUUGUUCUCGGAAAAUUACAAUUUAAUAUAAAACGAUGACCUGUUUAUACAAAUGAAACUUGCGGUCAAUCAUACAUGUGUUAUUUGCCACCUUUGUUGACGGAAAAGUCAAAGGAAUGAACAGCUAGCCAUUUGGUUAAUAACAAAAUUUCUGCGACUUAUAAAAUCCACCGACAGUGUCAAAAUGGGAAGGACUGCUUUUUCUUCUGUUUUGUUUUACAUUUGGUCAACCCAAUUGGGUUCAAUAAAAAACUUCAAAUACCUACUACCAAAAAGUAAUACAGUUUUUGAAGUCGACAUUAUAUUUGAGUAGGUUGGUUCUUAAAAUUAUGAAAUUAUAGUUGAUUUUAUUAAUAUGAUCGAUUUCUCCUAUUUAAUUUUUUUUUUAAAGAUUCGAAUUAUAAAUCUCUUUGAACUUCUUGAGAAUAAACUUCUCAUGUCGAAUCCUACAAGAUAAGAAUGGAGGAUGUUCAUUCUCAUGUUUGGGAAUGAUGGGAAAUGAGGACUAUGAACUAUCAUUUUCUCUCAUUUCCAUGUUUGAUUUGUGCAAUAUUAAGAAUGAAAAGUUCGGUUUUCCAACAACACUUUUGAUUUUUUAGUACUAAAAUAUAUCAAUAUGAAGAGUUUUUUAAUGGUAAAAAAUAAUAUUUAAAAAUAAUAACAUGAGUAAAUUAGGUUUUUUACAAAAGGAGACAAACCAUCAACGUUUGUGGAAAAAAAAAAUGGACGACAAAAAGAAAAUGAACGUUUGUCCACAAAUAAGCUAAAUAUCAAUGGGCAUGCAAAGACUUCAAAGUAAGUCUUUUGCAGACCCAAAAAAUUGGAAAAGCCAAAAAGAAGAAAUCAACGUCCGGACAAGUGUGGGCCAACAUGACUUUUCAUACGAAGACUUGAAGGUCUUUGGAGCCACAUCUCUCGCCUUGUGCGUUAUUUGAAGCCAUACUUGAAGGACAUUGAUGGACGUAGACAAAAGCAGCAACCAGCGCAUUGCUUCCCCAGAGUUCUAUUGGCUUUUGUAUGAAAAUAUCCAAGAGAAUAGUACUUCCCUUCCAAUUAAUUUUAAACAAAAUAAAUAUGAAAUUUUGAACUGGUGAUUUAUUUGUAUAUUUUUUUAGUGUUUUUUGUCAAAUUAAGUCCACAAAAUGUGAUCAACUAGGUUUCAAGUGUUCCUCUCCUUUAGGCGCCAUACGCCGUCAGUUCAACGAUGUCCACAUAAAUUCUUCUCUCUCCCUCUCUUCCCCCACCAACCUACUCUAUCCUCAAGGGUCUAUAAAUCGGUUGAGGCCAAGCCACCACUACUACAAUUUACAAUUUGCGUGACGAAAGAAAAUUUCAUCAUACAAAGUACAUAUGAGUCGCACAAAUUUCAAUGCGACAGAAAUUUCUUCGCAAAGAAUUCGUCGCGCAAAGAUCGUGAAGAAAGACUUUGCGAGACCAAGUUUUGUCAAUGGUCGGGAAAAAUUGAGCGAUGGUUAACCUUCGUUGCACAAAAAGUUUUGGGACGACACAAUUGAUCGUCUCUCAAACCUUUGCGCGACCACAACACGUUCUUUGUGAGUACACAGUGCGACGGUUUAUAUUCAUCGCGCAGAAUUGUAGGGACGAGAGAACUGUUCGUGUCGCAAGUGUUUGCGCGACGACUUUUCUUGCGUGACGAAAUUUACUUUAAUUUUAAUACACACACACACACACAUAUAUAUAUAUGGAUCAAAGGAACGUGUAUACUAUAUAUACACAUAUACUACACACACACACACACAUAUAUACAUAUAUUACACAUAUACUACACAUAUAUUAUUAUUAUUAUUACAUACAUAUAUACACGUAUAUGAACAUAAACAUGUAUAUAUAUAUAUAUAUACAGAGAGCUUCCAUUGAAAGAUCCCUCAAAUAGCUUAUUUGAGAGACACCCCUUGUAGGCCCCACUCCGGAUUGUAUUUCACUAAUCCAAACCUUCUAUUUUGUGGAUACUCAUUCAAAGAUCAUCUCUACAAAAAAUCACUUGAAUCCGAUAUCAUUUGACCACUCAAUUAAGUUAUUGAAAUUUUAGCAUUUUCUUGAAGCACUGUGUUCAUUGAUUUUGUAAGACACAAUUGAAUGUCGAAACGGUUUCCGAUUUGUCUAAUUUUUUGUAAGGAUGAUCUAUGAAUGAAGACCUAAAAAAUAGAUGGUUUGGAGCAUUGGGAAAAAAAUUUUAAGGUGCCCUAAAUGGCGUCCCUCAAAUAAUUUUAUUUGAGGGAUCCCUCAAUAGAAGGGGACUGUAUAUAUAUAUAUAUAAAUACAUAUAGAUAUAUACACGUAUAUUAUUAUAAUAUAUCCAUAUACAAAUAUACAUAUUAACAUUAUAAUAAUAGCAUACAUGUAUAUUAUGAUUAUUAUAACAUACAUAUAUAUUAUAUAUAUAUAUAUAUGUAUUAUAUCCAUGUAUAUAUUAUAAUAUAUAGAUACACCUAUAUAUAUACAUAUAUAAUAUACAAGUAUAUUAUAAUAUAUAUAUAAUAUGUGUAUAUAUAUUAUAUUAUAUUAUAAUAUACAUAUAUUGACGCGACGAUAAUCCAAGUCGUCGCGCAAAAUUACAACCUUACGCGACGAGAACUGUAGUCGUCGAGCGAAAUUACAACUUCACGCGACGAUAAAAAAAUUGGUCGUGCAAAAUUGCAACUUUACGCGACGAGAAUGAAUUCAUCGCCCAAAAUUACAACUAUACGCGACGAGAGUAAAUUCGUCGGGCAAGUAUUGUCCGCCAAAUAAAUAUGAAGGUUUGUUUCUCAUUUUGAUUUUUUUUCCUUUUAUUUUGCUAAAGGAAUGUUAAGGUUUGUUUCUCAUUUUCCUUUUUUGAAAAUGUUAUCUAAAAAUAAUUUUCAAAAAUAUUACAAAAAUGGUUCGGAUAUAUUUAUUUAACAAUGUUUUAUAGCUCAAUUUAUUUUCAUUUCUCAUUUUCUUUUAUAGCACAAUUCGGCCAAACAACGUUUCAUUUCUCCACAUAUAUAAAGUUUGGAUACAACAAGUACAUAUAUUCAAACAAGCAUAUUUGCCAAAAUCUUUACACUAACAUAAUUAAAUUACAAAAAAUUUCAUUUACUAUGUUUUACAUGGCAAGUCAAAAUAAAUUGCAUUAUUCAUCCUCUGAACUAUAAAUAACUUUCGUUAUCGUCUCUAUCAUCACUUUCGGUCUCCCAAUCCUCCUCCUCUAUAACUACAUCAUCGUCGUUGUUCGGGCCCACUACAACAUCGUAUCGCGGAAGAUCACCGAGGUCAAUUUGUAAUUGACUGAAUUAGCAUUUCGAUUUAAGACACUCCUUGUAUCUGAAACGGUUCUUGUAUAACAUUUGUAUCUCGAAGUGUUUCCGCAUCAUUUUCCAUUGAAGAUUCUAAACGCUGGUCAGCGACGUUGUCAACGUCGUUGUCAGUUAGGUCUAGUUCUGGUAUAGUAUACAUGUUCCUCUGAUCCAUCUUCUGAACAACUUUCCAACCGCUCCUGGAUUUAGGGUCAUCUAGAUACACAAUCUAUGUUGCCAUGUUUGCCAAAAUGUAAGGGUCGUCAUCAUACCAAGUUCUAUUAAUGUUCACAGAUAGUAAGCCAUGGUCGAUUUUAACACUUCCUUGCCUAUUUGGGUUAGUAUCAAACCAUCGACACUUAAACAUGAUCACGUGGUAUUGGUAUUUGUAAAGCAAUUGCACGACAGUUGUGAGUUUGCCAUAGAAAUUAAUGUCCGUACUUUCGCCUCCACCUGAGACAUGGACACCGCUGUUUUGCUUACACAACUUGUCAUCUCGUGCAGUCCCAAAAACUUGACGCCGUUAACAUGCAACCCGAGAACAAUUCAGCGCGAAUCGGGCUGAACACCAAGUUAUAUAACUCUUCACUGUAAGUAGGGGAAUUCGAUGAUUUCAACUUAUUCACCUAAUAUUAUAAAAAAAACAUUCACAUGUUAGUUUGAGAAAAUUAAAUACUACAAUAUAUAUGUCAAAUACAAAACACUUAUAACUUACAUAUUCCAAAAACCAUUGUCGAAACAAUUCACGGUGUUUCUUGGCAUACAAAUGUGAUGGAUGUUCUCGCUUCAUCAUCUCUUCAUGCUCAUCUAAAUAUGCCAUUAUCUCAUCACAAUUGUUCAAUACGAACCAAUGAGCUACCUCAAUGACAUUUCUGGAAAACGACUCUCCUCGUGUAGGAUCUCUAAAGGGUUGUGCGUUUUGGGCAAAAAUAGAAAGUUUUUCAUUUCUUACACCUCCGUCAUUAUUGCGCUGAGGAUGAUUGAAAGCCGUCUCCACAUCUUUUAAAUACAUUUCACAGAAAGUAAGCAACUCAUAUUGAACCCAAGCCUCAAUAAUUGAUCCUUCGAGCUUCGCCUUGUCGCGUACAAUUUUUUUCAGCUCUCUAAGAAGCCUGCCAAAAUAAAACAAUAUGAUACAAAUUAGCAAGCGUGGGAUAAGGAUGCAUAAACAAAUGAUGAGGAUUGUAUACCUUUCUAUUAGAUACAUCCAGCGAUAGUUGACAGGACCAGCAAGCAAUGCCUCUUCUGGCAAGUGAACCAUCACGUGGAUCAUACUUGUAAAGAAAGCUGGAGGGAAUAUCAUCUCAAACUUGCAUAGGACUUGAACAAUGUCAUGGUGCAACUGAUUAAUGUCUGUCCAUUGAUGUAGGCACGUCAUCUUCCUCUUCCUUAUUGAUGUUGGUCGAUGCAAAUUGAAAAGCAUCAUUUAUAAUAUCUAUGACUUGUUCAUUAGGAUCCACAAUAGGUUCAACAUUGUCCACUCUUGUGGCCCUUGAAGACGAAGCAAUGACUAAUUGUUCCCCAUGAUGGUUCCAAGUGCUAUAUGUCUCAAUCAUUCCAAUAUUCCUUACUAAAUGAAAUUGAACAUUUUCAAUUGUCUCCCACAACGUGUUGUGACAGCUUCUACAAGAACUUCGAAUUCUAGUUGCACCCGGGUUGUGUGUAUGUGCAAAGUUAAUAAAAUCCUCGAUUCCAUCCAAGUAUUCGGCUGCGCAUCUAUUCGGGUUAUGUAUCCACUUCCUGCUCAUAAUUCCUGGAACCACAAUCGCAACACAACAAUCACAACAACUUCAUACAAAGUCAUAAUGUCACCUUAUGCCUCCGGUAAUGGCCCUAUCCCAUUCGGGAAUGCAUAGUCAUGUCACGUAUUUUACGGCUACAUGAGAUUAGAUUUCGUUGUGGAUGAAUUUCGGCAACAUUUUGAUACAGUUCUUGAGGUGUACCCUAGGUAUAAAAUACCUAUGUACCACCCGAAGACGUAUAGAGAUGACACCGAAAUCUCCACAACCGAAACCUAAUCCUGUAGCCUUAAAUUACGUGACAUGCCUAUGCAUUCCCAAACUGUCCAAAUAAUUGGACAAUUCAAGAAUUAAUUGGACCGCAGUCAUGCUUUACGCAUUCAUGCAUGAAAUCCAACUAAUCUUGAACUGGAAACUAAGUUUUACUACAAAUAAAAAUAAAAGUACGAAGUUAAUUGAGAUUAACUUCGUACAUCACAACACAUUGUGCUACGUCACGCACAAUUUAACAACAUACUAUAAUUAUAAUUUCACAAAAAAAAUAUAAGCAUAACAAACUAAGUUUAACAUAAUGUAAUUAAUUUUAUAUUUUUAAAAUAUAAAACCAAUAAAAGACCUUCUCAAUCGAUCUCCACUAAUCGCUAAUUACAAAUAUCCCUAAAGAGAACAAAAUUAAUAGCAUUAGUAUGAAUUUACAUUAAUACUUUUAAACCAACAGCAAAAAUACUUACCCAAUGAACGUAGUGAAUUCACAGCAGAAGCAGAGGCAGAGCUUUUUUUUUUUGCAGUCUGUCUCUGCAAUGGCUGAAUCCAGAUUAUAUAAAGAAGGAUUUUGCGCGACGAAUUCCUUUUCGUCACGGGAAAAAAAUAUUUCGUCGCGCAAAAUACCAUUUUCGUCACGCAAGUACGCAUCGACAUCCAACUUUUACGCAAUGAGAAAUCAUUUUCGUCGCUCCAAAUUUCGUCGCGCAAAAGAUAAUUUUCGUCUCGCAUGAACGUGCCGACAUCUAACUUUACACGACGACAGCGAUUUCCAUCCCACAAGUAUUUGGCGCCAAAUAAAAUAAUCCCAUGUUUUCCUUACUCGAUGAUAACGUGUGGUGUCGAGCUAAGUAUUCUUUUGCGACGACAGCUGUCGUUGAUAAGUCCAUAAAUGAGGUUUUGUAAGAGAAUUAUAUUUAAAAAGGGCUUAUUACUUUCAUUUUCUGAUUUUCAGCUUUUCUGCGCUCUUAGAAGGUUGUUAAGGGAAAAUCAACUUUUCGGAGGACUUUUGGUGCAAGGACAAUUGGAGAUGAAAGCUAACAUCUUGAAGUUCGAUCUGUGAUUUUUCUAGAAUUUUCCACCGAGCCAAUUGGUACAGUAUUACAAGUAAAGUUAGCCCACGUGCAGACAGGACAGUUUCGUACACAUUACGUGAAUAUGAAGAAACAGAAGCCUCUUCCCGAAUUUUUCAAGUUACGUGCUAUAUAUGGUUGGAAAGAUAAGACAUUUAUAUUUCUAAAAUAUAUUUUUACUGAUUUUUCUAGGAGGCCAAAGAUCCCCAAAUCGUGUGACAAUUGGGCUGAGCUGUAUUUCCCUAUGGAGUUAUGAAUUGUGAUUUUUACUUUCCUAUUUGGAUUCCUUGUUUACCAAGACUUCUUGGAUGACUUUUCAGUCAAUUUUAGGGUUUAGAACUCUGAUAUAAGUGAUAUAAAAGACGAGCCAAGGCCUGAUACAAAGGAUUCACGUCCUAAAGAGAUCAACCGCGCAAGAGGAGAAAGCUGCCAAAGAGUUCUUUCUUUUCCUUCAUUCUUUUAAUUUUCAGUUCUUAUGUAUUUAUUUUUUAGUUCAUCCAAGACCAUGAGUAACUAAUUUCUUGUUAGUUAGGGCUUAAUCUUGAAUCCCUAAACAUGAUUUCAAUUUUAUAAAAAAGUUUAAUGGAUUUUUAGUUUCUACAAGCGUGAUGAUUUCGGUUUCUCUAUGUUAUGUGAAGUCUGAUAUUUUGUUUCUUUGAGUAGCUAACUUGGAAGCAUGUAUUGGAAUUAAAUUGUUGUAGAACGUAGGUCAAUUGCCAUAUUGAAUGUGUUCUUGUUUGCAACGAAUAACUGAGUUAAGAACUAGUUCUGAGAAAUCGAUUCUUGAAUUCCUAAUAACAAAUGCCAUGUUUUAGGGUUUUUGUGAUACUCAUAUUCUCUUUGAUCUUAAUGAAUUCUUGAUUGUUAAUUUGAGUAAAUGCCAUACUAGAUUUCAAUUAAGAAUACACGUAUUGAUGUAAAUGCCAUACACUUUACAUACACUUAGAAGAGAAUCAUACAACUCGAGUCAAAUGCCAUGAUCUUGUUGUGAGUGUCGUCAUCAUAUGCUUGCUAGAAAUUGAUUAUCUAUUGUUGUCUAUGGAUUGAUUGAUUGUUUGGAGGUGGAUAGUAAGUCCUAGCUAUUGUUCUUGAUUGAUUUUAAACCAAUUUCUCUUAAACUCUAAUUUAAAUUCUAUUUUGUUUUCUUUUCCUUAUUUUGUUUUAUUCAUAAAAUCAAAUCAAAACCCCCUUGGUAUUGGUGUGUGUUUGGAAGUCCUUUGUUUUCAUUUUCAUUGCGUGACAUUGAUAAACAUCUCUUUAGAUCACAAUCUCCGUGGGAUCGACCCUUGCUUGCUUACUAUACUAUCAUUUGAUUUGUGCACUUGCAAAGUUUUAAUAUUGUUGUUAAAAUUUACCAACAAGUUUUUGGCGCCGUUGCCGGGGAUUGUCAAGCUAAUUGAGUUUUGUUUUCAAUUUCAGGUAUAUGCUGGGUCGUCGUUCGUAGAGUCACGAGCUUAUACCAUAUGACCUUGAACUAGAGAACACACUUCGUUAUCUCCAUCGAGAUAAAAAUAAGCAAGAUACACUUCUAAUCAAGAUGGGAGACAAGUUGGAACUCAACAACCUCACCCGACCUUUGAAGGAUUUCACAGUUCCUAAAGCAUUGAACUAGCAAUCUUGUAUUGCGUAUCCAGCCAUUACAACCACCUUUGAGAUCAAGAGUGGCACCAUUCACCUUUUGCCGCAAUUCUAUGGCAAGGCUGGGGAUGAUCCUCACAUACAUAUGAAGGAUUUCUUUGCCGUGUGCGCGACUAUGCACAAUGGAGGGAUUAGUGAUAAGGCAAUCAGAUUGCGUUUAUUUCCAUUCCCACUCAAGGAACGAGCCAAUGAGUGGCUCUAUUCUUUACCUAGUGCAUCUGUCACCACAUGGACAUCAUUGGCUUCCAAGUUCCUUGCAAAGUUCUUUCCAGCUCAAAAGACAAACCAUAUUAGGAAGGAGAUCAUGGGAGUGCAGCAACUAGAUGGAGAAUCAUUUCAUGAGUAUUGGGAUCGGUUUCAGAGACUCCUAGCUUCGUGCCCUCAUCACCAAAUUGAAGAUUGGCUACUUAUGCAAUACUUUUAUGAGGGAUUACUUGAUUCGGAGAGGAUGAUGGUUGAUGCUACUAGUGGAGGAGGUUUGAUGAAUAAGAGUGCUACUCAAGCCAAGGAGAUGUUUGAGAACAUUGUAGCAACUCUCAACAGUUUAAUUACCGGAGAGCUCCCCAAAAGAAAGCAGGUGUUUAUGAGGUAAGUGCUAGUGAUAUUGGUCCUCAAAUAGCUAAUUUGACUAACCCUUGUUAAGCAGUUAAUCCCUUAAGCACAAGUGUGUGCCGUGUGUGCUAAUCCUGGACAUCCUACGGAGUCUUGUCCAAGUUUGUAUGGUGAUGGAGAAGAGAUGGCUCAAGCACACUAUAUGCAGCAACAAAAGCCAAGAAACGAUCCAUUUUCUAACACUAUAAUCCGGGAUGGUGGCAACACCCUAACUUUGGAUGGAAGAACAACCAAAAUGUGCAAACAGCCCCAGUUCAACAAAAUCAGUUUGUUCCUCAACAAAAUGCACCUGCACCACCUCAUGGGCAAGGUAAGUCUUUAGAAGAGUUAAUUAAUUCUUUGGCAUUAAGCACUCAGGGUUUUAUGCAGGAAACAAGGCAAACACAGGCACAAAUGUCUACAACAAUCAAGAGCCUUGAAAACCAAGUUGGACAAAUUGCAGCCUCCUUGAGUCAAAGAGAGCAAGGAAAGUUUCCAAGCCAAGUAAUUCCAAAUCCUAAUGGAGGCCAUGAAACCGCAAAUGCGAUUACUCUUCAAAGUGGAAAAAAGGUGGAAAAGGAUGACAAUGAGGAGAGAAAUUCAACCAAAAUAGUGGCUGCCCCCUCUCCCAAGCUUACGGUUCCAAGUGACAACUCUAAGGUAAGUUCUCUUGUGAAUCAUUCAAUUACUUCAAAGGUUCCUUUUCCUCGUAGGCUUUUAAAUUCAAAAAAGGAGCAAGUUUCAAAGGAUAUCCUAGAGACUUUCCGAAAAGUGCAAGUGAACAUUCCCUUGCUCGAUGCAAUCCAACAAAUUCCAAGCUAUGCAAAAUUCCUCAAAGAACUUUGUACAAAUAAGAGGACGUUCAAGGAGCAUAAACCGUGGCCUUAAGUGAAGAAGUCUCCGCCGUGCUAUUGCGUAAAUUACCUCCUAAACUAAAGGAUCUAGGGAGUUUUACUAUACCUUGUCUCAUUGGAAAUCAAAGGUUUGAACAUGCUUUAUUAGACUUAGGUGCUUCAAUUAAUUUGAUGCCUUUUUCUGUUUUUGAAUCUUUAAAUUAGGUGAGCUUAAGAAGACUUCCAUCAGCAUACAAUUGGCUGAUCGAUCAAUCAAGUAUCCUAAGGGAGUGUUGGAAGACGUUUUGGUCAAGGUGAAUGAGCUAAUUUUUCCAGCUGACUUUCUAGUGCUCGAGAUGGAGGAAGUUCCUAUUCCUGGAAAAGACCUUCCAUUGAUUCUAGGAUGUCCAUUCAUGAGAACAGCAAGGACAAAAAUUGAUGUGUAUGAAGGCACUCUCACAAUGGCAUUCGAUGAGGAAAUCGUUGAGUUUAAGGUCUUUGAUGCUUUAAAAUAUCCUAAUGAUGAUCAUGCUUAUUUUUCCAUGGAUGUACUUGAGCAAAUGGUACAAGAAACAUUUAAUGCAUCACAAGGAGAGACACCAUUGGAGAGGGCACUCAUCCAAAGCCCCAAAACUGUGAAUAAAGAAGGGAACACAGCUGUACUUGAAGUUGUGAAUAUGCUUGAGGCCUUGCCUCCCCAAAGAGGUAAGUUUAACUCUAUUUUUGAGCCUCCUCCAUUAUCUACUAAUAAGCUUGUUCCCUCUAUUGUGAAGGCACCACAGGUUGAGCUAAAACCCCUUCCAGAGAACUUGAAAUAUGCAUAUUUAGGUGAUGAAAAGACGCUGCCUGUGAUCAUUGCUUCUAAUUUGAGUGCAUCCGAAGAAGACAAACUAAUUCGAGUUCUAAGGGAGCACAAGACUGCCCUAGGUUGGACCAUUGCAGACAUCAGAGGAAUAAGCCCUACAAAGUGCAUGCAUAGGAUCUUUUUGGAAGGAGAAUCGAAAGCUACAAGGGAAGCCCAAAAGAGGCUGAAUCAGGUGAUGAAAGAAGUAGUUAAGAAAGAAGUUAGCUUUUGAACGUGGGAAUUAUAGACCCCAUUUCGGAUAGCAAGUGGGUGAGUCCCGUCCAAGUUGUUCCCAAGAAAUCCAGAAUUACCGUUGUGAAGAAUGAAGACAAUGAGUUGGUGCCUCAAAGAAUUCAAACGAGUUGGAGAGUAUGCAUAGAUUAUAGAAAGCUCAAUCCCACGACACGUAAGGAUCACUUUCCGUUACCAUUUAUUGAUCAAAUGCUUGAGCGUCUUGUAGGUCAUAGUCAUUAUUGCUUCUUGGAUGGAUACUCCGGAUACAAUCAAAUUGCCAUAGCUCCGAAAGAUAAAGAAAAGACCACCUUCACCUGUCCAUUUGGUACGUUUGCUUAUAGGCGUAUGCCUUUUGGUUUAUGUAACGCACCUACCACUUUUCAACGUUGCAUGAUGUCCAUUUUUUCUGAUAUGGUAGAGGAGAUAAUAGAGGUAUUUAUGGAUGAUUUUUCAGUUUUUGGUGAUUCAUUUGAUAUUUGUCUUCACUACCUCUCUUUAGUGUUGAAAAGGUGUCAGGAAUGCAAUUUAGUGCUCAAUUGGGAGAAGUGCCACUUCAUGGUACAGCAGAGUAUUGUAUUAGGUCACAUUAUCUCUUGUAGGGGAAUUGAAGUGGACAAGGCAAAAAUCGACAUUGUGAGAAGCUUGCUGCCCCCCAAAACCGUUAAGGAGAUUCGGUCAUUCCUAGGACAUGCAGGGUUCUAUAGGCGUUUCAUCAUGGACUUUUCAAAAAUAUCAAGGCCCCUAUGUCGAUUGCUUGGCAAAGAUGUGGAAUUCGAGUUUAAUGAAGAGUGCUUGGUUGCAUUUAACAAGCUUAAGGAGCUUUUGACGUCUGCUCCUAUCAUGCAGCCUCCAGAUUGGAAUUUUCCCUUCGAGUUGAUGUGUGACGCCUCGGAUUAUGCAGUAGGGGCUGUGCUUGGACAAAGAGUGCACAACGUACCACAUGCCAUCUAUUAUGCCUCCCGGACUUCGAAUGAUGCUCAGUUGAAUUACUAAACUACAGAAAAUGGGUUGCUUGCUGUUAUUUUUGCUUUAGAGAAAUUUAGAUCAUAUCUUAUUGGCACUAAAGUAAUUGUAUUCUCUGAUCAUGCAGCGCUUAGGUACCUCCGCCAAAAGAAGGACGCCAAGCCCCGACUGAUUAGGUGGACUCUCUUGCUUCAAGAAUUUGAUUUGGUGAUUAGAGACAAGAAAGGGAGUGAAAACGUGGUGGCUGACCAUUUGAGUAGGCUGGCGCAAGGAUCCAAUGAAGAAGAGGACGUGCUUCCUCUACGUGAAAGUUUCCCCGAUGAGCAACUUUUCACCCUCGAAGCCAAGGACCCUUGGUACGCUGACAUUAUCAAUUAUAAAGCUUCAAAACUGAUUCCGAAGGAUCUCACUCGCGCUCAAAAGGAUAAGCUUGUAAAAACAAGUAGGUAUUAUGUUUGGGAUGAUCCAUACUUAUGGAAAUAUUGUCCAGAUCAGAUUGUUAGAAGGUGCGUGUCUGAAUCUGAAUUUAAUUCUAUACUUACCUUUUGUCAUUCAUCUGCAUGUGGUGGACAUUUUGGUACUAAGAAAACAACCCUUAAAGUAUUGCAAUGUGGUUUUUAUUGGCCUAGCUUGUUCAAAGAUGCAUAUACUUAUUGUUCCAGAUGUGAUAGAUGUCAAAGAACCGGUAACAUUAGCUCUAGGAAUCAAAUGCCUUUAACGCCUAUCCUUAUUGUUGAAAUAUUUCAUGUGUGGGGCAUUGAUUUUAUGGGACCAUUCCCUUCCUCUUAUGGCUUUAUUUACAUUCUCCUUGCUGUUGACUAUGUCUCUAAAUGGAUGGAAUCAAUUCCUACCCGGACUAAUGAUUCAAAAGUUGUUUUGAGUUUUGUGAAGGACAACAUCUUUUCUAGGUUUGGAACACCAAGAGCCAUUAUCAGCACUGGAGGCACUCACUUUUGCAAUAGGUCAUUUGAGGCACUUUUAAAGCGGUAUGGAAUUACACAUAGUGUCUCGACACCUUAUCAUCCCCAAACAAGUGGACAAGUGGAGAUUAGUAACCGAGAAAUCAAGCAAAUCUUGGAGAAAACCGUGAGCCCUACGAGAAAGGAUUGGAGUUUGAGACUUAAUGAAGCAUUGUGGGCAUAUAGGACAGCUUACAAAACCCCCAUUGGUAUGUCUACUUUUCAUUUGGUUUAUGGUAAAGCAUGUCACCUUCCGGUUGAACUUGAACAUAGAGCAUUUUGGGCAAUCAAGAAAUUCAAUUUUGAUAUGAAAGAGGCUGGAGAUGUACGGCGACUCCAAGUGAAUGAAUUGGAUGAGAUGAGGAAUGAUGCCUAUGAGAGUGCACGGAUUUAUAAGGAAAAGACGAAGGCAUUUCAUGACAAAGCCAUUCAAAGGAAGACCUUUGAAAUAGGGCAGAAAGUCUUGCUCUUCAAUUCACGCCUCCGGCUAUUCCCAGGUAAGUUACGUUCUAGAUGGUACGGUCCUUUUGUUGUUACUAAUGUUUUCCCUCACGGUGCAGUUGAGAUUCAAAAUGACAAGACGGGAAACAUAUUCAAAGUGAACGGACAUCGCUUGAAGCCAUACUAUGAAUCUUUUGAGCUUGGAAAAGAGAGCAUGCACGUGGAUGCACCACCCCCAUCUAUUAAUUAAUCAUCUAAAGAACAGCGUCUAGCUCACGACUAUUAAGAAGUGCUUCUUGGGAGGCAACCCAAGCAUUCUUAACUUUUGUUUUCGUUUUUAUUUUUAGUUUAUGUGUGAUUUCUCAUAAAUUUUCAUAUUUUUGUUUUUGUUAUGUUUUGCGUCAUCAAAUUUUGGUUUUUGUGUUCCAAAGAUAAAUUUUCGCAUUUUUAUAGCCCUAGGGUGUUUGCAGCAUGUUUCAAAUGUGUUACAGAUUUUUUUUGGUCAUUGGCUGAGUUUAGAUACCAGAAAACAGAAAAAUAGCUUUUAUGUUCUUAGUUUGGUCAAAACUAGAAUUUCUGCCUAAUUUAUUUUUUGCUGUUUUUCAGGUCAAUCUGAUGCCACCAACAUGUUUAGAAUGGUUAUUCUGAUGAUUUGGACCAGGUUUGGGGGGUCUCCAGUGGCCUACAUUAUGUUUUAGGACGAAUUGAAGCUCAAAAAAGGACCUAAAACACAAAAAAAGGCAGCUGUUGUUUUGCCUAGAGGUUGAAGAUUUUUCGUCACCAAAGAGGUUUUAGCGACGGUGCUCAUCAGAUUUUUCGUCAACAAAGAGGUUUUAGCAGCGGUGUUCAUCAGAUUUUUCAUCGCUAAAAAAGUCAAAUUUCCAGAUUUUCAUGAUUACAUAUCCAGCUCAAUUUCGUUCCAAUUUCAUCGCAUUCCGAGACUUUAAGUAGCUAUUACGGGUCCGUUGGCAUUCAAAGACACAAGUUGUGGGUGUUUGAGUUUGUCUCAUAAUCUAUCCUCACUCAUUUCAACAUAUUCUACGCUUUGCUCAUCCAUACAUCUACACAAACCCGGGAAGUUCUCACACACACUCUCUCUCUCUCUCUCUUUAAAUGAAUUUGCAUGACUUAUUUUUCCUUGUUUUUAACAUUGUGGACAAUGUUUGUUUUAAAUUGUGGGUGAUUGAGUUCUUUGGUUUCAUAAUGUAUGCUGCAGCAGUCCUUUGUCUUUGUUUCAAAUUCUGUCCUUGUCCGCUGCUGUUUUUGUAUUUUGGCCCACGCUACGUUCGUUGUUUUUUCGAUCUGAAUCCAACCAUAUGAAGAACGUGAACUUUGGCCAAGUAUUGUGUGAGAUACAUGUCAUUCUUUGCACCUGGGUCAGAACUGCAGCUUUGUUUAUUGAUUUUCAAUCCCUUUCAACUUUUGGUUUUUAUUUAAUUAGUUUUUAUUCUAUUGUUUUGUUUUGUUUUCAGUUUUUGUUUCUUUUAAAAAAUAAAAUAAAAUAAAAAAUCAGAAAAAUGUCAUAAGAACCUAAAAAUAUUUUCUUUAACUUUGAGUCUAGUUUUUAUUUGUUUGUAGUAGUCACUUCCCAAUUCUAUGAUGAGAUUGAAUUUUAUUGACAAUUAACUUGCAAGGAAUUGUGAGCAUGACAUUAAUUCUUUACAUUAUCCUUGUGUUAGCCUUAGUUUUGUGAUUCAACUUGGUAAAUAUUUUUGCACAUAGCCAUAUUAAUAUGAUUUUCGAUUGGAGUUCAUGUGAUUUAAAUUCCCAAAUAAGGCUAGUGUAGACUUAUAUAACCCUUAUUAUGUGAGCUUUUGAGCCUAUACCUUUCUUCCCUGAGUGUUAUAUACUAUUCUAUAAUUUUCAUGGUUACAAGUCAUUGUGAUCUCAUUAUUCUUUGUUUUGGUCAAGUACUUGAGGAUGUUUAAAUUAUUUGCUAGAACUACUUUCAUUAUCUAUUUGAGACAUAUUUCAUGAACCACAUGGAUCCUAGGAAGUGAUAUAGGCCUUGUUUCCUUCGUUUGAGCCUUUCCAGCCAACCCAUAUCAAUUUUAUCCCUAGUCAGCCCCUUGUGCCUUUUAUGUAAGCCUUUAUCGUUCUUUACCCAAUUCUCCUCACCUUAACCUUUGGUAUAUUUGUCCUACACCAUUCUAAGGAACUUUGUAGAGCACUUUCAUGGUUAAGGGAGAAUUGCACAAAUUGUUCAAUCAUGUGUAUAUGAUACUGUUUCAAAGAAAGAAAAAAAAAGAAGAAAAAAAAAAAGAGUCUGAUUCCGAAGCCUUUUCAACUCGAGUUUUUAAGCCCAAGGAGUGCUUUACACUUAAUACCCUAAAGCUAUCUAGCUUGGGAGUUAUUGGCCUAACACUUGUUACAUGGGUUGAUUAGAAAGCUAAUGGAGUUAGAAAAAAAAAUGUGAAAAAAAAUAAAAAAAUAAAAAAAUUUAAGAUAGUAUCAAGAUGAAAUUGUGUGCUAAAGUGCAAGAUGUUAUAAUUUCAUGGAAAGCUUUACUUAGCCCUUAGACUUCGUUUGUUCAUCCAUAUCUUUUUCUUGUUUCACCCAUCACCCUAAGCCCAUUUCAACCUUAGUGAAAGUCCUACUUGAUCCAAGGAGAAGUGUGGUUCCUCACAUGUGGAGAAUAGGUGUGGAAGGACUAUGGUCGGAUGGUUUAAAUGUUUUCAAGUAUGGAAUAUCUUUCCAUGAGAUCUUUUAUUCAUGUCCUGUGCUUUUAUUUCAAUUAUGUGAGUACAUCCUAUUGCUUUGAUUCUUCUCACAUAUAUGAGUGACACUACGUUGUCAAAUUUCAAGUGCUUUCAUUGUUGUGAACAUCCUUGGUGAGAAUUGAAGUUAAAGCUUGUUCUUAUUUGGUUAUUUAACUUUUGUGAAGCAUAAGUCGUGGUUAUAUUAAUGUUGGCUAUUUCACACACGACACUCCAAGUUGUUCAAUUAAAGUUUGGUUAACACUUUGAUAAUGUCUUGAGUUAAUGUUGCUUAGUUCUUGGAAGUUAGUUAACCGUUGGUAAUUAUCUCUGAGAUCAAUAUUGGGAAUUUAGAUGUUUGUUUGUUUUGAGUCUUUGUUCUUUUGUUUUUAUUUUCCGUUUUGUUUUGCUCGAGGACUAGCAAAAUCUAAGUUGUGGGUUUUGAUAAGUCCAUAAAUGUACUCAUUUAUGUAAUCUUUUUACUUAGGUUUUGUAAGAAAAUUAGAUUUAAAAAGGGCUUAUUACUUUACUUUUCUGAUUUUCAGCUUUUCUGCGCUCUUAGAAGAUUUUUAAGGGAAAAUCAACUUUUCGGAGGAAUUUUGGUGCAAGGACAAUUGGAGAUGAAAGAUAACAUCUUGAAGUUCGAUCUGUGAUUUUUCUAGAAUUUUUCACCUAGCCAAUUGGUACAGUAUUACAAGUAAAGUUAGCCCACGUGCAGACAUGACAGUUUUGUACACGUUACGUGAAUAUGAAGAAACGGAAGCCUUCCCGAAUUUUUCAAGUUACGUGCUAUAUAUAGUUGGAAAGAUAAGACAUUUAUCUUUCUAAAAUAUAUUUUUAAUGAUUUUUCUAGAAGGCCGAAGAUCCCCAAAUAAUGUGACAAUUGGGCUGAGCUGUAUUUCCCUAUGGAGUUAGAAAUUGUGAUUUUUACUUUCCUAUUUGGAUUCCUUGUUUACCAAGACUUCUUGGACGAAUUUUCAGUCAAUUUUAGGGUUUAGAACUCUGAUAUAAGUGAUAUAAAAGACGAGCCAAGGCCUGAUACAAAGGAUUCACGUCCUAAAGAGAUCAACCGCGCAAGAGGAGAAAGCUGCCAACGAGUUCUUUCUUUUCCUUCAUUCUUUUAAUUUUCAGUUCUUAUGUAUUUAUUUUUUAGUUCAUCCAAGACCAUGAGUAACUAAUUUCUUGUUAGUUUGGGCUUAAUAUUGAAGCCCUAAACAUGAUUUCAAUUUUAUAAACAAGUUUAAUGGAUUUUUAAUUUCUACAAGCGUGAUGAUUUCGGUUUCUCUAUGUUAUGUGAAGUCUGAUAUUUUGUUUCUUUGAAUAGCUAACUUGGAAGCAUGUAUUGAAAUUAAAUUGUUGUAGAACAUAGGUCAAUUACUAUAUUGAAUGUGUUCUUGUUUGCAACGAAUAACUGGGUUAAGAACUAGUUAUGAGAAAUCGAUUCUUGAAUUCCUAAUAACAAAUGCCAUGUUUUAGGGUUUUUGUGACACUCAUAUUCUCUUUGAUCUUAAUGGAUUCUUGAUUGUUAAUUUGAGUAAAUGCCAUACUAGAUUUCAAUAAAGAAUACACGUAUUGAUGUAAAUGCCAUACACUUUACAUACACUUAAGAGAGAAUCAUACAACUCGAGUCAAAUGCCAUGAUCUUGUUGUGAGUGUCGUCAUCAUAUGCUUGCUAGAAAUUGAUUAUCUAUUGUUGUCUAUGGAUUGAUUGAUUGAUUGUUUGGAGGUGGAUAGUAAGUCCUAGCUAUUGUUCUUGAUUGUUUUUAAACCAAUUUCUCUUAAACUCUAAUUUAAAUUAUGUUUUCUUUUCUUUUCCUUAUUUUGUUUUAUUCACAAAAUCAAAUCAAAACCCCCUUGGUAUUGGUGUGUGUUUGGAAGUCCUUUGUUUUGAUUUUCAUUGUGUGACAUUGAUAAACAUCUCUUUAGAUCACAAUCUCCGUGGGAUCGACCCUUGCUUGCUUACUAUACUAUCAUUUGAUUUGUGCACUUGCAAGGUUUUAAUAGUGUUGUUAAAAUUUACCAACAGUCGUCGCGCAAGUGUUUGGCGCCAAAUAAAAUAGCCCGCGGUUUUCUGGCAAACUUUACGCAACGAUAACGGGUAUGGUCGCGCUACGUGUUCUUUCGCGAUGAUAUGUGUCGUCGUGCAAGUGUUUUUCUUCCUAACUUUGCGCGACGAUCAAGUCUUUGGUCGCGCUAAGUUUUCUUGCGCGACGAACUUUUUGCUCGCGCAAGUUUUGAAAUAUAAAAUUAUUAUCUGCUAUAGUUUGUGCUACGAAUGAUUGUUUUCGUCGCGCAACUGUUUCUUAUGCGACGAAUUUAUCGUCGUCGCGCAAAUAGUAAAAUGUAGUAGUGCACAUAAAGUUCACUAAACAAUCUUGUCUUCACCUUAGUUGUGUUGUUAAGAAAAACAUGGCAUCAUCCCCCUAGACUUUUCUUCUUCUUGGCUUUAUGUUUGCUCUUGUGAUCCUCAUCUCCUCUGAGGUCUCAGCUCGUGAGCUAGUGGAAACUGCUAGUCAAGUUGCUAGUGAGUUUCUAAUCUUUUAACUGAUCACAUAACCCUAUGCAUGUCAACUGAUAUAAUUCUUUUUACAUGAAGGACGACUUAUAUAUAUUGAUUACUAUUAUAUCAGGGGGUAGACCCUAUUUUAAACGCGGGUCAGGCACCAGAUGCAGCCUUAAUUCGUAUUCUGUAUGCUCAGCUAAAUCGAGAGGGUAUCACUUCCCGCCCCCCGCCUCGGGAGAGUAUAGGCACCGCCAAGGCCACCAUGAAAAACCAGGACCUGGUGUUGCUGAGACUGAAA